rnacentral:lncRNA from 1 species
GUUGGUUCACGUUGGCUCUCACAUGUUGACGGCCGUGUGCAUCGGUAUGAAGUUUUAUUUCGGUCGGAAUUUCCUAUGACAGGCCGGCUACUAGAAUUAUCGUUACCCUAGAAAAUGUUGCCAUGGUUCAAAUAAAUCGAAUUCAAAUAAUCCAAAGUUCAAGUAAGAUAUAGAUGAUAUUAUUGACACAAAGAUGGUCAUGGCCUCUUGGCUACACAUGAUUGUUUGCUAGAGAGGGUCGAGGAAUUGAAUUCCAUUUUCCCACCAAUUUUUUGCAUUGUUACUUUGGCUGCCCAUCGGAUCUUCGCGCUUGAAAAGACUGCAUCCAUAGAGGUAAUGGGAGAGAUAAAUAACUUCAAAACAUCAGAAGAACACAAUGACAACAACAGAAUUUCAAGAGCCAUUUUAAAGAUAUGUUCCACAGGGAGGGACCGAUGGCAUCAUUUUUAGCCUUUGAAGCAAAAAAGACGGAUGACCCCAAACAAGUCUCCAAUUAUCCUAAAAAAUAAAGAAUUUAUUCAAAACCAUGCAUAUUAAUAUAUCAACAGACAAAAUCAGAGUAAAAUCAAUGCCAUGAUAACUUUAUUAUUAUUAAGAGUACAAUUAAUUUCACAUCAACAUAUUUUCUCAGAUAAAAACAAACAUUAUAUAGUCGAGAAACAUCACAUCUGGUGCUACCAAGGCAGUGUUCAAUUUAACCAGCAUGCCCAGUUCACUGUUUUCAUUUACCAGAGUCCCCACUCCACGCAUAUCGACAAGCUCGGAGUCGCACUCAUCGACAUAAUCAUAUGCCAUAUCCACACAACUGGCGAGCUCAUUGGACCGUAGCCCGUCCUCGUCGCGUUGGUAAUCCCUGAUCAUGGGAUCACAUAUGUUGAGGACGCUCAACACAGAGUCAUAUAAUCCACCUCACACAAACUAAGCCCAACUCCACCGCGUGACUCCAAAUGAACGUCCAUUUUGUCCGGAUUCUGUCCGUUUGGGUAGGGCAAUGAGGUCGUGUCCGGGCCGUUUCUGGGAUGCGGUGGCAGUUCGCCCAACGCGCGUACGCAUUCCGGCCACAUCCUGUCCGCAUACAUUUUCCUUUGCAAGCCCUUAACUUUUUUUCAUCAUUCAUUUUUGGUACAUGGGAAUACAUCACCAAAUUUUGACUAGAAAAGUAAGACAAAGAAAAAACAAGAACCAUAAGAAUGCAUUUUAGAAGAUAUUUAACUUCCAUAACUGCUCCUGUAAGUUGGAUUAGUGCCUUCUCGAUGCAUUCAUUGUUUAUCUGCGGAGGAGGCUCGAUCUUGCGUGCUUCUUUCUUCUUCGAGUCUACAGAAGUAGAGGUUGCUUCCUCGCAUCUAGUCUCAUGUCUAGCCUCUAAUCUAGCAACAAGUGCACUAGUCUCAUCUCUAGCCUCUAUGCUAGCUAAAAGUUCAAUAUAUCGAUGUACUCUUCUUCCCAAUACCAAAACUUGCAUCCAUGCUACACAAUAAAAUUUUAAGUUAGCACAACUAGUCAAAUCUAAGAGCACAACCGAAGCUAAAAAGAGCACAUACCCCAUCGUUUAAGCAUUUGAUGAACACCCAUCCGGAAUGUUCCGGCGUUAUAGACACGCGGCCAACGACACUAGUAGAAAAAGGGGCUUUUGGCCCGGUUGGUAAGGCCCUUUAGUCCCGGUUUUUGAACCGGGACUAAAGGGUCGUUACUAAUGCCUCUCCCCUUUAGUCCCGGUUCUUACAUGAACCGGGACUAAAGGCCGCGGCCACGUGGAGCUCCACCUUUAGUUCCGGUUGGUAACACCAACCAGGACUAAAGAAACUUUUAUGAUAUUUUUUUUGAAUUUUUUUUUGAUUUUCAAAUUUCUGAAUUAUUUUAACCUCUAAUCUCUAAUCACCACCCCUCAUCACUGCUCAAUUUAUCCUCUAAUCUCUAAUCACCCCUCAUCAUUCCAAAUCAUCUAACUUCCCGGACGGUCACCCAUCCUCCUGAGCACGCUUAACUUCCGGGUUCUGUUCUCCCUCGUUUCCAAGUCUGCAUUUGUUGUUUUCCUGACAAUAGUAAGUUGCCAAUCCUAUUAACCCUCAGGAAUUUAGCUUGAGCAUGAAGUGACACAUUUCACUGUUUGAGUUUGAAACUAUAGUUUUAAAAAACAAUAAUUAUUUAGUAACACUAAUAUUUCUUGAAUAAUUAGUUUGACCAUUGUUUGACCAUAGUUUGACCAUAGUUUGACCAGAUUUGACCAAAAUUCAAAAAAACUGAAAUAAUUAUUUAGUAACACUAAUAUUCUAGAAUAAUUAGUUUGACCACAGUUUAACCAGAUUUGACCAUAUUUUUUCCAAAAAAAAAUUGAAACUAUAUUUUUUUCUGUUACUAGUGGCGCACCUAGCAAAUGGUGCACCACUAGUAAGUUUGAAAUUUUUUUGAUUUUUUUCCACUCUAGAUCUUAAAAGCCCAGUAACUUUUUCCUGUUAGGUUUUUGAGGAUUUUGAAAAUGUUUAACGGGGUUCCCCCCAGUUAAAUUCGGAUGUAACUAUUCGAGUAGAUGAUUUUUCAUAUAAAAAACUUUUUAAUCCGAGUUCGUAUGCAAAAGUUAUGCCCAUUUUACAAAUUCCAGAGAGAUUUUGCAAAUAAAGUCGAAAUUCAUAUUUGUAAAUUUUUCCAACAACUAGACCACAUAUCACAUGGGAAACUUAUUUUAUUUUAUUUUUUUGACAUUUCCAUCAUUUUCUUUUGUUUUUUCUAAAACUGAAAAGGCGGUCCACCGGGGCGGGGGGGUGGUGGUAGAGUUUGAAAAUGGGACCUUUAGUACCGGUUCGUGCCAUGAACCGGUACUAAUGCCUCAAAGCCCAUUAGUACCGGUUGGUGCCACCAACCGGUACUAAUGGGCAUCGCACCCUUUAGUCCCGGUUCGUGGCACCAACCGGGACUAAAGGGCCCAGGUGAACCGGGACUAAUGCCUUAGCCGCAUGAACCGGGACCAAUGCUCACAUUAGUCCCGGUUCGUGACUGAACCGGGACUAAUGUGAAUACUGCCCUGUGACCAAAGCCCUGUUUUCUACUAGUGCGACCUUCUUUGGGCAGUGGUCGCACUUAAUUAGUGUCAACGGUGCACCGACGAACUUUUGGGCUAGCACCGAGCCCGGCUGGCCGUCAUAAGUGUAUCUGCCGGCAGACCACUGACGGUGUAGAUCCGAGCGGCUAGAGGAAGAGCCACUGCCUGCAUGCGGCCUUGAGGCCCUGCCAGGGCCUUCCGGCGCGGUGCCCGGCCAGUCCAUGGUGCGGCGCGGCCUCCCACAGCCGGGCGAGCUCAAGACCGACCGGAUCUGCCCCAAAUCCGGCCGGCGGGUGCGCAAAUCAGGUGGCCGUGAUUGGGUAGCUCGGGGGCGCCGAGGGGAAGGGGCUGGGCGAGCGCGCGUCCGAGCUGCACAGCUGCAAUGGCAGCGGCGGCGGCGGCGGCGGCGGCGAGUGGAAGAGUAGGGAAGAGUGGAGAAGAGUGGAGGGGGUGCGGCCGGAGGGAGGGAGGGGGGCGGAUAGAAAAAGGCGUCCUUGUGCCACCGACGGGCGGGCCAGGGGAGGACAUGCGCACACGCCCCGCCCGUCCGCGUGUUGUCCCUUUCACCCCAAAAGCGGCGCAAACUUGGGCCGGGGAUGGGUCAAAGCGGACAGAAAACAGACACAAAUUCGUUUGCGCCCGCGCGCUGGGCUGUCUGGUUCGUCCGUUUUAUCCCAAACGGACGCACGUGGACAGGAUGGGGUCGCGUGGUGGAGUUAGCAUAAGGACACGCAUUGGCACCGUGCCUUCUUGCUUCAUGUGUUUGUUGUCUUCGCACAGGAGCUCUAGCACAGACGUUCUUAAGGUCAACCUGGCCUGUUCGGCACGCCUGUGUAAAAAAUCAUGACACAGGCAUGAGGUAAUAGUUAGGGGUCUACUCCUUGCUACGCCUGAGAGUUAAUACAUCAUAGCAGUAGGUAGCUCCAGUUGAUAAGUUUCCCUAAUGCUCUAUAUAUAAGACAAAGAUCAAUGGAACGCUCAUUGGUGUGGGCAGCGAGUUGCCAGAAACAUUUCUUCCUCCUCUGCUCUGCUCGCUCCUCCUCCAGGCGACAGACUCCUCUUCCCGGGAACGCAUCCACAGUCGCCGGUGAAAGGUCUGAUAACAAGCGUGACAUCAUAUUCCACCAUCGCGUCGAUGCCGAGCAUAGUGCCCAUGGCAAGGCUAGCCUUCACCGCGCUCGUCGGCGUCGCCAACGCCAUGCUCAAUGCCAACCUGAUGGCUGCCGCCUUUCACAUUCACCGUGCUGCCUUCCAGGUGUUUGAUUAAAUGAGUUAAAUUAUUGGUGUUCUCCUGCUAUGGGCAGGUGAUGCACGGUAGCUCUGGUGGAUGACUCAUGUUUAGCCUGUUGAUGUUGGAUCGAAGGUGGUGCUGCAGUAGCGGGAGGCAGGCGGCAUGGGACGUCUUUGUCUUCCAUUGUCUUCUUCAGUGGUAUCUGACUAUCGAGGCGUCGAUAAACGGAUAAGGGCGGAUGGUACAGGAGGCUUCAACGAUGAUUUUAUGCACGCCGGUGGAAACACAAGACCUUAGAUCGGGCUAUGUCGUUGUGCGCCUGCGUCGUGUCCUUGUUGAAUGUGGUGGAUUGAAUCUUGACUUUGGGGAUGAGAACCAGAGUUCUACCUUGUGGUGGACUCGCCAACAUCGGUGCACGUGUGACGAUUCCUUCUUGAAGGUGUAGCCUAUGAGUUGUGUAUUUUUCAUAUAUAUUGUGUCUUGUAACAUAGGGUUAGUGGCUAUCUGAUGAAGUUACUGUCGCAAGGUAUUUGGCCUCACGGUUUGUUUUCCAUCUCUUUUCCGAGACAAGUUUGUUCGGCUGCUGGAUUUUGCAUUUCUAAUAAUUAUGCCUGCAUGCAUCAUUCUGUUGCAGAGGCCGGGGUUAUUCUCUUUUUCAGAAAAAAAAACUGAGCAACAGUGAUUUUCCUAAAAAAAAAUUAAGGAAAUGGAAUAGGGAGAAGAUUUUGCAUUUUAGGAUAAAGAAUCUGCUAAAGAUUUUCUAAGAUAAUUGCUGACUUGGGCACAUCAUUGUUUUCAUUUAUUUGAGACGCAGAUUGGAGCACAGCAUUUGCUGGUAAUUAAGCAGAUGCAUGAUGCAUGCCAACAUGACACUCGGGAAAUUAACAAGAUUACUCUUCCUACAGUAAUACAGAUUCACACGUAAGGUCAAGUCUAAAAAAGAUGUAUCGGGAUCAGCUUCCAUUUCUAAUAGUCCAUGGUGGAAUAUGAUGUCACGCUUGUUAUCAACGUUUUGGAUCGGGAGUGAACAGUGACCUAGCCAAACCAAUGUGCCAGGGUGGUCCAAUAGUGGAAAUAUUUACAUAAAUUUAUUUAUUUUCAAAGAAAUAUUUUUUACUACACUAUAUACAUGCUGUGGGGAAAAUUCAGGGUGGUCCAUGUCCGUCCCUUAGCUAUGCUACUACGAGUUAGAGAACAAAGUGCAAAAAAAAUCGGACAGAAUUUUAAAUCAUUUUUUAAGUCGAUAUAGAGAGUUAUUUAUCUUUACCUAAUAAUAAUAAUAAAGUACGGAGUGCUUUUGCCCGUUCACCGUCAUCCGAAUUACCAUCAAAGUUGCGUGAAUUACUCACUAAUGCCACCUGUAAGUGGCAAAAACAAUUCGCACUUUUCCCUCUGGUUCAAUAUGAAGCUAUCUUCUUAGAGCAUCUCCGGCCAUUCGACCCCCAAGGACGCCGAAAAAGAGCCGCCUAGGGCCGAACCGGUGUUCGCUUGCCGCGUGGGGGCGGUUGCGUUCCCAGUCGACGNNNNNNNNNNNNNNNNNNNNNNNNNNNNNNNNNNNNNNNNNNNNNNNNNNNNNNNNNNNNNNNNNNNNNNNNNNNNNNNNNNNNNNNNNNNNNNNNNNNNNNNNNNNNNNNNNNNNNNNNNNNNNNNNNNNNNNNNNNNNNNNNNNNNNNNNNNNNNNNNNNNNNNNNNNNNNNNNNNNNNNNNNNNNNNNNNNNNNNNNNNNNNNNNNNNNNNNNNNNNNNNNNNNNNNNNNNNNNNNNNNNNNNNNNNNNNNNNNNNNNNNNNNNNNNNAGGAUUUGUACAAACUCGGGGAUAUUUGGUAAAAAAUUGUACAAAAACAGUUAAACAUGCAAACUGCGCCUAGAACUACGCCUAGCCCUGCUAUGCCGCGGCCGCCGCCCGCCAUCUACAUGCCGAGGAGCCUGUAGAAACGGUGAAGUCGCCGCCGCCGUCAUUGUCAUCGUCGUCGUCGCGCGCCCCGCCGGAGCCGCCGCCGUCCCUACUGCACCCCUGGCCAAGGUCAGCUUGGCGCGGUGGGGGGUUGGACGGCCCGGCCUCGCCCUCGUCACCCUGCUCGCGUCCGCGGCGCCGGGCCUGGAGCUCCGCGUAUGCCCAGCGCUGGCGGAGCACCUGCUCGCGGACGUAGUCCUCCCUCGCCCACUUGAGGGCGGCCUCGUCGUCGGGGGCCACCAUGUCCGCGUGCUCCGGCUUCACGGGGAGCAGCCCCGGCUCGGGUUUCGGCCGGACCAGGUGGAGGGAGCGCGGUGUGUUGCCGGUCUCGAUGUAGUCGAGGACGGCCUCGAGGGUGCGGCCGGGCACGCUCCACCACUCGCGCCGCCCGUCGGCGUUCAGGCGGCCGCGGUGGAUGGUGCCGUUGGCGGAGGCGAUCUGCUCUUGGCGGCAGUGCUCGAAGAACAUCAUCCACAGCGUGUGGCUGUUAAUGGCGUACCUCGGCUCGUUCCGCUGCUCCUCGGUCAGUGACGCGUGGAUGCGGGCGAUCUCGGCCCGCCAUGCAGCCCCUUCGGGCACCGGUGGCACCGGAACGCUGCCGGCACUCAACUUCCCCGACCCCGGCAUCCGCAUGUCCGGGGGCGCCGGGUAGUCGGCCUCUUGGAGAUGGCGGCGACCGAAGCCGUUCGCCUCCACGGCGUCGCCGGGUACCUCUCAGCCAUUGCUCAUCGGCGUGGAAGAGGGGGGAAGUGUUGUUUUGUGUGGCGCUACGAGGCGAGGUGUGGCGACUAUGGCAUUCACCUGCGGGGAGAUCGGCUUUUAUAGCCGAAGCGGGGCGGUGAGAGCCUGCAUGCCGGGCGGCGCGGGGCGGGAGCGGGGGGACGCGCGUCGGUGGCGCCUUCACUGUGCCGCCCAUGAGACAUCAAUGGAAGCUGACCGAGGCUGCAGCGCGGCAGCCUUCGCCAGCUUUGGCAUUGAUUCCUGUUCACGCCAAAACCGCGUCCACCGGCGCCCCAGGUGCCGGGUUCGGCCUGUGUCCGCAGGCGCCGGUUUCGGCCUGUGUCCGCAGGCGCCGGUUUCGGCCCAAACUGGCUGGAGAUGCUCUUAUGUGACACAAGCACAUGCGCAUACCACCGGCUAGAGGUUCGACCCCAUGUUCUUCCCAUUUUCCCUCCCUUUUCUAUCUUGUUGAUAGCGGAUUGAUUGGGCCAGCCCAGCGCGGCUUUCAACUCUUUUUUUUUCCUUUCUUACAGUUGGUUUUUCUUUCUUUUAGCUUUAUUUCAAAAUACUCUGAAUAUUUCUACUACAAAAAUCACUUAUAUGCAAAAAUUAAAAAUGUUAAUCAUGCAUUAAAGAAAUGUUAAACUUCUCUAGAAAAAAUGUUUCCACCAUAUACAAACAAAUGGAUAGUGUGUAUGGAAAGCACAAUUAGAAAAAUAAUAAUGUAAGUAUCGUCUUCUUUUUUUGAAACAAAAUUAAGCAUGCAUUUAAAAAAUAUUAAAUGUGUAUAAAAAUGUUUCUGAUGUAUACAAAAAUAUACAAUGUGUAUAGAACAAAGUACACAUAAAACGUAUAUGUUUCCAAAAAUAAUAAUCAUGUAUUUGGGCCAUGUUAACCGUGUAUAUAAAAAUGAUCAUGAUGUACACAAGAAAUAUAGAAUGUGUAUAGAAAAAUUAUACAUAAAAAAACUAUAUCUCUAUAAAUAGUUGAAAAUUAAAUUGGAAAAUGUUAAACGUGUAUAUCAAAAUGUUUGUCAUGUAUACAAAAAUAUACAAUGUUUAUGGAGAAUAUAGAGAUAAACACAAUAAUUUACCAAAUGUUAAUUAUGUAUUUUCAAAAUGUUAAUAAAGUAUUUUCAAAUUGUUAAGUGUGAUAAAAAAAUUCUGGUGUAUACAAAAAAAUUACAAUGUAUAUGAGCAAACAUAGACAUAAAAAAAAUAUUAGUUGUCAAAAAUGUUAAUUAUAUAUUUAGAAAUGUUAAACCUGUAUAUAAAAAAAAUUCUUGGUGUAUAACAAAAAUGUAGAAAGAAAACGAACAAAAACUAUAAAAUUGAAAAAAACACAAAAAACAAAGAAAGCAAAAAAAACCCGUAAAACCAAAAGAAUAUACCAAAAAAAGAAAAAACAAGGAAAAUAAAAACAUGCUAUCAUUAAUUACUAAAACGUACUUUGCUAUUUUCAUCACACCGCAAAUAUUUAUUGGGUAUUUUUGUUGUCUAAUAAGUUACAAACAUCUUGAGUACACUACAAAAAUCAUCCCAUCUUUAUAUUUUUGUGCAACACCACUUAGAGCAUCUUUAGCAGACCCCGCAUAAGUGGUCAAACCCGCAAAAAAUUUGCGUUAUACAGUUUUGGGCGAAAAAAGUGUCCAGAACAGAAACCGUAAAAGUAAUCCAACCCGUAAAAUUUUUAAGGGCCACCGCAAAUGCACACCCGAAACCCUUAUCUUUGGAGGUUGGAAGGCCGAAUAUAGGGGGGCCCUGAUGUCUACUACACAACCUUCUUCUUGUAGACGUUGUUGGGCCUCCAAGUGCAGAGGUUUGUAGGACAGUAGCAAAUUUCCCUCAAGUGGAUGACCUAAGGUUUAUCAAUCCGUGGGAGGCGUAGGAUGAAGAUGGUCUCUCUCAAGCAACCCUGCAACCAAAUAACAAGAGUCUCUUGUGUCCCCAACAUACCCAAUACAAUGGUAAAUUGUAUAGGUGCACUAGUUCGGCGAAGAGAUGGUGAUACAAGUGCAAUAUGGAUAGUAGAUAUAGGUUUUUGUGAUCUGAAAAUAUAAAAACAGCAAGGUAACUAAUGAUAAAAGUGAGCGUAAACGGUAUUGCAAUGCUUUGAAACAAGGCCUAGGGUUCAUACUUUCACUAGUGCAAGUUCUCUCAACAAUAAUAACAUAACUGGAUCAUAUAACUAUCCCUCAACAUGCAACAAAGAGUCACUCCAAAGACACUAAUAGAGGAGAACAAACGAAGAGAUUAUGGUAGGGUACGAAACCAUCUUAAAGUUAUCCUUUCCGACCGAUCUAUUCAAGAGUCCGUAGUAAAAUAAAUGAAGCUAUUCUUUCCGUUCGAUCUAUCAUAAGAGUUCGUACUAGAAUAACACCUUAAGACACAAAUCAACCAAAACCCUAAUGUCACCUAGAUACUCCAAUGUCACCUCAAGUAUCCGUGAAUAUGAUUAUACGAUAUGCAUCACACAAUCUCAGAUUCAUCUAUUCAACCAACACAAAGUACUUCAAAGAGUGCCCCAAAGUUUCUACCGGAGAGUCAAGACGAAAACGUGUGCCAACCCCUAUGCAUAGAUUCCCAAGGUCACGGAACCCGCAAGUUGAUCACCAAAACAUACAUCAAGUGAAUCACGUGAUAUCCCAUUGUCACCACAGAUACGCACAUGCAAGACAUACAUCAAGUGUUCUCAAACCCUUAAAGACUCAAUCCGAUAAGAUAACUUCAAAGGGAAAACUCAAUCCAUUACAAGAGAGUAGAGGGGGAGAAACAUCAUAAGAUCCAACUAUAAUAGCAAAGCUCGCGAUACAUCAAGAUCGUACCACCUCAAGAACAUGAGAGAGAGAGACAUCAAACACAUAGCUACUGGUACAUACCCUCAGCCCCGAGGGUGAACUACUCCCUCCUCGUCAUGGAGAGCGCUGGGAUGAUGAAGAUGGCCACAAGUGAGGGUUCCCCCCUCCGGCAGGGUGCCGGAACAGGGUCCCGAUUGGUUUUUGGUGGCUACAAAGGCUUGCGGCGGCGGAACUCCCGGUCUAUUCUGUUCCGCGAUGUUUUUAGGGUAUAUGGAUAUAUAUAGGCGAAAGAAGUCGGUCAAGGGAGCCACGAGGGGCCCACGAGGGUGGGGGCGCGCCCAGUGGGGUAGGCGCGCCUCCCUGCUCGUGGCCACCUCGAAGCUUUCUUGACUUCAACUCCAAGUCUCCUGGAUCACGUUCGUUCCAAAAAUCAUGCUCCCGAAGGUUUCAUUCCGUUUGGACUCCGUUUGAUAUUCUUUUUCUGCGAAACACUGAAACAAGGGAAAAAAACAGAAACUGGCACUGGGCUCUGGGUUAAUAGGUUAGUCCCAAAAAUAAUAUAAAAGUGUAUAAUAAAGCCCAUAAACAUCCAAAGCGGGUAAUAUAAUAGCAUGGAACAAUCAAAAAUUAUAGAUACGUUGGAGACGUAUCAAGCAUCCCCAAGCUUAAUUCCUGCUCGUCCUCGAGUAGGUAAAUGAUAAAAACAGAAAUUUUGAUGUGGAAUGCUACCUAACAUAUUUAUCAAUGUAAUCUUCUUUAUUGUGGCAAGAAUAUUCAGAUCCAUAAUAUUCAAGACAAAAGUUUAAUAUUGACAUAAAAAUAAUAAUACUUCAAGCAUACUAACUAAGCAAUCAUGUCUUCUCAAAAUAGCAUGGCCAAACAAAGUUCAUCCCUACAAAAUCAUAUAGUUUGGUCAUGCUCCAUUUUCGUCACACAAGAAUGCUCUCAUCAUGCACAACCCCGAUGACAAGCCAAGAAAUUGUUUCAUACUUUAGUAAUCUCAAACUUUUUUCAACUUUCACGCAAUACAUGAGCGUGAGCCAUGGACAUAGCACUAUGGGUGGAAUAGAAUAAUGAUGGGGGUUGUGUGGAGAAGACAAAAAAGGGGAAAGUCUCACAUUGACGCGGCUAAUCAAUGGGCUAGGGAGAUGCCCAUCAAUUGAUGGCAAUGCAAGGAGUAGGGAUUGCCAUGCAACGGAUGCACUAGAGCUAUAAAUGUAUGAAAGCUCAACAAAAGAAAUUAGGUGGGUGUGCAUCCAACUUGCUUGCUCAUGAAGACCUAGGGCAUUUGAGGAAGCCCAUCGUUGGAAUAUACAAGCCAAGUUCUAUAACGAAAGAUUCCCACUAGUAUAUGAAAGUGACAUCAUAGGAGACUCUCUAUCAUGAAGAUCAUGGUGCUACUUUGAAACACAAGUGUGGAAAAAGGAUAGUAGCAUUCUCCCUUCUCUCUUUUUUCCUUUUUUUAUUUGGCCUUUCUUUUUUUUUUAUUUGGCCUUUUUUUGGACAAUGCUCUAUUAAUGAUGAUCAUCACACUUCUAUUUAUUUAGAACUCAAUGAUUACAACUCGAUACUAGAACAAAAUAUGACUCUAUAUGAGUGCCUCCGGCGGUGUACCGGGAUGGGCAAUGAAUCAAGAGUGACAUGUAUGAAAUAAUAUGCAUGGUGGCUUUGCCACAAAUACGAUGUCAACUACAUGAUCAUGCAAGGCAAUAUGACAAUGACGAAGCGUGUCAUAAUAAACGGAACGGUGGAAAGUUGCAUGGCAAUAUAUCUCGGAAUGGCUAUGGAAAUGCCAUAAUAUAUAGAUAGGUAUGGUGGCUGUUUUGAGGAAGAUAUAAGGAGGUUUAUGUGUGAUAGAGCGUAUCGUAUCACGGGGUUUCGAUGCACCGGCGAAGUUUGCACCAACUCUCAAGGUGAGAAAGGGCAAUGCACGGUACCGAAGAGGCUAGCACUGAUGGAAGGUUGAGAGUGCGUAUAAUCCAUGGACUCAACAGUCAUAAAGAACUCACAUACUUAUUGCAAAAAUCUACAAGUCAUCAAAAACCAAGCAUUACGCGCAUGCUCCUAGGGGGAUAGAUUGGUAGGAAAAGACCAUCGCUCGUCCCCAACCGCCACUCAUAAGGAUGACAAUCAAAGAACACCUCAUGUUUCAAAUUUGUCACACAACGGUUACCAUACAUGCAUGCUACGGGAUUUGCAAACUUCAACACAAGUAUUUCUCAAAUUCACAACUACUCAACUAGCACAACUUUAAUAUUACCACCUUUAUAUCUCAAAACAAUUAUCAAGUAUCAAACUUCUCAUAGUAUUCAAUGCACUCUAUAUGAAAGUUUUUAUUAUACCCAUCUUGGAUGCCCAUCAUAUUAGGACUAAAUUCAUAGCCCAAGAAAAUUACCAUGCUGUUCUAAAGACUCUCAAAAUAAUAUAAGUGAAGCAUGAAGUUCAUCUAUUUCUUCAAAAUAAAACCACCGUCGUGCUCUAAAAGUAUAUAAGUGAAGCACUAGAGCAAACAACAAACUACUCCGAAAGAUAUAAGUGAAGAUCAAUGAGUAGUCGAAUAAUUAUGCAACUAUGUGAAGACUCUCUAACAUUUAAGAAUUUCAGAUCUUGGUAUUUUAUUCAAACAGCAAGCAAAAGAAAAGAAAAUAAAAUGACGCUCCAAGCAAAACACAUAUCAUGUGGUGAAUAAAAAUAUAGCUCCAAGUAAAGUUACCGAUGAAUGAAGACGAAAGAGGGGAUGCCAUCCGGGGCAUCACCAAGCUUAGGCUCUUGGUUGUCCUAGAAUAUUGCCUUGGGGUGCCUUGGGCAUCCCCAAGCUCAGGCUCUUGCCACUCCUUAUUCCAUAGUCCAUCGAAUCUUUACCCAAAACUUGAAAACUUCACAACACAAAACUUAACAGAAAAUCUCAUGAGCUCCGUUAGUGAAACAAAACACAACACCACUUCAAGGUACUGUAAUGAACUCAUUCUUUAUUUGUAUUGGUGUUAAAUCUACUGGAUUCCAACUUCUCUAUGGUUUAUAAACUAUUUUACUAGCCAUAGAUUCAUCAAAAUAAGCAAACAACACACGGAAAACAGAAUCUGUCAAAAACAGAACAGUCUGUAGUAAUCUGUAACUAACGCAAACUUCUGGAACUCAAAAACUUCUACCCAAAUAGGACUACCUAGAAAAUUUGUUUAUUGAUCUACUGCAAUUGGAAUCAGUAUUUUAUCACAUUCUGGUGAUUUUAAACAAUUGUUGUCGUGAACAGAUAGUUUCUGGAAUUUUCAGCAAGAUCAAAUAACUAUAUCCAAGAAGAUCCUAUAGGUCUUACUUGGCACAAACACUAAUUAAAACAUAAAACCAAAUCUAACCAGAGGCUAGAUUGAUUAUUUACUACUAAACAGGAGCAAAAAGCAAAGAACAACAAUAAAAUUGGGUUGCCUCCCAACAAGCGCUAGCGUUUAACGCACCUAGGUAGGCAUGAUGAUUUCAAUGAUGCUCACGUAAAAGAUAAGAAUUGAAACAUAAAGAGAGCAUCAUGAAGAAUAUGACUAGCACAUUUAUAAUUCUAAUUAGGAUUUUACAAAGAGCUCGUAAUUAUUGAUUCUUUUAAUAGUUAGCAAUUGUGAAAAUAGCACAACUUUCCUCCUUUUCUCCCAUAAAUUUGUUGCUGAAAUAACAUUAUCACUUAGACAAAGCACAUUUUUUCUCUCUUUGUCACAUAUAUGGCCCAUAUAUCAUUUAGUUUCUCCUUAGUGUAUCAUGUUCGACCUUUCAGGUUUGGAUCCACCAAUUUUCUCAACUCGCAUAUCUUUUGUGUGAGCUCUAUUCAAAGGGAAAGGGAGGGCCAACUCCUGGUUGCUAUGAUCAACCAAACAAGCCUAUGUUUUGCAUCUCGUUUCUGUUGCGCUUGCCCGCCUUGCAUCUUGCUCCUUGGCACACCAUUCACCGGAUUGUUUUAUGUUCCCAAAUUAUGCCAUCAUUUCCCUUUUAUUUAUCUUUGCAAUUUUUUCCUGCAUGGUAGGCGUGCUCAGAGGGGGAUGUGCACGAGAGGAAGGACCAUAUGUGGAUGGGCUAGUAACAGAACCAGUCUUAAAUAAUUUCCUAAUUUCUUUGCAUGAUCUCAAGGAAGAAUUAGGCCUAAUCGUCAAUAAUUACCUAAUAACUCGUGCGAUCUUAUAAACUUAAAAUGUCUGAGCUCACGUGGAACAUGUACGUAUUAUCACAGGACAACUUCACACCCGACAUGGAGAAGCAGGACGAAGGGUCGCUGAGGUGGUGUGGGCCUUCAUCAUUGACUUCUAUCUGGUUCAGUAUACUUCGGAGCGCACUUCUGAUGAAGGGAAAUGUGCAGUAAAUGCAACUGAAACAAAGACUAUGCCUACAGAGUCCGUCCCGAGUGUGACGGUUGGUCUGGUGUCUGGCGACUUGCGGGCCAGCUAGGUUUCCGUGACCGCCGCCGUCCUAUCAGCUGUGUUUCUUCCUCGUUUCUUUCCCAGUCCAUACCCAUCCACCACAAGCCUUUUGCACGAUCUAGGACGUGCGAUCGUACACCACCAUCUUGCCCUAGUUUCCAGUGUGUCAGAUCGGAAGCGUUUAUCAAUGCGGUUGAUGUAGUCGUACACCUUCACGAUCCGUCCCGAUCAAGUACCAAACUUACGGCACCUCCGCGUUCAGCACACGUUCAGCUAGAUGACAUCCUCGCCUUUUUGAUCCAGCAAGAAGGGCAAAGUAGUAGAUGAGUUUCGGCAGCACGACGGCAUGGUGACGGUGUUGGUGAAGAACAAUCUCCGCAGGGCUUCACCUAAGCACCACGAAAACUAUGACGGAGGAUAAACUAGAGGGGACGGGGUUGCCGGCACACGGCUUGGUGUUUCUUGAUGUGUCUUGGGUGCUAGCCCUACCCCUCUAUUUAUAUGUUGAGCCUUGGGGUCGAAACUUGGAGUAAAAGCCUCCACAAAGUCGGUUUCACCCGAAAGGCAAGAGUCCUUCUCGGACUCCAGGCCCAGACGCCAGGGUUUCCGGCGUCUGGACCCAGACGCCAGGGACCCUGGCGUCUGGCCCCUGGACUCCGCAAAACUUCCUUUUGCGCUUUCCAAAAACCUCGUGGGCUUUCCCCUUUGGCCCAGAUAAAGUGUUCUCGUGCCCAAACAUUUCGGGAAACAUCCGGAACCCCUUCCGAUGGAUUCCGGAACCCUUCCGGAGAUCAAACACUACUAUCCACAUAUCAAUCUUUACUUCCGGACCAUUCCGGAGUUUCUCGUCAUAUCCGUGAUCUCAUCCGAAACUCCGAACAACAUUCGGUCACCAACAUACAUAACUCAUAGUACUAUAUCGUCAACGAACGUUAAGUGUGCGGACCCUACGGGUUCGAGAACUAUGUAGACAUGACCGAGACACCUCUCUGGUCAAUAACCAAUAGCGGAACCUGGAUGCCCAUAUUGGCUCCUACAUAUUCUACGAAGAUCUUUAUCGGUCAGACCGCAUAACAACAUACCUUGUUCCCUUUGUCAUCGGUAUGUUACUUGCCCGAGAUUCGAUCGUUGGUAUAUCAAUACCUAGUUCAAUUUCGUUACCGGCAAGUCUCUUUACUCGUUUCGUAAUACAUCAUCCCGCAACUAACUCAUUAGUUACAAUGCUUGCAAGGCUUAUAGUGAUGUGCAUUACCGAGUGGGCCCAGAGAUACCUCUCCGACAAUCGGAGUGACAAAUCCUAAUCUCGAAAUACGCCAACCCAACAAGUACCUUCGGAGACACCUGUAGAGCACCUUUAUAAUCACCCAGUUACGUUGAGAUGUUUAGUAGCACACAAAGUGUUCCUCCGAUAAACGGGAGUUGCAUAAUCUCAUAGUCAUAGGAACAUGUAUAAGUCAUGAAGAAAGCAAUAGCAGAAUACUAAACGAUCAAGUGCUAAGCUAACGGAAUGGGUCAAGUCAAUCACAUCAUUCUCCUAAGGAUGUGAUCCCGUUAAUCAAAUGAUAACUCAUGUCUAUGGGUAGGAAACAUAACCAUCGUUGAUCAAUGAGCUAGUCAAGUAGAGACAUACUAGUGACACUCUGUUUGUCUAUGUAUUCAAACACGUAUCAAGUUUUCGGUUAAUACAAUUCUAGCAUGAAUAAUAAACAUUUAUCAUGAAAUAAGGAAAUAAAUAAUAACUUUAUUAUUGCCUCUAGGGCAUAUUUCCUUCAGUCUCCCAUUUGCACUAGAGUCAAUAAUACAGAUCACAUCGCCAUGUGAUUUAACAUCAAUAGUUCACAUCACCGUGUGAUUAACACUCAUAGUUCACAUCGUCAUGUGACCAACACCCAAAAGGUUUUACUAGAGUCAAUAAUCUAGUUCACAUCGCUAUGUGACUAACAGCCAAAGAGUACUAAGGUGUGAUCAUGUUUUGCUUGUGAGAGAAGUUUAGUGAACGGGUCUGCCAUAUUCAGAUCUGUAUGUAUUUUGCAAAUUUCUAUGUCAACAAUGCUCUGCAUGGAGCUACUCUAGCUAAUUGCUCCCACUUUCAAUUUGUAUCAGAGAUUGAGACUUUAGAGUCAUCUGGAUCAGUGUCAAAACUUGCAUCGAUGUAACCCUUUACGACGAACCUUUUGUCACCUCCAUAAUCGUGAAACAUAUCCUUAUUCUACUAAGGAUAAUUUUGACUGCUCUCCAGUGAUCUACUCCUAGAUCACUAUUGUACUCCCUUGCUAAACUCGUUGUAGGGUAUACAAUAUGUCUGGUACACAGCAUGGCAUACUUUAUAGAACCUAUGGCUGAGGCAUAGGGAAUGACUUUCAUUCUCUCUCUAUCUUCUGUCGUGGUCGGGCUUUGAGUCUUACUCAAUUUCACACCUUGUAACACAGGCAAGAACUCUUUCUUUGACUGUUCCAUUUUGAACUACUUCAAAAACUUGUCAAGGUAUGUACUCAUUGAAAAAACUUAUCAAGCAUCUUGAUCUAUCUCUAUAGAUCUUGAUGCUCAAUAUGUAAGCAGCUUUACCGAGGUCUUUCUUUGAAAAAAUCCUUUCAAACACUCCUUUAUGCUUUCCAGAAAAUUCUACAUCAUUUCCGAUCAUCAAUAUGUCACUCACAUAUACUUAUCAGAAAGGCUGUAGUGCUCCCACUCACUUUCUUAUAAAUAUAGGCUUCACCGCAAGUCUGUAUAAAACUAUAUGCUUUGAUCAACUCAUCAAAGCGUAUAUUCCAACUCCGAGAUGCUUGCACCAGUCCAUAGAUGGAUUGCUAGAGCUUGCAUAUUUUGUUAGCACCUUUAGGAUUGACAAAACCUUCUGGUUGCAUCAUAUACAACUAUUCUUUUAAGAAAUCCAUUAAGGAAUGCAGUUUUGACAUCCAUUUGGCAAAUUUCAUAAAAUGCGGCAAUUGCUAACAUGAUUCGGACAAACUUUUAAGCAUCGAUACAAGUGAGAAAAUCUCAUUGUAUUCAACAUCUUGAACUUGUCGAAAACAUUUUUCCGACAAUUUGAGCUUUGUAGAUAGUAACACUACUAUCAACGCCUGUCUUCCUCUUGAAGAUCCAUUUAUUUUCUAUGGCUUGCCGAUCAUCGGGCAAGUCAACCAAAGUCCACACUUUGUUCUCAUACAUGGAUCCCAUCUCAGAUUUCAUGGCCUCAAGCCAUUUCGCGGAAUCUGGGCUCAUCAUCGCUUCCUCAUAGUUCGUAGGUUUGUCAUGGUAAAGUAACAUGACCUCCAGAACAAGAUUACCGUACCACUCUAGUGCGGAUCUCACUUUGGUUGACCUACGAGGUUCGGUAGUAACUUGAUCUGAAGUUACAUGCUCAUCAUCAUUAGCUUCCUCACUAAUUGGUGUAGGAGUCACAGGAACAGAUUUCAAUGAUGAGCUACUUUCCAAUUCGAGAGAAGGUGCAAUUACCUCAUCAAGUUCUACUUUCCUCCCACUCACUUCUUUCGAGAGAAACUCCUUCUCUAGAAAGGAUCCAUUCUUAGCAACGAAUGUCUUGCCUUCGGAUCUAUGAUGGAAGGUGUACCCAACUGUCUCCCUUGGGUAUCCUAGGAAGACACAUUUCUCCGAUUUGGGCUUGAGCUUAUCAGGAUGAAACUUUUUCACAUAAGCAUCGCAACCCCAAACUUUAAGAAACGACAACUUGGGUUUCUUGCCAAACCACAGUUCAUAAGGUGUCGUCUCAAAGGAUUUAGAUGGUGCCCUAUUUAACGUGAAUGCAGCUGUCUUUAAUGCAUAACCCCAAAACGAUAGUGGUAAACUGGUAAGAGACAUCAUAGAUUGCACUAUAUCCAAUAAAGUACGGUUAUGACGUUCGGACACACCAUUAUGCUGUGGUGUUCUAGGUGGCAUGAGUUUGUGAAACUAUUCCACAUUGUUUUUAUUGAAGGCCAAACUCGUAAAUCAAAUAUUCUCCUCCACGAUCAAAUCGUAGAAACUUUAUUUUCUUGUUACGACGAUUUUCCACUUCACUCUGAAAUUCUUUGAACUUUUCAAAUGUUUCAGACUUAUGUUUUCAUCAAGAAGAUAUACCCAUAUCUACUCAAAUCACCUGUGAAGGUCAGAAAAUAACGAUACCCGCCGCGAGCCUCAACACUCAUCGGACCGCAUACAUCAGUAUGUAUUAUUUCCAAUAAGUCAGUUGCUCGCUCCAUUGUUCCGGAGAACGGAGUCUUAGUCAUCUUGCCCGUGAGGCAUGGUUCGCAAGCAUCAAGUGAUUUAUAAUCAAGUGAUUCCAAAAGCCCAUCAGCAUGGAGUUUCUUCAUGCGCUUUACACCAAUAUGACCUAAACGGCAGUGCCACAAAUAAGUUGCACUAUCAUUAUUAACUUUGCAUCUUUUGGCUUCAAUAUUAUGAAUAUGUGUAUCACUACGAUCGAGAUCCAACAAACCAUUUUCAUUGGGUGUAUGACCAUAGAAGGUUUUAUUCAUGUAAACAGAACAACAAUUAUUCUCUAAUUUAAAUGAAUAACCGUAUUGCAACAAACAUGAUCAAAUCAUAUUCAUGCUCAACGUAAACACCAAUAACACUUAUUUAGGUUCAACACUAAUCCCGAAAGUAUAGGGAGUGUGCGAUGAUGAUCAUAUCAAUCUUGAAACUACUUCCAACACACAUCGUCACUUCACCCUUAACUAGUUUCUGUUCAUUCUGCAACUCCCGUUUCGAGUUACUACUCUUAGCAACUGAACCAGUAUCAAAUACCGAGGGGUAGCUAUAAACACUAGUAAAGUACACAUCAAUAACAUGUAUAUCAAAUAUACCUUUGUUCACUUUGCCAUCCUUCUUAUCCACCAAGUAUCUAGGGCAGUUCCACUUCCAGUGACCAUUUCCUCUGCAGUAGAAGCACUUAGUCUCAGGCUUAGGUCUUGACUUGGACUUCUUCUCAUGAGCAGCAACUUGCUUGCCGUUCUUCUUGAAGUUCCCCUUCUUCCCUUUGCCCUUUUCUUGAAACUAGAGGUCUUGUCAACCAUCAACACUUGAUGCUUUUCUUGAUUUCUACCUUCGUCGAUUACAGCAUCACGAAGAGCUUGAGAAUCGUUUCCGUUAUCCCUUGCAUAUUAUAGUUUAUCACGAAGUUCUAGUAACUUAGUGAUAGUGACUAGAGAACUUUGUCAAUUACUAUCUUAUCUGGAAGAUUAACUCCCACUUGAUUCAAGCAAUUGUAGUACCCAGACAAUCUGAGCACAUGCUCACUGGUUGAGCUAUUCUCCUCCAUCUUGUAGGCAAAGUACUGUCAGAGGUCUCAUACCUCUCGAACGGGCAUGAGUAUGAAAUACCAAUUUCAACUCUUGGAACAUCUUAUAUGCUCCAUGGCAUUCAAAACGUUUAUGAGGUCCCGAUUCUAAGCCGUUAAGCAUGGUGCACUAAACUAUCAAGUAGUCAUCAUAUUGAGCUAGCCAAACGUUCAUAACGUCUGCAUCUGCUCCUGCAAUAGGUCUGUCACCUAGCGGUGCAUUAAGGACAUAAUUCUUCUGUGCAGCAAUGAGGAUAAUCCUCAGAUCGCGGAGCUAGUCCGCAUCUUUGCUACUAACAUCUUUCAACUUAUUUUUCUCUAGGAACAUAUCAAAAAUAAACGGAGAACAAUAUCGCGAGCUAUUGAUCUACAACAUAGAUAUGCAAAUACUACCAGGACUAAGUUCAUGAUAAAUUAAAGUUCAAUUAAUCAUAUUACUUAAGAACUCCCACUCAGAUAGACAUCCCUCUAGUCAUCUAAAUGAUCACGUGAUCCAAAUCAACUAAACCAUGUCCGAUCAUCACGUGAGAUAGAGUAGUUUUCAAUGGUGAACAUCACUAUAUUGAUCAUAUCUACUAUAUGAUUCACGCUCGACCUUUCGGUCUCCAGUGUUCCGAGGCCAUAUCUGCAUAUGCUAGGCUCGUCAAGUUUAACCUGAGUAUUCUGCAUGUGCAAAACUGGCUUGCACCCGUUGUAGAUGGAUGUAGAGCUUAUCACACCCGAUCAUCACGUGGUGUCUGGGCAUGACGAACUUUGGCAACGGUGCAUACUCAGGGAGAACACUUAUACCUUGAAAUUUAGUGAGAGAUCAUCUUAUAAUGUUACUGUCAAACAAAGCAAGAUAAGAUGCAUAAAAGAUAAACAUCACAUGCAAUCAAUAUAAGUGAUAUGAUAUGGCCAUCAUCAUCUUGUGCUUGUGAUCUCCAUCUCCGAAGCACCAUCAUGAUCACCAUCGUCACCGGCGCGACACCUUGAUCUCCAUCAUAGCAUCGUUGUCGUCUCGCCAACUAUUGCUUCUACGACUAUCGCUACCGCUUAGUGAUAAAGUAAAGCAAUUACAGGGCAAUUGCAUUGCAUACAAUAAAGCGACAACCAUAUGGCUCCUCCCAGUUGUCGAUAACUCGGUUACAAAACAUGAUCAUCUCAUACAAUAAAAUUUAGCAUCAUGGCUUGACCAUAUCACAUCACAGCAUGCCCUGCAAAAACAAGUUAGACGUCCUCUACUUUGUUGUUCCAAGUUUUACGUGGCUGCUACGGGCUUAGCAAGAACCGUUCUUACCUACGCAUCAAAACCACAACGAUAUUUCGUCAAGUUAGUGCGGUUUUAACCUUCACAAGGACCGGGCGUAGCCACACUCGGUUCAACUAAAGUUAGAGAAACUGACACCCGCCAGCCACCUGUGUGCAAAGCACGUCGGUAGAACCAGUCUCGCGUAAGCGUACGCGUAAUGUCGGUCUAGGCCGCUUCAUCCAACAAUACUGCCGAACCAAAGUAUGACAUGUUGGUAAGCAGUAUGACUUGUAUCGCCUACAACUCACUUGUGUUCUACUCGUGCAUAUAACAUCUACGCAUAAAACCUGGCUCGGAUGCCACUGUUGGGGAACGUAGUAAUUUCAAAAAAAAUCCUACGCACACGCAAGAUCAUGGUGAUGCAUAGCAACGAGAGUGGAUAGUGUUAUCUACGUACCCUCGUAGACCAUAAGCGGAAGUGUUUAUCAACGCGGUUGAUGUACUCGUACACCUUCACGAUCCGUCCCGAUCAAGUACCGAACGUACGGCACCUCCGCGUUCAGCACACGUUCAGCUCGAUGACGUCCUCGACUUCUCGAUCCAGCAAGAGGGGCGAAGUAGUAGAUGAGUUCCGGCAGCACGACGGCGUGGUGACGGUGUUGGUGAAGAACAAUCUCCGCAGGGCUUCGCCUAAGCACUACGAAAACUAUGACGCAGGAUAAACUAGAGGGGACGGGGUUGCCGGCACACGGCUUGGUGUUUCUUGAUGUGUCUUGGGUGCUAGCCCUACCCCUCUAUUUAUAUGUUGAGCCUUGGGGUCGAAACUUGGAGUAAAAGCCUCCACAAAGUCGGUUUCACCCGAAAGGCAAGAGUCCUUCUCGGACUCCAGGGCCAGACGCCAGGGUUCUCGGCGUCUGGACCCAGACGCCAGGGACCCUGGCGUCUGGCCCCUGGACUCCGCAAAACUUCCUUUUGCGCUUUUCAAAAACCUCGUGGGCUUUCCCCUUUGGCCCAGAUAAAGUGUUCUCGUGCCCAAACAUUUCGGUAAACAUCCGGAACCCCUUCCGAUGGAUUCCGGAACCCUUCCGGAGAUCAAACACUACUAUCCACAUAUCAAUCUUUACUUCAGGACCAUUCCGGAGUUCCUCGCCAUAUCCUGAUCUCAUCUGAAACUCUGAACAACAUUCGGUCACCAACAUAAAUAACUCAUAGUACUAUAUCGUCAACGAACGUUAAGCGUGCGGACCCUGCGGGUUCAAGAACUAUGUAGACAUGACCGAGACACCUCUCUGGUCAAUAAUCAAUAGCAGAACCUGGAUGCCCAUAUUGGCUCCUACAUAUUCUACGAAGAUCUUUAUCGGUCAGACUACAUAACAACAUACCUUGUUCCCUUUGUCAUCGGUAUGUUACUUGCCCGAGAUUCGAUCGUCGGUAUCUCAAUACCUAGUUCAAUCUCGUUACCGGCAAGUCUCUUUACUCGUUCCGUAAUACAUCAUCCCGCAACUAACUCAUUAGUUACAAUGCUUGCAAGGCUUAUAGUGAUGUGCAUUACCGAGUGGGCCCAGAGAUACCUCUCCGACAAUCGGAGUGACAAAUCCUAAUCUCGAAAUACGCCAAACCAACAAGUACCUUCGGAGACACCUGUAGAGCACCUUUAUAAUCACCCAGUUACGUUGUGACGUUUGGUAGCACACAAAGUGUUCCUCCGAUAAACGGGAGUUGCAUAAUCUCAUAGUCAUAGGAACAUGUAUAAGUCAUGAAGAAAGCAAUAGCAGAAUACUAAACGAUCAAGUGCUAAGCUAACGGAAUGGGUCAAGUCAAUCACAUCAUUCUCCUAAUGAUGUGAUCCCGUUAAUCAAAUGACAACUCAUGUCUAUGGCUAGGAAACAUAACCAUCUUUGAUCAAUGAGCUAGCAAGUAGAGGCAUACUAGUGACACUCUGUUUGUCUAUCUAUUCAAACAUGUAUCAAGUUUCCGGUUAAUAUUAUUCUAGCAUGAAUAAUAAACAUUUAUCAUGAAAUAAGGAAAUAAAUAAUAACUUUAUUAUUGCCUUUAGGGCAUAUUUCCUUCAAUUUACCCCCAUGGCAGGUGCUGACGCUGCGGCAAUUCUAAAUAACAUAGCACCAAAAGUCUCUGCCCAAAUGAACAAUACUUAACGGCGGAUUUUACUGCAGAGGAGGUUAAGGAGGCUCUAGAUAACAUUGUUGAUCUCAAAGCACCAAGCGUUGAUGGCUUACCAGCAAUCUUCUAUAAGCACUAUUGGCGGCUGUUUGGUGAUGAUGUUGUGCGCGAGGUUUUACAGGUAUAACGAGGCGGUAGUAUUCCGGAGGGAUGGAACGACACCCUUGUGGUGCUUAUCCCAAAGGUCCAGAACCCAGAAAGAUUGAAGGAUCUACGCCCUAUUAGCCUCUGUAAUGUUGUGUAUAAGCUCGUGUCCAAGGUUUUGGCCAACAGACUGAAGUGCAUACUGGGAGAGAUCAUAUCACCAAACCAGAGUGCGUUCGUGCCCGGCAGGCUCAUUUCCGAUAACACUAUUUUGGCUUAUGAGAUGACACACUUUUUGAAGAGAAAGAGAACUAGAGCCACUAGCUAUGCAGCACUCAAACUUGAUAUGAGUAAGGCCUACGACAGGGUGAACUGGGAUUUUAUGGAGAAGAUCAUGACACGGUUGGGUUUUGAUAGUGCCUUCGUGGAACAAAUCAGCAAGUGUAUGCAUACUGUACGCUACAGAUUCAAGGUAAAUGGGUCAUGUACCGAGACAGUUAUUCCAGGACAAGGUUUGAGGCAGGGAGACCCAAUUUCUCCAUACUUAUUCCUUAUAUGUGCUGAGGGUUUCUCCGCGUUGCUUGAUCAUGCCGAAUCCGUGGGAUCGCUUAGAGGCAUCAAAGUAGCACCUGAGGCCCCUACUGUCACACACCUGCUUUUCGCGGACGAUUCCUUGCUGUUGAUGGAGGCCACCGAGGAGAGUGUGUCCGUGGUGAAUGAAAUUCUUGAAGUAUAUGAGAAGGGGUCGGGCCAAAUUAUUAAUCGGGACAAGUCUUGUGUGCUCUUCAGUAAGAACACGUCGCAGCUUAGGAAACAAACCUUACUGCAUCUUCUCGGCCUACAGAACGAGGGUCAACAGGGCAAGUAUUUGGGGCGGCCUCGCUAUGUGGGUAAGGCUCAUCAAGCCUGCUUUGAAUACCUCCGGGACAGAAUCUGGGAGCUACUUCAGGGUUAUAAAAUCAAGAUGCUGUCAAAGAAGGGUAAGGAAAUCCUAAUAAAAACGGUCGCCCAAGCAAUUCCAGCCUAUGCCAUGGCCUGUUUCGAUCUGACAAAGUCCUUGUGUGACAGUAUAAGCCACAUGAUCUGUCGUUUUUGGUGGGAUAACCAAGAGGAUGAGCACUGGGUUGGCUGGGAGAAGAUGACCCAUCCGAAGGAACAGGGGAGGGCUUGGGUUUAGGGAUCUACACGCUUUCAAUAUUGAAAUGUUGUCUCGCCAAGUUUGGAGGUUGAUCCAGGCACCGGACUCGCUCUGUGCUCGUGUUCUACGUGCUAAAUGCUACCCGGACGGCGACAUUUUUGCAGCUACAGCGACCCCGGGCAUCAGUUAUGUUUGGCGGAGCAUCCUUCAAGGGGUGUCCGUCGUGAAGGAGGGGAUGGUGUGGAGGGUGGGUUCGGGUGAGCAUAUCCGGAUCUGGCAGGACCCCUGGCUCCCAGCUCGCAAUACCAUCCUGACUAAAGUCUUAGAGCUUAUCGACCCGUAUACACACUCCUGGGAUGAGCUGUUGGUUAGACAAACGUUCAAUCCGGAAGAGAUUGAUAUAAUACUAAAGAUUCCAAUUUUUGAGCAACAUGAGGACUUCUUGGCUUGGCAAUUCGAUAGCAAGGGCUUAUUUUCAGUGAGGUCAGCGUACAGAGUUCACCUUGACAUGAAGAAACGGCUGGCCCCUAGGCAGCAGGGUGAGGGCGCCGACGGUGAUACAGCUUAUGGGAAAAUGUGGCAGAACCUCUGGAAGAUUAGAUGUCCCGGGAAAGUGCAUCAUUUUUUGUGGAGAGUUGCUCAUAAUAGUCACCCUAUGCUGAGCAAUAUUGAACGGAUUGGGAUCAAACUCAAUACUAGCUGUGUCCUUUGCCAUAGAUUACCGGAGGAUGGCGGACAUCUUUUUUUCAGAUGUAAGGAGGUCAAGAAGAUUGGCAUGUGUGUGAGCUGGAGUCGUCCCGGUUAAACCUGCUGCAAUGUCAGUUACCGAGCGAUAUCCUCGCCACCAUAUUUGCCCUUCCAGAGGACAGGAAGCUGAGAAUCAUAUGCCUUCUGUGGCUGUGGUGGACGGAGAGGAAUAAAGCCAAUCAUACGCAAAAGAGAGCUACACUUGAGGAGUUCUGCUUCCUUUUGGAGAAGCAUGUUGCUGAAUGGCGUGUCUUUUAUGCAAAACCAGAGAAAGCGCAGAUUCUGAACAAACCUUAGUGGAGCAAACCGAUGGUGGAUAAGGUUAAAAUUAAUAUUGACGGCGCUUUUGAUGUUGCUAAGCAGACCUUGGGUUGGGGCUGUGUGGCCCGAGACCAUACAGGUGAGGUGUUGUUUGCUGCUGCUGGAAGGCUUGUGCAGAUAAGUGAAGCUCUGCACGCUGAAGCAACUGCGCUGUUGUACGCCAUACACUUAGCUGAGCAGCAUGGUAUGGGGCGUGUCAAUUUUGAGACAGACUGUCUUGGACUUGCUCAAGCCAUUAAUUCCACGGUGCUUGACCGCUCCAAUCUUCACUGCUAGGGAAAACCCUAGUAGUAGCGCGGGUUUUGAGGCUAUCAGCAGCGCGGGCAGCCGCGCUACUAAUAAGGCGCUACAACUAACUGUUAGUAGUAGCGCUGCCUGUACCCGCGCUACUACUAUUGACUGUAUCAGCAACGCUUUUUCAGAACACGCUACUAUUAGUUAGCUGUAGCGCUUUCCUAGCCCCGCGCUAUUGCUAUGUGUUUCAUCAUCCCCCCCCCCCCUCCUACCCAGUUUCAGUUUCCUGCAUUUUCCAGAUACUAGGUACUACUAGAUAUCAAUUUCAUAAAGCAUUAUAGGUAUUAGGUAGUACUACCUCCGUUCUGAAUUACUCGUCGUGGUUUUAGUUCAAAUUUGAACUAAAACCACGAUGAGUAAUUUGGAACGGAGGAAGUACUAGAUAACAAUUUCAUAUAUAGUCAACAUGCAUCCUCAAGUAGUACAAGGUAAUAUCGACGACGAUCAUUAUGUAGUUCUAGAUGAUAUUGACGACGAUCAUCAUAUGUAGUUCUACAUGAUAUCGACGACGAUCAUCAUAUGUAGUUCUAGAUGAUAUAGCCACAUACACAAAUGUAGUUCUAGAUGAUAUCGAUGACGAUCACCAUCCUGAAGCCUGGGCGGUGGGUGUUCCUGAUAGUAAUUAGGAUGCCCUGUCCAACACGAAGAUUCUUGCCAACGAGGAAUCUCUUUCACCCAACCGAGUUUAAGUGUGUGCGACCGUCUGUGUCCAUGUGGUAAGUACAGGUGGUGACGGAGCCCCUUGCGGUAAGCCGUAGUCCAGCUGAGCCUUCUUCAUCAGGCUCGAUACCACAACUCAUAGAUAGGUUCUUUGGCAAUUUCUGAAUAAGAAAAACAUAUCAAUUAAUAAAUAAGCUCGCACAUACUCUUGCAAAUAUAUUUCUAUUAAGUAUAGAUUUCUACACUAUCAAAAGACACAGUACUACGCAUUUGUACUAAUUAAACAUGAAUUCUAGUAAUGAGUAUAUAUGGAUUAUCUACACUAUUAAUAGUUUCUUGGAUUCUACACUAAUAAGCAUGUGAUCAGACUCUACACUAAAGCAUAUCAUCGACUAGAUUCCACAAAGCAUAUCAUUGGACUCUACACUAAGCAUAUCAUCAAAUUACUACAGUCAGUAUAACAUACCAUUUCAUGCCGAUCGACCAUGGUACUUAUCAGGCGGGUCAUGAAUAGCACCCCGACAAAGUCAUCACGUGGCGGAAUUAUGUCCCAUAGGUUGCACACCUCCUCCUCGCUCAGCCUCAUUCUUUGAGCUAUGAUAACUUCAUGAAGUGGGUUCUCAUCAUCUUCAUCGAGUGGGUCCUCAUUAUCUUCAUCAUCUUCGUCAUCUUCAUCAUCUUCCACCAGGUUGAUAUAAAUGACAGCCGGCUUGGGUCUUUCUGCUCUGAAGGAGAAGCUGAUCAACUCACCACCAGUAAGAAGCAUGCGGGCGAGGAAACAGGCCCAUCCAUCUCCUCCAAUCUGUGACAUAUUGCGUCCUUUCUCGACCUCCAUAGUGUAUGGCCCCCAGGAGCCUCAAAUUUUACAGUGUCUCAUGUCAGCUUGUUGAAUUUCAUCCUCACAUUGCAUGGGACGAUCUGUGUAAAAAAAGCAAAAUGACACAACGCAGUAAUGCCAACACUAAAAAUAAAAUAGUUGUUACAUUUCAUCUAAUUUCUUACCGCCGCAUGACGAAAACUCGGCUGGAAGUAGAUGCCGAACAGCUUGCCAAUUGCAAGGCUGCUGGCGCACCUUGACUUGCACAGUCGACAUGGUGGUGAUGGUGGUGGCGCCAUUUUCCUAAAGCAAUAUGAGCAAAGGAUUAACGAUCCACUUCAUAGGAAAGAAAAACAGUAGCAUGUGAUAUUUUUGGUUCUUCUUCAGUUAUAUUUUCAUAGUGGAACCUGGACCCAAAAAGUAAACAACAAGCUCUCAAUUAACUUACUAACACCUUCUAUAAUAGAACCAACAGCUAGCAGGCAAAUGCCAAAUCAGCCAACAAGACUCACAGCCAACAAGUUCUCAAUUAGCUUACUAACACCUUCUAGAAUAUCUCUAGAUGAAGAGAUUCUUCCGCGAGAAGCAAUUUGAUGGACAAUUAUAAUCCUAAGAUCUAGUAACAUAUAAGAUGACAAGGUAUCACCUACGAAAGCAUUUUAGUGGCACCUAUUGCCGAAAAAACUAUUUGGCCCCUACCAAAGGUAUAAUCCUAAGAUUUGUAAUAAGUUAUCUACCAAAUAAAGGUACCACCUACCAAGACACAUUUCAUCUAAUUUGGCCCCUAUUGCCUAAGAUAACUGAUUAAAAAAACAAGUGGCAAAUUUAAUUGGGAUUAACUUAGCACUUGCAAACUAAAUACUUGUAUCAUAACCAAUAUCUAGCAGAUCACGGUACCACCUACCAAAGCAUUUCAACUAAAUUGGCACCUACAUUUUGAAAAAAAAUAACUUAUUACAGAAAAACAAAAGCAUCUAGUUAUCCAUAUGAAAUUCGUAAGCCCUCGCUGCAUCUACGUAGGGCAGCCCUCGGGGGGUGCUGUCGAGGAGGGGGGAUGGCAUGGUGACCUUGGUCGGGGGUGCUGACGAGGGGAAGGCCGGUGACUUUCCUACGAGAGGGGGCGACGACAGCGGCCGGCGAGGGGAUCGAGGGCGGUCGGCCAAAGGCGCCCGGCCAGAGCUCGCGGGCAGCGACAGAGUGGGCGGCGAGAGGGUGGAGGAGCAGCGGAGGGGCGGUGAGAGGGGGGAGGAGCAUUACCUGUGGCGGAGGAGAAACCCUAACCGCAGCUGCCGGCGUCGGGCGGAGGGGGGCNNNNNNNNNNNNNNNNNNNNNNNNNNNNNNNNNNNNNNNNNNNNNNNNNNNNNNNNNNNNNNNNNNNNNNNNNNNNNNNNNNNNNNNNNNNNNNNNNNNNNNNNNNNNNNNNNNNNNNNNNNNNNNNNNNNNNNNNNNNNNNNNNNNNNNNNNNNNNNNNNNNNNNNNNNNNNNNNNNNNNNNNNNNNNNNNNNNNNNNNNNNNNNNNNNNNNNNNNNNNNNNNNNNNNNNNNNNNNNNNNNNNNNNNNNNNNNNNNNNNNNNNNNNNNNNNNNNNNNNNNNNNNNNNNNNNNNNNNNNNNNNNNNNNAGUAGCGCGGGUACAGGGAGCGCGCUACUGCUAAGCCCAAUAUCAAUAGCGCUUUGUCCUGAAAAAACGCUACUGCUAAGUGUAAGUAUGUAAAAACAUCAAAAAUAUACAUUGGUCAUCAUUGAUCUUUUUGUGCAGAAACUAAAUGGUCAACAUGAAUCCUCGCCGUACCUGGAUAGGCACAGGUGAAGAUUCAUAUUGCAGCCACAAAUCCUACACAUAUAGUUCAAUGAAGAUCAAGUGCUCGAGAUAGUUUGAGAAGUAACAUAUUUAAGGUGGUAAACACCUUGUUCGCUUAGCAGUAUGGGACUAAACUUAAUUAGUUGCAAGGGGGUGAUAUUUAGCAGCAACGAGUUUUGAAGAAAAACGCUGCUACUAAGUACUUUAGCAGUAGCGCGUCGAGGAAAAGGGCGCUACUACUAUAUCUAGCCUAGAGGCAACACCGUGGCAAUUAUAGUAGUAGCGCUUGUUUCACCUAGAGCGCUACUGCUACUGGGCUAUUAGUAGCGCGGUUUCCUGAAGCUCGCUACUGCUAAUUAGCAGUAGCGUUUGUUUUUAAACCACGCUGCUGCUAAGAUUCUGUGUAUAAGGUUUUCCCUAGUAGUGUUUGGUGUUGUCUUCCGUGAAGCUAGAUAUCUCCUACGAGCGAGUUUUAACGAGUGGAGCAUUGUUCACUGCCCAAGGGAUUGUAACAAGCCUGCCCAUGAGUUGGCAACUAUAGGUAGAUGCAUUGAACAGCGGCUCAGGCUAUCAGAUUUCCCUCACAAUGUAACCGUGGCUAUGACCGCCGAUUUGGCCGGUCCGACAUAAUUUGGAAUGCAAGGUGUUCCAGUUUAAAAAAAAUGCAGUGUUGCAAAAGAAAUAAAUAAUUUGUUUAUGUUCCCCGCAAAAAAAAGCUUGUUUAUGUUAGUUUUCGUGGGUGUAUCUUUAGAAUUGAGUGUUGCGCAGAGUGUAAAAGUUGCUUUGCUGUCCUCUCUGUUGUUUACCAGCAGAUUUAUUCGCUAGUUGAUUUCGACACUAUUGUGCAGGGCCGGGCCGGCAAAAUCGGAGGCCCUGUGCCAAACUCUAAAAUGGGGCGUGUUGCAGUAGAACAGUAGAAUGAUAAUGAUGUAUAGAUCAUAUUGUGUGACGUAGCAAUGGGAUGGAUCAAAAAUCGCAUCCAUUCAACAUUUGGUUGCAUAAUCAUUUUUGAGAUACUCCCUCCGAUGCAUCCAUUUGAGCGACGAUUAAUAUGACAAAGAUUAUGUUCUCUCGGGGAAACAUGACCUAGAUCUUGGAACACUGAUCGACGGCACGCCGGUAUUCAAAAGGUACAAAAAAUAAUAUUAACUACAAGGUAUUGGAAAUCAAAAGGCGAAACUCAAAAGAUGAAAAUGGUAAAAUUAGUUGAACUCACGGUCAAAGCCAUGGGUCAUUGGCCGCUCGAAAACGAGUUCCAUUAUUUGCCAAACUCAAACCGCUCCUGCCUUCCUGGUGCUCGGCUGCUGCCGUCCGGAGCGAAGGAUAGAUCAGCUUCGCGGACGAGAGACACAAACUCCGCAGAGAUGUAGACGCGGCCUAGAUCCGAUCCGGAGGCAUAUUACUUCUGUUCAAGAAGACGAACGAUUGUACAGGAAUUUUUUGAAGGAAGAUUUGGAUAGGGAUUGGGAGCAUCGAACGAUUGAGCGGCCGGCUGCUUCAAGGUGUGUCACACGUGCGAUUCAGGGAUUUCCUAUUCGCCGCGCGCUGCGGCAAAAUGUCGGUAAAUCCUAAACGGCGCUCUAAGCGCCCGUUUUNNNNNNNNNNNNNNNNNNNNNNNNNNNNNNNNNNNNNNNNNNNNNNNNNNNNNNNNNNNNNNNNNNNNNNNNNNNNNNNNNNNNNNNNNNNNNNNNNNNNNNNNNNNNNNNNNNNNNNNNNNNNNNNNNNNNNNNNNNNNNNNNNNNNNNNNNNNNNNNNNNNNNNNNNNNNNNNNNNNNNNNNNNNNNNNNNNNNNNNNNNNNNNNNNNNNNNNNNNNNNNNNNNNNNNNNNNNNNNNNNNNNNNNNNNNNNNNNNNNNNNNNNNNNNNNNNNNNNNNNNNNNNNNNNNNNNNNNNNNNNNNNNNNNNNNNNNNNNNNNNNNNNNNNNNNNNNNNNNNNNNNNNNNNNNNNNNNNNNNNNNNNNNNNNNNNNNNNNNNNNCGAACCCGCGCUAACAACUGGACAACUUCAACUUCUGUGAUAAAUAACAGCUCCUCGCCUCUUUUGUUCUUUAUUUUCCUUUUACCUUUUUUUCUUUUCUCAAUUUCGUUCUUCUUUCUUCUUUUUCCUUUUUUUUUUCACGUUCGAUGAAAAAAGUUACCGAAUUUUCUGAUAGUUUUUUCAAAUUAGAUGAACUUUUUUCAAAAUUGGUGAAGUUUUUUUUGCCAAAUUUGAUGAAAUAUUUAGAAUUUGUUGAAAAAAAAUUCAAAUGCGAUAAACAUUUUUCUAAUUUGGUGAACAUUUUUCAAAAUCAGUGAACUUUUUCCAAAUUCUAUGAACCUUUUUUCAAAUAAGAUGAACUCUUUCAAAUUUAAUGAACCUUCUUUCCAAUUUGAUGAACCCUUUUUCCAAUUUGAUGAACUAUUUUUCAGAUUUUAUGAAUUAAUUUUUAAAUUUGAUGAACUUUUUUUCAAAUUUCAUGAACUUUUUCUAAAUUUGGUUAACAUUUUUCGAAAUUUGGGACAUUUUCUACAAAAUCAAAGAAAUUUUUUUAAAAGCGCUGAUUUUUUCCAAAUUUGAUGAACUUUUUUACAAGUGGAUGAACAUUUUUUCAAAUUCGAUGAACAUUUUUCUAAAUUUGUGAACUUUUCUACAAAAUCGAUGAACUUUUUAAAACAAUCAUGGAAAUUUUCCAGAAUUUGGUGAACUUUUAGUUAUUUUCGAAUUCCAUGAACUUUUUCAAAAAAAUUGAACUAUUUUCUCAUACGGGCGGACCUUUUUUAUAGCAACUCUAUGAUUUUUCCCAAUUCCACGUUUUAUUUUUUCAAAUGAUUUAUAUGUGCAGAAUAUAUGUUAAUGUUUUUUACUGAAACGGGCGGACUGUUUUCGGACUGUAAUCAGCGAAGUAUUCUUGGUCGAUUUGUUCUUGCGUCACCUCUUUAGCUGUCGGACCUGAGUUCGCAUCCCAGGUGACCUAUUUUAUCAGCUAAGUAUUUUUCUCUUCUCUUCACUUUUUUCUGCAGGUUGCUGGGCCGGCCCGCUAGUCGUCGCGCGUGGCUGCCAGCUGCGGUUAGCGGUGCCGCUAAAAGAGCCGUAUAGGAACUCCCCGAAAUGUCGCAGGUUCGCACAGGCGAUCGGUAAAAUUGGGCCGGCCUGUUUAAGCGGUUUCAGCAUUUCCGGUUUUGGGAACCUUCUACAAGGUACCUAAACCAGAUGUUUUCUGUUCUGUUAAUAUUUUCCUCUUUUUUUCCUUUUCUCUCCGUGUUUCCUUUUCUUUACUUAUUCCUUUUUUUGUUUCUUUCUAUACUUUUUCUUUUCUUUUCAUUUUCAUUUUUCUUUCUUAUAUUUCUUUUCUUUUCCAAAAAAUGUUCACAUUUUACAAAUAUUUCAUUUUUACGCAAAAUUUUCCAGUUUUCAAAUUAUGUUCAUAAAUUCCAAAAUUUGUUCGCUUUGUUGCAAAAAAUGUUCGGUAAUUAAAAAAAUGUUCACCUUUUAAUGUUUCGUUCACAAAACAAAAAUUAUUUGGUUUCAAAAAAUUUCCCAUUUUUAAAAAUUUGCUUGGAAAUUUUAAAAAAUGUUCACCUCUUAAAACUUUGUUCAUAAAUGAAAAAAUGUUUGGGAAUUUCAAAAAAAAAUCCUGUUACGAAAUUUUGUUCACAAAUAUAAAAAAAUUCUAGAACACCAAAUUUGUUCAAAAAUUCAAAACAUAUUUUCAUUUUCAAAUUUUUUUCACAUAUUUAAAAAUAUUCAUGUUUCUAAAUUUGUUCAUAAAUUCAAAAAAUGUUCACAUGUUUAAUUUUUUGCACAAAUUCUAAAAUAUUUCGGAAUUUCAAAAUGUGCUCCUGUUUUCCAAAUUGUUCGCAUAUUCUAAAAAUGCUACAGUUUUCAAAUUCUGUUCACAACUUUUAAAAAUGUUCAUCUUUUUGAAAGUUGUUCGCAAAUAAUGUUCGUAGUUUAUAAAAUAUUCUUGUAUUCAAUUUUUUGUUCUUAUUUUUUUAGUUCCCAUAUAAUGUUCGCGUUUCGAAAAGAUUUCCCUUUUAAGAAAUUACGCUUGAAAUUUUAAAACAAGUAUUAAUCAGCGGCGGAUUAUAGUUCAUAUAUACUGGGCUGCCUUCGUAUGUACUAAUCCUUUGUUACUACAAUGGCUAUGGACUAGCUUCUCUAGCGCGAGGACAACAGUUUGAUCUCUCACCCACUGCACAUACCACAAGGAGUACAUACUCCUAGUAGUGCUAACCCUAUAAAUGGGUUUUGAUGGUGGUUCUAUUCUACUAACACCCUUAAGACCUUAUUCUACUAACAAAACCACCUUAUUGUACUUGCGUCCCGAACUAGCGAAGACGAAAACAGAAUAAAAACCCGACCCUCAUGCCACGACCACCCACUUACCCCGCGAGCCACCAAUCUCCCACGAGCUCCACAAACCUACACCCCUACCAUCGCGGCACCCCACACCACCACCACCUACCCCAACCCGCUGCCCACAACCACCUGCCCAACAGCCGGCAACCAUGGGACAACCCCCGACCACCACGGCGCCCCCACGCACCCACCGCCAGCCCCCUUCCACAACACAAAAUGUGCCUCUCCUUCCCCGCAAUCCUCUUCCACAACCCUCCACGAUCUCCCUCCCCAGAGCACCACCCCUGGCGACCCUGACUUCCCCCAGCUAUUUCCGGUCGCCACCGCAAAUGGUCACCGUUGCAAGGUGUUGGCCUCCUUGCACGCAUCAGAUCGAGCCCCUGCAUCACCCCCUCCCUACUAUGCCCCCGUGCCCGGCCUCCCCACCGGCGAGCAUAGCCUCUCCAACAACUGCGGUGCAUGCUUUGCCUGCACCUUCCUUCUCGCCCUCAAGAUCAUUCUGCUUGCCUUGACCACUUCACCCGAUGGUGGUCGACAAGUGCUGUCAAGUGUUGACCAAGCACUUCGCAUCGAGUCGUAUUGCAAAACCGCCUCCGUUUACUUUUCUAGUUCAAAAUUUUAGUUUGCUGCAGCGCGGUUUGACAUAGAGUGCAGUUCGACUUUGGGUUUCGACAGAGUGCAGUUCUUCAUCGGCGGCAUUCCUAUGUGUUGUGUAAAAUAUAGAGCAGUUCGUGUGUGUAAUUGUUUUUUUUUCAUUUUUGGCCGUGUGGUACUUGUAUGCAACUUAUGUUGGUAUAUGUGUACUCAUCUUUGAAAAUUAAACAGUAUGCUCUUUAUUCAUUUCAGUUCAUGACACGGUUCACUCCAUUUUGUUUCGAUGUGCACUCGAUCGAUGCAAUGCAUUAUGCUCGACCCGACAGUCCUGAUGCGUUUAUAAAAAAUGGUUUGAAAAGACAAAAAUAUACAAAAUGGAUAAUGCAAACCACUAGUGUUGACCAUGUAAUCGAGACACGUUUACAGAAAAAGAUAGAAAAACUAUUGCAGUUCACCUCGGGUAGGAAAAAAUGCAAAAAAAAGUUCAUAAAAUAUAGUAAACUUCGUCCCACGUAAAAUUAGAAAAAUAAAACAAAAAAGGAACUAAAAAAUAUGUAGAAAAGAUAUUUAAAAACAAAAAGAACUCAUGCAGUUCGGUUUCAAUUUGUGUCGCGGUUCACUUUUGCCGGAUGUGAACUGUACGCCCCUUGCAAUACCUUGUAUUUCAAAAAUCAAUCAACUGCAUAGUAGAUGCAAUGCAAUUUGAAGUCAGAUGCAGUACACAUGGUGUCCGACCGAAAAUAUACAAAAAUGCAAUUCGAGAUCGUCGUUUUUCUAAUAUUACUUUUAAACUGUAGCAACCUAGGAAGAGUAUAUCUAUAAGAAAAAGUUACAUGAAAAUUUUGCCUCUGGUCGAUAUCUUUCCAACGGUGUAUCAUUUGCAUCAUUCUAAUAAGCGGUUAAUUUUUUUGCGAAACAAUGCUUGCUGCUAAUCAAUGUGCAGUGCACCGUGUUUGAAAUUCAUUUAUUACCUUAAGGAAUGUCAAAAAGGGUACUACAUCGAAAAUUUUCACCUAUUCCAUACCUUUCCAACGACACCGGACUCGUUUCGACAAACGGUUGAAAAAAUUAUAGUGAAAACAGUACAAAAAAAUAUCGCAUGCAGUUCCCUCUGUCGACAUUGCAGUGUUGUUUCCCGUCUGAUGCUGCUCACUUCGCCAAUUUUGGGUCCACGAAAAAACAGUGUCCGUGUUUCCGUCAAUUCGAAACUCCUCUAAAACCGUAAGGAACUAGAGAGAGUGUUCUAUAAGAAAAAGUUUUGCCUCGAUGAUAUUUUCCCAGUAGCGUAUUAUUUGCAUCAUUCCGACGAGCGGUUUGUAAAAUAAUAAUAAUAAAAUGCUCACUGCCAUUCAUUUAACUACCGCGAUAGAAGAACAUAUGCAGAAUAUGUUGGGUAUAUGACGACACGCGACGGUGCGGGAGACCCAACGCCAGGGUGAAAUAAAUGGAACUAGAGAUGUCAGACGGUGGCUAAGCUUCCAUGACCAUCGAGGAGUUUUGUAGGAGAAUGCCUCUCGGGAUGGUGUGCGUGCGGCCACGUCGGGCCGAAGCCCCCGCGCCUGCUAGACACGGGGGCGUCGGUGACGGAACCGUAGUCCAAGAUUUCCACAGAGUCAUCGGGGAUGGCACCAGGAACGUUUGAUGGAGGUUGACAUGAUGGAUAUUUACGGCGGGAGAGAGAGAAAACUAAGGGGGCGGUGCUCGGCGGUGACAUGGAGGGUUUGUAAUGGAGGCGGGAAGCGAGGAUGGACAUAACAACCCUUGUAAGCGACAACACUGACCGGCAAGAAACACAAAGGGUAAGAUUAAAUUAGUAAACUCAAACGGGUCAAAGAAAGCAGUCGGCCAGUGGUAAAUAUUGGUCCAUUUUCACCUAGGAACACAAUAUCAGAUACGGGUCAUUUUCAGACUGGUGUAUGAUAAGUAUCAUGUGGAUCCCCAAAAUGCUUAUCAUUAACGCAACCGAAGGGCCCGGUCGGUGAUAAUGCUCAACACUGACAAUUGGUCAGUGGCCGGGUCGAUGAUUAUGUGUCAGUGCUACACGGAUCUUUAGUGGUCACUAUAAUAAUUUUUAUAUGAUCAUAUGGUCAUAGUUUAGUAUUGAAAUGUUUAAGUAUAUGAAGUUCACCCCAGAACCUACAAGUAAACAAAUAGCAGGGCCGGGCCCAUAGGUGUGCGGAUUGUGUGGUCCGCCAGGGCCCAUCAAUUUUGGUGGACCCAAAUUUUUAUAUAGGCCUACGUAUAUUUCUUCAUGGGCGCUGGGAGUGCAGCCUGUGCGCCAGCACAGGGCCUCCAGCUCCAAGGGGCACCUUAUUUUGAAAACAACAGUAUAGCCCAGUACGCAGAAAUAGGCCCAUUCGAGGCACCAACCUUGUUAGCCCUGAGGUGGGCGUCUGAAUCGCCGGGACCUCCUAUGUGCCGCUUACUGCGGCAAGGAGGCGCAGUUUCGCACAGGAGACGGGUCUGUGCCGUCUGAUUCAAUCAAUCAUCGGAUGCUUUGUCAUCAAAAUCUGUUUAAAAUUUAAUUAGAAAGAUAAUUAACUACGUGCGGAUAGAUCUACUAGAUGUUGGAAGUUUGUUGAACCAAUCCGUAUAUAUUUUAAAACAUGUUAAAACUAGAGUUAAGGUUUAAAAGAUGUGCAUAUUUUUAAAAGGAUUUAAAUCUGUCCCUAAGCAGCAUUUCAAAAUGGUUAACGAGUAAACAAACUUCAUAGUCAAAUUCUACAUAUUUUUCUAAUCAAUUUUCAUAUAUAACAUGUUAAAAUUGGAUUUACGGUUUAAAAGAUAUGAACAUUUUAAAAAACAUUUGAAUCUACAAAAAAGUAUAUUCUCUAGACGGAUGGCAGGUUUAUUAACCAAAACCUCAGAGGAUUUUCUGCAAAAUCAAAAUGUUUUAUAUUCUUACUUAAAAUAGGACCGCGAGUUGAUUAACUGAAACCUCAGGGGGGUUUCUACAAAACGCAAAACAUUUUUCUAUCACACUUAAACGGGGCCACGGGUUGAUUUUGGGGAAGUGCGAGGUUUUUUUGGGCAAAAAGCGCGACGGACGGGCAGAGACAAUCCUCUCUUUAAUAGUAGGUAGGUAUAGAUAUAUAGAUAUAGAUGUACACUCAUAGACAAUUCCGGUGUACAAUCAAGAUACAGAGAAAUUCUUCGAUUAUGUUAAAAAAAGUGUGAGCAAGCAAACAAUGAAGUACGUAACCUAUUUGAGCAAUGUUCGAGCAAGAUAACUGAGAAGUUGUUCGCCCAUUAGAACGAAGUUCAGUAAAGUGACCAAGAAGUUUACAAUUUCGACAAUGGUUGUUUCCCCUGAGUGAGGACAGAAAAGUUCCUACAAGUUUAAAAUUCGAAUGACUGAAAACCAAGCACUCAUGAACGAAAAACGGGUGCAGCCAAAUUAUUUGGGAAGUGAAGAGAGAAAUUCAUUGGGAAGGAAAGGAAGUGCCCAGUGCUUUUGGCCUGAAACUGACAAAAUAAAUCUCACAAAUUUCCAUCAGACCAACAGUUGAGCAGUUGAUCUUCAGAGCAACACACGGCAAAUCAACAAGUUUUAAUUCAGGAACAUAACCACCACUCUAUAUUUAUUCAGAGAACACAUGCUGGGGCUUGGCGACAUGGUGCUGGAGAUCCAAGGCGUCCUCCUCUUCCCACCCCACCCCUGGCCCUCCAGUUGCACUCCCACUGCCCCCCCCCCCCUUAGGUUGAGUGAGUGCAGGCUGGCUCCCACACUCCCGUCGAUGCGUGCUCAUGGAGGAGCUGUGCGAUAGCUGUUUUCUAGACAGCUUUGUAAUCAACAUUUUUGCAUAUGCAUAUAUCACAAGCGAAAGUGAAAGUAAAAUUGAUGACACGGUAACAUUAUUUUUAUUCCAAGUGAAGGUAAAUAGAUGUUACAACAACACCAUUUCAUAUUGAAAAACAAAUUAUGAAUCAUUGACCCUAUAUGGUGCUAGCAAGGCAAAAGUUAAGUGUGACCGACAUGCCCACCGCAAAGUUUUCAUCCAACAGCUUUUUCGCCUCCAUAGCAAGAAGGCCCAACCAACAGUCGAUGAAAGGUUUGUCCACUCUCUCCACACAGGCAGGCAGCUCAGAAGACAGCAACCCAUCAUUGGCUCCGCCCUUGCGACCAUGGUACUCCUUUAUCAUUGUGUCACAUAUGUUGAGUAUGCUCACCAUUCGAUCGUAGUCCACCAUGCAGUAACUGAGGGCACGCAUUGUAGCCGUGCCAUUCUUGGUGUCUUGCAACAUUUGUUUGACAUUACCAUUCGCCGCAGCAACUUGGCCCUUGAGUAUGUCAAUGGCAAUGUGUAUCAAGCUAUGGAGAUCCUUAGCCUCGGCACUCCGAUUGUCCAACAUGAGGGUCGACACGCAAAACUCCUGCGUGAUUGGGUUGGGGUCGUAUAUUUUGUUUUUCAUUGAGGCAUUCUUGCAUGCUUCCACCAUGAAGUUGGUUACCUUGGGUUUGCCCCCACCAGAGGCACUAGAUUCGGCAGCGAUGGUAGUGGAAAGGAGCAUGAUAGCGAUGGCAGAGAAGAAGAUGGAGGUCGCCGACAUUGUUGCCAUUGCUAUUAUGCUAGUUGGAAGUCUUGAAAUGUAUUGAAGCUGGAGAAGGUGGAGAUAAAUGGAUAUAGAAGGAUUUGUAGGGAAGAAAUGGAUUGAUUAAGUGAUGUGCAUGGGUUGAGAUUUUUAUAUAGAAAGCAGUGGCGGUCCAGAAAUGCAGUGUGCUGCUUAGCCAUAGAUAUAGUAUGAAUUAAUAGUACUAGCUAUACAAAUAUGUUGAUCCUCAUUUUAAAUCUUCUUGUAUUAAUGCCCUCUAUAUACAGAAAUAUAUAAUAGAUGCUUAUUUUAUAUCUUCCCAUAUUAACACACAUAAAGUUCCCAUAUGUUCAUUAAUGUGAUAAAUCUUGAUUACGGAUUUCCGAAUAGUUAAGAGUCCAUAGAAGGUGUGCACACAGAUAUGUGGGUCUUCAUUUUGGAUCUCCUCACAUUAAUACUUCUUACUUAUAUAUUGGGGCACACAGAUAUGUGGGUGUUCAUUUUGGACCUCCUCACAUUAAUACUUCUUAUUAGCAUUGGUGUGUUGUAAAUAUACUUUUGUAUAACUGAUUUUCUAUCUCUGUGCUACAUUUAGAAUCGAUCAAAUUGACCCUUAGCAAUUCAAUGGUUGCAAAAUGUUUUCUUUUUUCUUUUUUGCAACUUGCAAGGUGCACAUCUCUAGACCCAAACUUACAAAUAAUUCCUCAAGGUGCAACCAUUUAGUUUUAUACUUCAAAUGUUAAUAAUAAAAAUUAGAGGGAAUUAAAGUUUCCUAAAAUGCGUGUGAUUUGUUGCUUUUAGCUGAAAAAAUUUAGGAGUUAUUGAAUUGUUUGAAAAUGUGGAUCAAAUACAACUUUGGGAAUUAUAAGCACUCUAACCGUCAUUUGGGGAUCUAUUAUAUAAUUUAAACAUAAGUAAAACAAGACACCACGUUCUUCCACAUAAUCCAAAAUAAUAUACAUCGUUGAUCAAUAAUACUUACGGCUGAGAUUUAAAGAUAUUAUGUUACAUGGAAAACGUUAUAUGUUAUGCAUAUUGAACUGACACGUACUACUCCUGUAAAGCCUCCGCCUGUAGGAGCUAGACUAAUAUAUAUUAAAAAAAGUCCCAGACCCAGCUCACCGAUGCACGUUCUUUAGAAAAAAAAACAUAAGGCAAUAUAUGCAUGGGCGUAUGUUGGAACUAAACACGAUCAUAUAUGACAUGCCUCCUGGACGAGCCGAGGAUCAAAGUCACGAUGCGCACACAUCUUAACUCCCACUGAUAUUCAGCCGACCAAAACGAAGGCACAACAUACAUUCAUAUGCGCCUGCAAUGCUCGGGGGAAUAUCUAUUUAUCUGUUAUAUGAAAACGAUUUUCGAAGAUAAGGAAGUAGGGUUGAAAUUAAAAAAAAUUGAAAUCCUCACAAUUCCAGUGUUUGUCGUAUGAUGAGUUGUGGCCGGAAACAUGUAUACGCAAAUAAAACUAUUUUAAUGUAUCAGCAGCAUGCAUGUGUACUUAGACAAGCUCUCUCGCAUAUAUCAGUGGCACACCAAUCACUGAAGAAUAUUGCAUCAUUGAAAAUAAUGAUUCAAGUUAAGAACAUGUGUCAACCACUAAUCAGAUAAGAGUAAUGCAACUAGCACCAAUUAGUAAUCAGUAGUGUACUCAAUACAAUCACUUUUCUUAGAAAUUACAAAAAAAUAGUGAUUAUUAAAUAAAGAACGUCCAUAUAUAUUGACUAUUCGUCACCCUGGGUGAGAAAUAGUUAUUCUUCAUCCCCCCUCUAUUUUACAACCAAUGCAUUGUAAUUUUACGUUCCGUAAGUUUUGUUUUAUUUCUGACGUAAAAAGAGACCGUAAGAAAAUAUAUCAUCACCGUAAAAAAUAUUUUAUGUUAUGUAAAAUUACAAACGUAAAAACAUAGUGUAAAAUAUACAUAAACUCCAAAUUUUCUUGUCUUAUGACUUAUACUUUUAUUUUCUUAUAUCAAUUUUUACGUAGUGAAUCAAUAGGAAUGUAACUAUUUGAAUUCCAAAUGUAAUUUAAUUAUGAAGUGAUCGUAAGAUUACCUCGGGUGAAGAAUAACUUAUGAAUAGCAUCACUAUGUGUGUGUGUGUCUCUCUCUCUCUCUCUCUCUCNNNNNNNNNNNNNNNNNNNNNNNNNNNNNNNNNNNNNNNNNNNNNNNNNNNNNNNNNNNNNNNNNNNNNNNNNNNNNNNNNNNNNNNNNNNNNNNNNNNNNNNNNNNNNNNNNNNNNNNNNNNNNNNNNNNNNNNNNNNNNNNNNNNNNNNNNNNNNNNNNNNNNNNNNNNNNNNNNNNNNNNNNNNNNNNNNNNNNNNNNNNNNNNNNNNNNNNNNNNNNNNNNNNNNNNNNNNNNNNNNNNNNNNNNNNNNNNNNNNNNNNNNNNNNNNNNNNNNNNNNNNNNNNNNNNNNNNNNNNNNNNNNNNNNNNNNNNNNNNNNNNNNNNNNNNNNNNNNNNNNNNNNNNNNNNNNNNNNNNNNNNNNNNNNNNNNNNNNNNNNNNNNNNNNNNNNNNNNNNNNNNNNNNNNNNNNNNNNNNNNNNNNNNNNNNUAAUACCAUAUAAAUCACUAUGAAAUAUAUUUCCAGAUCUAUAUUGGUACUCUCUUUAUUUUGUACUUACGAUAUGAAUUUCAAAAUUCAGUCAAAUUUAAAAUUGUUCGUCCUAUGAUAAAAUAAAUAGGACGUGCAUUUGGGAUGUAGGAAGUGCAUGUCGCGAAAGAGAAAACUAGCAUUUCCUAGGCCAUUAGAUGCUCAAUAUUUGCAUUGAUACAUUCUAUUUAUAUAAUUAUUUAUUUAAGCGAUCAGUUUUUGGGUGUUGAAUAUCAGGGAAGUGAGGAAGUUUUCAUGCUUUUUGUUAAUACACACAUUAUCUCGGACGGAGAACCAACAAAAAUCACUUAAUGGGAGCAAGAUGUGUGCAUAUAAGCAUACAGAGGUCAUUGCUUAAAUGGAAAUCUGCAAUACAGGGCAGUGAGCAAUGCAGUGAGUUAAACGGUCACAACGUUUACAUACGAGCAACAAAUUUUCCUAAUUAAUUUUAAAAUUGUGAAUGAAAAUAUUGGAUAGAAUUAUUAUUACUGGGAUAGGAGGGUGAACAAGGGAAAAAUGAAAGAAUAGCAUAUAAUUUCAAUGUCGUGUCGCAGGCCUCGAGGUCUUCCUUCCGUUGAGUCACUCAUAAAUGUCCUUAGCCACAACCGUAUAGAAAAUUAUAAAAAGUAUACUGAAUAUAGUACAAUCUUUUCUGUAGACAUACCAAUGGGCAAUGGCAAUGUGGUUCUGAAAUUAAAUCCAAUAAUAAUUAGUUGCGGGUCUACAUAAUAGACAAAAAACAAAUAUUACAAUAUAUAGUUAAUCUAGCCGCGCAAAUGCGCGGGUCACCCUGCUAGUCAUUUAUAAAACCCAAAAGUUGAGCCACAUACAUAUGAGUAACCUUGUGUGAAUUAUCUUGGGAUGGAAAUAAAAUUUUGUAAGCCCCAAAUAUUGGAAACCCUAAAAUCAUCUAAAGUUUAAAUGGAACCAAAAUGGAAAAUGGGAACUAAAGUAAAUCCCUCAAAAUGAGCUGACAAGCUAAAUAUUUGAAAUGGGCAGGAAAAUAAAAAUUCCAUAUAACUCGAAUAACAAAAUAGGUCCGAUUUGGAAAAUGAGCAUAAAACAAAUGAGAAUUAAUACAUAGGUCUUAAUAUUUUAUUAUGGCAGGAAAAUUUACUUCCAUAAAGCCUAAAUAAAUGUUUAAACUUUUGGUAGUACACCAAAAUGAAAUUGGAGCAGGUUUGCUUUUUGAAACCGAUUUGAAAUUCAUACAGAAACGAAAAGAGAAACAAAAUUUAAAACGACUAUGACCAGCCAGCCAGGCGAGCUAGCCCAGCAGGCCCAACCCAACAGCAGCGUGCACCCCAGCACCCAGCUAUCGAAGCGGUACAUGCAAUUUUAUCUGAGCAGCUGGAUCAGCAUCAGACGGCCAACGCGCCCACAGACCUCUUUCUUCUCUCUCUCUGUCAUUGUUAGGUGGGACCGCCCAUGUCGUCAUCAACCUCAUGCCGAGGUCCCCGUGCCUACGAUCUCGUCACGACCCGAGCGCAUGUCGCACGUUCCCAACGCCCCAGUCCACCCCCAGCCAUGUGGGCCUUGGCCAUGCGCUAUAAGAUCCUCUCCCGGCCUCGAGAAUGUACCCUGUACACCGAGCUAUCUGGUGCAUCAGAUGCUCCAAUAGCUCAUGGGCCACUAGAUGAGGAAGGAAGGGACCUGAUCCAUCUACAAGGGACCCUACUGGUACAUUUGCAAAACAGACCCUGAGGUGCAGCUAAAUCUAGCGAAUCAACUCCCCCAACCCAGUUCGUCUCACUCCCUUCGCCUUCCUGUACCACCGGACCAGGCUGAGCUAGCUAGCUAUCUCUCUCUCUCUCUCUCUCUCUCUCUCUCUCUCUCUCUCUCUCUGGCUUCUGGUGUUGAAGCACCAGCGUCCAGGAAAGAAAUCAUGUGGACCACCGGUAGCUCGAUGCGAUUAAUUGUGUCUACAUAGCGGCGUAGUGUUGUACCUCCGGAGAUAUCGACGCUACGAUUGAAUAGGAGCUGGCCAUCAUCCUUUACAACAUGUGAUUCGAGGUAUGAGCAUGAAUUUGAUUCUUCUAUUUUCCAUGUGCAUUAAUAUUUAGUUCUUCCGGUCAUCAGUUUUCCCAAUUCGUUUGCAACUAGUGGCAUUUGGGAAUAUGAAUGCCUCGAAGGGGAAUUGCUAAACAUAGGUUCACAUAGAUUUUUGGAUUCGGCUUUUCUUAUGUGUUACUGUUGUUUGUAGCCAACCUACUAUAUGUCGUGCUCAUGUGACAAUUUUUCCAAUUAGUGCAACCUUAUUACUAUGUGUACUGAGCACCAUUCACUCUUUUCCUCUGUGUUUUGUUGCUCUGUACUUUAGCAUCAUCAUCUUAAAUUUUCAAGGUAAGUGAGAACAUGCUCAUUCCCAAUAUAUAUUUUUCACAGUAGCAUCAGGAAUUCUUGCUCUGUACUAUAGCAAGUUCAUAAAAAAUUCUUGCGCCAUACUUCAGCAAGUGGAAACAUCUGCAGCAGUUCAAGAAUCUUGCGCGUAUUUGCUUCUUCCUUUAGCCAUGUGUCAAGUUCAUAUUCUAUUCUUAAAGUUCCAUCGCCAAUGUUUCCCAAAUUCAUUGAAUCAAUUGUUGGGAGACAUUGUGACUAAUGUUGUUUCACUUGACUUAAAUGCAUGAUGUUGUUGAUUGAAAAUAGGAAUUGUGUGACUGUUUGAGGAUGCAUGAGCUACAAGUAUACCUGUAUAAUCUUAUCCUCUAUCACAAUAGUCUGAAUGUAAAAGAAACAAAUGAUGCGCUCGCUGUUCUGAUUCUUGGUUUGUAUAAAUUGAAAUAGGAGGUGCACUUACGAAGUCCAAUUUGAAAUUUGUGAAAGCGGUACUAGUUGUUUCUGGUCGAGAUUUUAUUUUGCUGCAAUCCUCCAAAAAGUAACACCUUUGAUAUGUGCUGCUUGCCUGCUUGUUAGUAGGGUAUUCAUCUUACUUGUUCCCUGCAGCUCCUGAAUAACUAAGUAUCGUGUGAUAAGGACCAUAAAAAGCUUAUUUUAAUCAUGAAUCAACAAGGAUUUUAGGAGUAGGAAGUAAGAACCAAGAUCUAUGAAACAUAAUUUUACGUUUUUUUACAAAUACUACUGAACGUUUCAGCAAUACAGGCAUUAAUCUUGUCCAUAUAUUGUUUUGUUUAUAUUUUUGUAUGUACAUCUGAAACCUGAUGUUGUUCAUGUUUUUCGGCUCCUCUCUGAAUGUUCAGCAACAUGCUCAUCUGUAGAAAAAAAAUCCUGUUGUUCAAGCUAGUGUUCAAGUUGAAUAUUUUCCUCCUUCUGCAAGUUGUGGUAUCUCUUUCAGCUGAUCGGAAGAGCUACUUGUGGUGGUUUACUUAUCAUACUCUGAAUGCUUCAGUACACAGUGGGACCUGUUCAAAUAGAUGUAUGUGUGGAGGAACAAUUGCAGAUACAGGAGUUCGACAUUGUUGAUGUAGAGCAAGAACACUUCUGUUUUAAUUAGAAGGAUUUUUUGGAACAAAAAUUUUCCUUGUGAAAUUUAAUUACCCUUAUGGACACACUCAAUUCUGAACCCUUGUAUAUAUAGGAGUAAUAUAAUGUACAGAAAACUAGAUCAUGGUGUUUUUUUUAUCCCUGGUUAACAGUGGGCAUCCUUUUUAUGUGAAAACUUUCCAUUUGACAGAAAGCCGUGCUCAAAUUUUUCUCUAUAGCACAACUCAUAUGUAUGCAACCACCAAGGAUUUUAAUUUCGGAAACAAAAUAUUUCAGACCUCACUGAAAUAUGCGAAAUUUCAGAAAUUUUGCACAUUUCAUAAAUUUUUUCGGAUUUCAAAUAUCCUUAAUUUUAAUAAAUUUUAACAAAAUUUAGAUAUACUUUUAAAUCAGCUUGAAUGUGCAUCGAAAUUUCAGGGUUAGAUUUAUUUCGAACCCCAUUGAAAUAUGUGAAAUUUCGGAUAUUCCACUGAAAUUUUGUUCAGAUUUUAACCCUGGCAACCACAUCGUUUUCUGCAGUCAACUUUGUAGUGGCAAUGUCCAUCUGUGUCGUUGACUUAUGAUGUUGUUGCAUUCUGACAUUUAAAAAGCUCCCCAAAGUUGGAUUAGUUUAUAUGAAUCAAUUAAGAAACUCAAAGGUAUUUUCGUGGAACUCCUAGAAACAUAUACAAAAGUGUCAAUGUUGUUGUCCUUGGUUUCCAUGAGAUUUGCAUAGUGCAUUCAUACAUGGCAGAUUAGUUAGUUCUAAGCUCUCGUCAACAUGAUUUUUCUUCCUAACGUGUUGAGUGGUGGAGGAAAUGUAGACAAGCGAGCGAUGGGAACAAAAAUUAUCUAACUCAAUCUCGUUGGUACUGUCGUAAAGAACUGGCCAACGAAGAGUGAUGAGUUGGCUUUAGCAGAAUGCAUCACUGAUUUCAUAUAACUACAAGGGUUGUUCUGCAAAUGUGCCAGCAGGCUCCCUCAUACAGUCGUAGCUGGAUCAGGUCCCUUUCUUCUGCAUCUAGUGGCCAACGAGCUAUUGGAGCAUUGGGUGCACCAGAUUGCUCGGUGCACAUGAUACAUUCUCCCCUUUUCAAACCUGCAGUCCAUUCGAGGCACUAAACAGUGUAGUGCGCUCUAAAUUCUCACCCUAGUUACCAAUGCAGUGACAUAUUAUCCUCAUGUAGCUUUGAGAACCAUUUUGCCUCACAUUCCCCUCUAAACGAUUUCGUGAAUAUUUAAAGUAUCUGAAAUNNNNNNNNNNNNNNNNNNNNNNNNNNNNNNNNNNNNNNNNNNNNNNNNNNNNNNNNNNNNNNNNNNNNNNNNNNNNNNNNNNNNNNNNNNNNNNNNNNNNNNNNNNNNNNNNNNNNNNNNNNNNNNNNNNNNNNNNNNNNNNNNNNNNNNNNNNNNNNNNNNNNNNNNNNNNNNNNNNNNNNNNUUUGGAAGGAAAUAAUCCGUGAAAAGUUCAUACUUGUAGGUUUUGGGGUGAACAAUGUCCAUUUAAAGAUUUCCAAAAUAAAUUAACACCAUCUGCAUCCAUAAAAUUUUAUUACAGUACAAAUUUUAAUUGUCAAACUAAGAAAUCCUUUUUUAGAUGGCAAACAAAAAAACUUUGACAGCAUGUUUUAGUUGACUCAUCAUAGAGGCAAGUUCAUGCGUACACUGAAAAAAAUAUUGUAACCUAUUUCAUUAUUUGCGCCCAUCUCGGAUAAGAUAAAUAUAUAUGUGCACAAUAAUAAUGCACAUUUAGUAACCUGAUUUUUUCAAUAAAUAAAUCACAUAUUACUUUAUGUAUACCUUUAACGGAUGAUCUUUAUUUUAUUUGAAAUCGAUCCAUGCAGAAGACACACAGUAGUACUGCAAUUGUAAGUGAAUCCAACCUGCACAUAUAUGCGUACAAUGGGCAUUAAUCAAUAGCAUUUACGUGACCAAGGUAAUUAGAUUUAUGCACCAUACCGAUGCACUUAUAUAUAAAUCUCAACCCACCUGCACCUCCAACCAUCUCCUCCUUCCUCUCUAUUUUGUCCAAAUUGUAUAUUCUCGCUGCCGUAUGGCGGCAACAACACCUAUGGCUUCCAUGGCCAUCUCAACCGUCGUCGUCAUGCUCCUUUCUUCUGCCAUGGCUGCCCACGCCAGCGGUGGCGGGGAGAAGGCCGACAACACAAGCCUCGUGAUGGAGGCGUGCAAGAACAUCUCAGGCGAGCCAUUCAAGGUGGGCUUCCUGCCAGAAUUCUGCGCAUCAACGCUCCUAUCAGACCACCGGAGUGCCGAGGCCAAGGACUGCCGUGACCUUGCGCUCAUCACUGCUGACAUACUCAAGGUGCAUGCAGCCGCCAUGGUAGGCAAGGUGGACAACAUGCUCCGUGAAGGCGGCCGAAUCGCCACCAAGGAUAAGAUAGCAGCUCGCGCCCUCCGGUUGUGUCGGGCGGACUAUGGCGGCAUGGUGAACACGCUCCAGAUCUGCUACAACAUCAUCCAGGACUUCGGCCGCAAAGGUAAGCAUGGGCCGACGCCCUCGGAGCUACCAGAGUGCGUUGAGAAGACGACCAACAGCAUCAAGGACUGCACUCACGAGGUCUGUAGCACGUCGGUGGCGGGGACGAUGGCUAUGGCAAACGAAAUACUAGAGAAGCUGGCAAUCGUCAGCAAAGCCUUGAUAAAUCUCUUCUUGGCCGACAAGAAGGAUCGUAACUAGGAGCUAUCUAUAAUUAGCAUCGUGUGAUGUGAGGAUGGAAUUUAAUAGUAAAUACUACUCACAAAAAAUUAAUAAAUUACAAAACAGUAAGUAAGACGUAGCGAGCUAUGCCUCUCCACCUCGCACCCAUCCAAUUUGGGCAUGCACGGCCUCGAUUACCUCUGUCAUCCAUCCCUGCCCCAUUUUUACCGACAGCCUGUUUGUUUCGGGGGAAGUAAUAUUAGGGAAUCGGAAUUAGGCGGGCGUGGGGUUUAAAUUCCCUUGUUUGACUGGAGGACAGUGGAAUUGAUGAUGGACGGGGAAAGGGGCUGGUCAAACUCCCACUUAUCUCUUCCUGGGGGGGGGGGGGCUGGUAAUUGGAGGAGGGAAUGGGAAAUGAGAGAGAAAAAUGCAAUCGCCAUGUUCGUUGCUCCCAUCCCGCAAGCUGCGGAAACAAGAUUCCCACGACUAACUCCCACCCCCAAACCAAACGAGGGAUUGGGACUAAUAGUCCACUUCCCAUGUCUAAUCUCUCAGCUAACUCCCACUUAAAAAUUCCCAUGCCUUUUCCCUCAAGCUGUCAAACACGCUGCAAGAGUCAGCUACCAGUCGUAAACUAGUCCACUACUUUGCAGAACAACUUCAGGGAUUUCCUGUGAAGUGGGCCAACCGCACUCUGGGCCAGGGUAACUACGUUCACAAAUCUCAGCCCUCCUGUUUUUCUCCAUCAAUGAUGUCUCUUCUCCCCUCGCCGCGGGGGGAGGCUCCUCCCUCCCCCUCGCCAAUGAUGAUCAUCAGCAAGGGAGGUAACCGGAAUAAUCUAGUUGUGAGACUGAGUUUAAGGCAUGCAUUCUUUCUCCGCUUCUCAACUCCAUCAAUCUCCUCCUGAAGUCCCCUCCCAGAUCUCACAACCACAACUCUCGUUGUCUCAACUUGCUUAUAAUUAUGAUUUGGUAACAAGUUGUCCUGGUGUUUGCUUAAGUUUCCCAAACAAUUUGUUCAACAUACAUGUUAUUUACACAACUUGAUCCUUUUAUAGUACCUUUAUCCGGCGUCGGCCGCGCGUAGAAGUGCUAGGAUCCGAACAACCAAAAAAAUUCAUGAUGAGAUAUGAAAGGAAUUUUUUGGAAUAGCAGAGGUCUUAAGGACUUGGCUAAAAGAAGGUUUCUAGCGGAUGCUUCUAUUGAUCACAGUUUGGAUUUUAUUGCCCUGUCAGAAACUGGUAGGGACAAUUUUACCCCCCACUUCCUCAGUACUCUGUCAGGAGAGGUUGACUUUGAUUGGCAUUGUCUACCUUCAAGAGGAAGAUCCGGAGGGAUCUUACUUGGGGUUAAAUGCGACUCGUUGGAAGUUAGGAAUGUGGUUAUGGGAGAUUUUGCGGUCAAGUUUCGGGUUCGGUCAAAAGUAGAUGGGUUUAAUUGGGCCUUGGUGGCGGUAUAUGGGGCCGCACAACCAGAACUCAAACCCGACUUUUUGGCGGAUUUAGUCCGUAUUUGUGGUAACGAGUGAGGGAGUCCUGGACUAAGGGGUCCUCGGGCGUCCGGCCUGUUGGACAUGGGCCGGACUAAUGGGCUGUGAAGAUACAAGACCGAAGACUCUCUCCCGUGUCCGGAUAGGACUCUCCUUGGCGUGGAAGGCAAGCUUGGCGACCAAAUAUGAAGAUUCCUUUCUCUGUAACUGACUUUGUACAACCCUAGUCAUCUCCGGUGUCUAUAUAAACCGGAGGGCUUAGUCCGGAAACGGAGGCAGUCAUACAGGCUAGACUUCUAGGGUUUUAGCCAUUACGAUCUCGUGGUAGAUCAACUCUUCUAAUACUUAUAUUCAUCAAGAUCAAUCAAGCAGGAAAUAGGAUAUUACCUCCAUAGAGAGGGCCCGAACCUGGGUAAACAUUGUGUCCCCCGUCUCCUGUUACCAUCGACCUUAGACGCACAGUUCGGGACCCCCUACCCGAGAUCCGCCGGUUUUGACACCGACAUUGGUGCUUUCAUUGAGAGUUCCACUGUGCCGUCCCCAAAAGGUUCGAUGGCUCCUUCAAUCGUCAACAACGAUGCUGUCCAAAGGGAAACCUUCCUCCCCGGACAGAUCUUCGUGUUCGGCGGCUUCGCACUGCGGGCCAACUCGCUUGGCCAUCUGGAGCAGAUUGACAGCGACGCCCCUGACCACCAGGUCAGAUUUGGGAGCUUGAACUAUGUCGCGGACAUCCGCGGAGACUUGAUCUUCGACGGAUUCGAGACCAUGGCAGCUGCUCCCUAUCCCUACGAUGAACAUGACUUAAAUCUAUCAUCGGACCAUACUUAGGAAAUCGCACCUAUAACCGCUCCGGCCUUAGAUCAGGAGCAGAUCACGCCAUCCGAGGACGGGAAGCUCAACCCCGCCACGGAAGCCGCAGACCCCGCGGCGUUGGAGCCGCACGCAGACCUAACCUCGGGUGAUAUCUGUGUCUCCGGAACCUCGGACUCGUUUCCGGUGAUAGUUCCGAACCAUGUGCGUCCGCUUAUGUCGAGCCGGAUCGGUCAUCGAUCGCCGAAUUCAGCGCAGCGGACAUCUUCCGGCACUCGCCUUUAGGCGACGUGCUGAACUCAUUAAAAAAUCUGUCCUUAGCGGGGGACUCACAGCGGAACUAUGUCCGGUUCGAACUGGAGGCUGAUGACGGGGAAUUUCUCUUCCCACCCGCCACCCACUACAUAGCCACUGUCGAGGACUUAACCAACAUGCUCGAUUAUGGCUCCGAAGACAUCGACGGUAUGGAUGACGACGCAGAUGAGGAGCAUGGCCAAAACCCCCCGUUUAUAGGACGCUGGACGGCCACUUCUUCGAACGACGUAUACAUGGUGGAUACACCCAAAGAGAAUAACGGCGAGGACAAGGAAAAUCCAGUUGAGGAUGAGCCUCCUAAGACACAACCAAAGCGUCGGCGUCAGCGGCGCCGCUCUAAAUCCCGCCGCAGCAAGGAGAGCAACACCGGCACAGGAGACGAUCACACUCUGGACGGUGCCGAAGACAGAGAAGAUCCCGACGAACAAACGGCCGAACAGGACGAUCGGGAAGAUGGGCAAGUUAGCCCUGAUGAACAGGCCAUAAACGACGACUCGGAGGGCGGCACUUAUCUUCCACCCUCCGAGGAUGAGGCGAGCCUUGGCAACGAGGAUUUUAUCGUUCCUGAGGAACCUCUCGAGCAAGAGCGCUUUAAGCGCCAGCUAAUAGCCAUAGUAAGGAGCCUGAAAAAGAAGCAGCAGCAGCUUCAAGCUGAUCAAGAUCUGCUCAACGAUAGAUGGACUGAUGUCCUGGCAGCCGAAGAAUACGGCCUUAAGCGCCCAGCCGAAAGUUACCCGAAGCGCAAAUUGCUACCUCAGUUUAAUGACGAGGCGCCGGAGCCCGUACCAUCAUCGCGCAAUGCGGCUGACCGACCACCACGCGGUCGGGAUAAAGCGGCAACUCAAGCCGAACACCAGACCGCCCCACCUCGUCGUAAAGGCAGGGAUAAAACAGCUCGGGGUUACACAUAUGACCUUCGGCAGGACCUGGAUGGUAGAGCAGGACAUACGAGAUCGAUCUAUGGAUCGCGAGGACGUGCCUCGACACACGACGAAGGCUACCUAUUCGGACGUGACAAACCUAUUCAUGCCCGGGACGAAAACCGCAAACGGACUCCAUCGGAGCUACGUCGCGAUGCGGCCCGAUAUAGAGGCGCCGCACACCCUCUUUGCUUCACUGACGAAGUAAUGGAUCAUGAAUUCCCAGAAGGGUUUAAACCCGUAAAUAUCGAAUCAUAUGAUGGAACAAUCAAUCCCGUGGUAUGGAUCGAGGAUUUUAUUCUCCACAUCCAUAUGGCCCGCGGAGAUGAUCUUCACGCCAUCAAAUACCUCCCACUAAAACUCAAAGGGCCAGCUCGGCACUGGUUAAACAGUCUGCCUGAAAAUUCUAUUGGCAGCUGGGAGGACUUGCAAGAAGCCUUCCUUGACAACUUCCAAGGUACAUAUGUCCGGCUACCAGAUGCCGAUGACUUAAGUCACAUAGUUCAACAGCCUGGAGAAUCAUCCAGGAAAUUCUGGACUAGGUUCCUAACUAAAAAAGAACCAGAUCGUCGACUGUCCGGAUGCCGAAGCCCUAGCGGCCUUUAAACAUAGCAUCCGUGACGAAUGGCUCGCCCGCCACCUCGGCCAGGAAAAGCCAAAGUCCAUGGCAGCCCUCACGGCACUCAUGACCCGCUUUUGUGCGGGUGAGGAUAGUUGGCUGGCCCGUAGCAAAAACACAACAAGUGAAAUGAGCACCUCCGAGGUCAAAAAUAGCAACGGCAAGCUCCAACGCAGCAGACACAAACGCCGAAGCAAUGGUGACAACACUGAUGACACAACAGUCAACACCGGAUUCAGUGGCUCCAAGUUCGGUCAGCGGAAGAAGCCAUAUAAAAGAAACAAUCAGGGACCAUCCUUCCUGGACCGCAUACUCGAUCGUUCGUGCCAGAUCCAUGGCACCCCAGACAAACCAGCCAAUCAUACCAACAGAGAUUUUUGGGUUUCUAAAGAGGCCGACAAGUUAAAUGCCGAGAACAAGGAAAAGGGAUCGCAAAGCGAGGACGAUGACGAGGAGCCCCGGCAACCGAACACACGGGGACAAAAGAAGUUUCCCCCUUAGGUCAAAAUGGUGAACAUGAUAUAUGCCACACACAUCCCUAAGAGGGAGCGCAAGCGCGCGCUCGGGGACGUGUAUGCGAUAGAGCCAGUCGCCCCAAAAUUCAAUCCAUGGUCGUCAUGCCCGAUCACCUUUGAUCGCCGGGAUCACCCGACUAGUAUCCGUCAUGGCGGUUCAGCCGCACUGGUCCUCGACACAAUCAUUGAUGGAUUCCACCUGACGCGAGUCCUCAUAGACGGUGGCAGCAGCCACAAUCUGCUCUAUCAGGAUACAGUGCGCAAAAUGGGCAUUAACCCAUCACGGAUCAAGCCCACAAAGACUACCUUUAAAGGAGUCAUACCAGGUGUAGAGGCCCGCUGUACGGGCUCAAUUACGCUAGAGGUUGUCUUCGGAUCUCUGGACAACUUCCGAAGCGAGGAGUUAAUCUUUGAUAUCGUCCCUUUUCGCAGCGGCUAUCACGCACUGCUUGGACGAACCGCAUUCGCUCGAUUCAAUGCGGUGCCUCAUUAUGCUUACCUCAAGCUCAAGAUGCCGGACCACGCGGCGUCAUAACAGUUAAUAGAAACACGAAACGAUCCCUCCGUACCGAGGAGCACACCGCUGCCUUAACAGCAGAAGUACAAAGCGGCCUUUUCAAGCAGAACCUUAAUUCGGUGGCCGAGCCCCCAGACACCAUCAAGAGGGUCCAGACUAUUCUGCAGGAGGACAACUCGGCUCGUCAAGAGCUGGACUAGCAAUUUGGCCUCCGUCCCAGUCCCGAUGAAGUGGCGGCAUUCGCACCGCACGUACAUAACUACGCACUCAAAAUACCAUGGGCGCAGACGGAGGCAUAACUAGCUUGUGAUCCACAAUACGGCUUGACCGCUCUCGGACACAUAUACUUUCACUAUUUCUUUUCUACUUUUCAGGUUUCUUUUCCACAGGCCUUCCCUGAUGGCUUGAUCGCAGGUCCUUUCAAAUGACAAAUACACCAAGCCGACAGUCAGCUUGGACAUAGAGGGGAAUUUCUAGGUGGUUUCUUUAACGACCACUCUACCUGUUUCCAGGGCCCACACGCAGCUCUCCCUUGGUCGUGGCAUGUUAAAUAUCCUGUUGCUUAUCGCACUAUUUGUAUCAAUACGCUUUGACAUAUUAAUCAAAUUAUAAUGGAAACAGUUUGCGGCCCAAAUUUUAGGGCCCCUGCUCAUUGCAUUUGCUCCUUUUCUAUUUUCCUUUUUUAUUAAUCAGAUAGCACCCGUACACUGUGGUACAUUUCAAUUUGCCAGGGGCUUCAUAGCGCCCCACACUAUGGCAACAAAGUCCGAACACUUUUUAUAGUAUAGUUCAGCACCCCGAAUUUAGCACUAUAUGCAUUGGCUCCGAAUCAUGUCUUUGGUCAAUAGUUGGGUUGCCCGGCUCCUGUGCUUGCUACCUUACAUUCCGCUAUAUUGGCUAAGGUAGUAAAGGGAGCACUACUGCGAUUGUGCCCUGGUUUACCCGAAGGAGCACCUCAGUAGAGAAAGCCGAAAACUGACUGUCAUGAUGCGGCGAGAGCCGUUCAGCUCUUCGGACGUUUCAAAUCGUUAGAGAUUUUUUCCGCAUUACGCGAAGGAUCGGUACUUACCCGAUCAGGUGCUUAUAGCAUUCUAGUUCGGAUACUAGGGGCUGCGCCCACAUUUUUAUUGUCAAACUCCUAUGGCUAAGUGAGAGUGCUAAAGCCGCAUAGUCUGAUUGCCUGGUUCGUUGCACUAAACACCUCCUUCAAGGACCAAACAAUUGGAUCAAGAGCGUUUAUAUUCCAUCCCGAACACACCCCCGUACUACCUACGUGGGGGCAGAAGCCAACGACUGGCCAACUCUCAGAUUUCAUACAAAACGGCCGCACAGGAGGUAAAAAAAUUUAAACAUAACAAAAAUUAUAUUACAUAACAACAUUGUUUCAUCAUACAAGGCAGAGACAACAUGAAUGUAUUCAUUCAAAGAUAAUGUCUUUCGCACAUUGCGUCGCCACAAUGCGAGACCCCUCCAGGACGUCUUCAAAAUAUCGCUCGGGCGUGCGGUGCUCCUUGCCCUCAGGCAGCCCCUCGGUCACAAGCUUGACGGCGUCCAUCUUCGCCCACCAGACCUUGACGCGGGCGAAGGCCAUGUGCGCGCCCUCGAUGCAGACCGACCGCUUGAUGACGUCCACCCGAGGACAGACAUUCACCAGCCGCUUCACGAGGCCGAAGUAGCUGCUGGGUAUAGCUUCGGUAGGCCACAGCCGGAUUAUUAAAUCCUUCAUGGCCAGUUCGGGCACCCUAUGCAGCUCGACUAGCUGUUUUAGCUAAUCGGUGAAGGGCACUGGAUGUUCUGGCGCAAGGAAUUGCGACCAGAAUAGCUUCUCAGUUGAGCUCCCUUCUUCGGCUCGGAAGAACUCCGCAACGUCUGACACACUGUGCGGCAGAUCCGCAAACGCCCCUGGAGAACUCCGAAUCCGGGUUAGUAAGACAUACUUCUUCUUCACAUACUUGCUUUGCAUAGUAAACGCCUUACCCGCCGCGAUCUUCUCGGCCUCCUGGAUCUCCUGGUGGGUGCCCUGGGCCUCAACCCGGGCUUCUUCCGCACUUUGGCGAGCCUUGGCGAGUUUGGCCUCUCGAGCCGAAACAUCGCACUCCAAGGCCUCACAUUUCUUCACAACGUCCUGGAGCUCUUGCUGGACCUCGUUAAGCCUGGCCUUGAGCUUCUUACGGGCGGCUUGCUGCUUGGCGGCUUUCUCCUCGGCUUCGGCCAGGGCCUUUUUAAGGGCCUCGACCUCGGUCAUCGCUCCUACACAUAUCAUAACACUACGAUCAAUACACAUCAUUUAUUCUUUCCGAAUAUAUAGCGAGUUAUGACAUACCUUGCUGGUCUUCUAGCUGCUUCCUCGCUUGGCCGAGCUCCUCCUCGGCCCGCUCCAGUCUCUGCUUUAGUCCAGAGACUUCGGCAACGUGUGAGGUCGCGGCCAGCAACGACGCCUGCUCAUUCAUACAAGACAUAUUUAAUUAGUUUCCUGCAAAAAUGAAUUGAUCCUCUGUCCGGCCUUGCUUUCCGAACACCGGACAGUGUCUCAGGGGCUACUGACUAUAGUGGGAUUUUCUCUUUUGCGUCGCUUACCAAAACCUAUUAGCAAGCCGAUGCAGGCUUCGGUCAGUCCGCUCUUAACGGGCUGAACCCUCUCAAUCACCGUACCCAUAAGGAUAUGGUGUUCCUCCACAAUGGAAGCGCCUCGUAGCGCUUCCAGAAGAUUGUCCGGUGCCCCUAGUUGGACAGAGGUCACCGGUGGGAUAGGCACACCUCCGUCUUUCAAAGGAGGUUGCACGCCGGACUCCGGAGCCGUGUAGGUCUCCGGAACCGUAUUCGGAUAGGGGCCGAAUAGAACAUGGCCCCCAUCGCCAGUCUCCAUGGGGAUCUGCUCCCCCAUGUGUCCGGCGGUCGAGGUUUUGCCCUCUGGUGCUACCCUGACGGCCUUUUGAGACUCCCCCUGGCCUGGGAAGAUCCUUCGCGACAGCACCUCGGCGUCGCCCUUGGCCGUGGGAGAGUAAGCGGCCGGCGGUGACUCGCUGGCCAUCGCCUUUGAAUCCAACGAGCCUCUUGAUGAGGAUCGCUGGGAGCUGUCGUGGGCCGGACUGCAAUAACAUAAUUAACCAUAUUAAUACCAUAAAGAAGGGAAGCCGAAUACAGGGAUGCAUCUGGGCUUUUUUAGUACUUACAAUGCGGCCAGGGACUUGCUUCGGGGGGGUCGCUCUGGGUUGUUGUCGACGUCCCACGCGGAGUUAUCCGCGAGGGAGCCCUUCCCCCUCUUGGGCGCCUCCGCCUCCAGAUUUGUGGAGGCCACCCUCUUCUUCCUCCCCCCUUCAGGGGGAGAGUUGCUUUCCUCCUCCUCGUCAUCAUCUUCGGCGGCAGAGGAGUGAGUCUUGUCUUCGGACAUCACGUCCGAAGUGCCCUUACGGCGGGGGCCACCCCGGGCCCCCUUUGGCCUUCUUCUCCGGUGGCUGAUAGGGCGCCGAGACUAGCAUCUUCGCCAGGAGCGGGAUGACUGGUUCUUCGGGCAGCGAAGCCAAACAUUGAAUCCGCUCCGCCUUCUCUAUCCAUACCUGAAAGGAUAAAUUAGCAAAGUUUAGUUACCCUCCUUGGAUAAGCAAGUAGAGGGUACGCCUUGAGAUGUGAAGGACUUACCGCAUUGGCGGGUGCUACCUCUUGAGCACUGCGUUGGUUUUCCCUUGAAGAGGAAAGGGUGAUGCAGCAAAGUAGCGUAAGUAUUUCCCUCAGUUUUUGAGAACCAAGGUAUCAAUCCAGUAGGAGGCCACGCUCAAGUCCCUUGUACCUACACAAACAAAUAAGAACCUUGCAACAAACACGAUAAAGGGGUUAUCAAUCCCUUCACGGCCACUUGCAAAAGUGAGAUCUGAUAGAGAUGAUAAGAUAAUAAUUUUUAUAAUAAAGAUUAAAAGUAAAGAUUGCAAAAUAAAAGGUGAUAGAAAUAGCUUGUUGAAGGGACAUUAAUAUGAUGGAAAAUAGACCCGGGGGCCAUAGGUUUCACUAGUGGCUUCUCUCAAGAUAGCAUAAGUAUUACGGUGGGUGAACAAAUUACUAUCGAGCAAUUGAUAGAAUUGAGCAUAGUUAUGAGAAUAUCUAGGUAUGAUCAUGUAUAUAGGCAUCACGUCCGUGACAAGUAGACCGACUCCUGCCUGCAUCUACUACUAUUACUCCACACAUCGACCGCUAUCUAGCAUGCAUCUAGAGUAUUAAGUUCAUAAGAACGGAGUAACGCUUUAAGCAAGAUGACAUGAUGUAGAGGGAUAAACUCAAGCAAUAUGAUAUAAACCCCAUCUUUUUAUCCUCGAUGGAAACAGUACAAUACAUGUCGUUUCCCCUACUGUCACUGGGAUCGAGCACCACAAGAUUGAACCCAAAGCUAAGCACUUCUUCCAUUGCAAGAAAGAUCAAUCUAGUAGGCCAAACCAAACUGAUAAUUCGAAGAGACUUGCAAAGAUAACCAAUCAUACAUAAAAGAAUUCAGAGAAGAUUCAAAUAUUGUUCAUAGAUAAUCUUGAUCAUAAACCCACAAUUCAUCGGAUCUCGACAAACACACCGCAAAAGAAGAUUACAUCGAAUAGAUCUGCAAGAGAAUUGAGGAGAACUUUGUAUUGAGAUCCAAUGAGAGAGAAGAAGCCAUCUAGCUAAUAACUAUGGACCCGAAGGUCUUAGGUAAACUACUCACACAUCAUCGGAGAGGCUAUGGUGUUGAUGUAGAAGCCCUCCGUGAUCAAUGCCCCCUCCGGCGGAGCGCCGGAAAAGGCCCCAAGAUGGGAUCUCACGGGUACAGAGAGUUGCAGCGGUGGAAAUAGGGUUUUGGCUCCUGUUCUGAUGUUUCCAGGGUAUAUGAGUAUAUAUAGGCGAAAGAGGUCGGUCAGGAGAGCUAUGAGGGCCCACGAGGGUGGGGGCGCGCCCAGGGGGCAGGCGCGCCUCCCUGCCUUGUGGCCUCCUCGUUGAUUUCUUGACGUCCACUCCAAAUCCUCUGCAUCACGUUUGUUCCGAAAAUCACGUUCCCGAAGGUUUCAUUCCGCUUGGACUCCGUUUGAUAUUUCUUUCCUUCGAAACACUGAAAUAGGCAAAAAAAACAGCAAUUUGGGUUGGGCCUCCGGUUAAUAGGUUAGUCCCAAAAAUAAUAUAAAAGUGUAUAAUAAAGCCCCUUGAACAUCCAAAACAGAUAAUAUAAUAGCAUGGAGCAAUCAAAAAUUAUAGAUACGUUGGAUACGUAUCAAGCAUCCCCAAGCUUAAUUCCUGCUUGUCCUCGAGUAGGUAAAUGAUAAAAACAGAAUUUUUCAUGUGGAAUGCUACUUAGCAUAAUUUUCAAUGUAAUUCUUUUUAUUGUGGCAUGAAUAUUUAGAUCCGAAAGAUUCAAGAUAGAAUUUAAUGUUGACAUAAAAAAAUACUUCAAACAUGCUAACCAAGCAAUUAUGUCUUAUCAAAAUAACAUAGCCAAAGAAAGCUUAUCCCUACAAAAUCAUAUAGUUAGGCCAUGCUUCAAUUUCGUCACACAAAACGUUCUCAUCAUGCAUAACCCCGAUGAAAAGCCGAGCAAUUGGUUCAUACUUUUUAAUGUGCUUCAGCCUUUUCAACCCUUACGCAAUACAUGAGCGCAAGCCAUGGAUAUAGCACUAUGGGUGGAAUAAAGUAUAAUGAUGGGGGUUAUGUGAGAAGACAAAAAGGUAGAAAGUCUCACAUUGACGCGGCUAAUCAAUAGGCUAUGGAGAUGCCCAUUAAUUGAUGUCAAUGGGAUGAGUAGGGAUUGCCAUGCAAUGGAUGCACUAGAGCUAUAAAUAUAUGAAAGCUCAACAAAAGAAACUAAGUGGGUGUGCAUCCAACUUGCUUGCUCACGAAGACCUAGGGCAUUUUGAGGAAUCCCAUCAUUGGAAUAUACAAGCCAAGUUCUAUAAUGAAAAAUUCCCACUAGUAUAUGAAAGUGACAACAUAGGAGACUCUCUAUCAUGAAGAUCAUGGUGCUACUUUGAAGCACAAGUGUGGAAAAAGGAUAGUAACAUUGUCCCUUCUCUCUUUUUAUCUUAUUUUUUUCUUGGGCCUUCUCUUUUUCUUUUUUUUUCUUUGGCCUCUUUUUUUAAUCCGGAAUCUCAUUCCGACUUGUGGGGGAAUCAUAGUCUCCAUCAUCCUUUCCUCACAUGGGACAAUGCUCUAAUAAUGAUGAUCAUCACACUUUUAUUACUUACAACUCAAGAAUUACAACUCAAUACUUAGAACAAGAUAUGACUCUAUGUGAAUGCUUUCGGCGGUGUACCGGGAUAUGCAAUGAAUCAAGAGUGACAUGUAUGAAAAAUUAUGAAUGGUGGCUUUGCCACAAAUACGAUGUCAACUACAUGAUCACGCAAAGAAAUAUGACAAUGAUGGAGCGUGUCAUAAUAAACGGAACGGUGGAAAGUUGCAUGGCAAUAUAUCUCGGAAUGGCUAUGGAAAUGCCAUUAUAGGUAGGUAUGGUGGCUGUUUUGAGGAAGAUAUAAGGAGGUUUAUGUGUGAUAGAGUGUAUCAUAUCACGGGGUUUGGAUGCACCGGCGAAGUUUGCACCAACUCUCAAGGCGAGAAAGGGCAAUGCACGGUACCGUAGAGGCUAGAAAAUUGUGGAAGGUUGAGAGUGCGUAUAAUCCAUGGACUCACAUUAGUCAUAAAGAACUCAUAUACUUAUUGCAAAAGUUUAUUAGCCCUCGACGCAAAGUACUACUACGCAUGCCCCUAGAGGGAUAGAUUGGUAGGAAAAGACCAUCGCUCGUGCCCGACCGCCACUCAUAAGGAAAGCAAUAAAAGAACACCUUAUGUGUCAAAAUUGUCACACAACUUUUACCAUACGUGCAUGCUAUGGGACUUGCCAACCUUAACACAAGUAUUUCUCAAUUUCACAAUUACUCAACUAGCACACUCUAAUAUUACCACCUUUAUAUCUCAAAACACUUAUCAAGAAUCAAACUUCUCAUGAUAUUCAAUGAACUCAAUAUGGAAGUUUUUAUUAUGCUCAUCUUGGAUGCCUAUUGAAGGAAAUAUGGCCUAGAGGCAAUAAUAAAGUUAUUAUUUAUUUCCUCAUAUCAUGAUAAAUGUUUAUUAUUCAUGCUAGAAUUGUAUUAACUGGAAACUUAGUACAUGUGUGAAUACAUAGACAAACAGAGUGUCACUAGUAUGCCUCUACUUGACUAGCUCGUUAAUCAAAGAUGGUUAAGUUUCCUGACCAUUGACAUGAGUUGUCAUUUGAUUAAUGGGAUCACAUCAUUAGGAGAAUGAUGUGAUUGACUUGACCCAUUCCGUUAGCUUAGCACUUGAUCGUUUAGUAUGUUGCUAUUGCUUUCUAAAUGACUUAUACAUGUUCCUAUGACUAUGAGAUUAUGCAACUCCCGUUUACCGGAGGAACACUUUGUGUGCUACCAAACGUCACAACGUAACUGGGUGAUUAUAAAGGUGCUCUACAGGUGUCUCCGAAGGUACUUGUUGAGUUGGCGUAUUUCGAGAUUAGGUUUUAUCACUCCGUUUGUCGGAGAGGUAUCUCUGGGCCCUCUCGGUAAUGCACAUCACUAUAAGCCUUGCAAGCAAUGUGACUAAUGAGUUAGUUGCGGGAUGAUGCAUUACGGAAUGAGUAUAGAGACUUGCCAGUAACGAGAUUGAACUAGGUAUUGAGAUACCGACGAUCGAAUCUCGGGCAAGUAACAUAUCGAUGACAAAGGGAACAACGUAUGUUGUUAUGCGGCUUGACCGAUAAAGAUCUUCGAAGAAUAUGUAGGAGCCAAUAUGAGCAUCCAGGUUCCGCUAUUGGUUAUUGACCGGAGACGUGUCUCGGUCAUGUCUACAUAGUUCUCGAACCCGUAGGGUCCGCACGCUUAAAGUUCGGUGACGAUCGGUAUUAUGAGUUUUUGUGUUUUGAUGUACUGAAGGUAGUUCGGAGUCCCGGAUAUGAUCACGGACAUGUUGAGGAGUCUCGAAAUGGUCGAGACGUAAAGAUCGAUAUAUUGGAUGACUAUGUUCGGACACCGGAAAUGUUUCGGGAGGUUUCGGACAUUUACCGGAGUACCGGGGGGUUACCGGAACCCCCCGGGGAGUAAAUUGGGCCUAAUGGGCCUUAGUGGAGAAGAGGAGGGGCGGCCAGGGCAGGCCGCGCGCCCCCUCCCCCUCUAGUCCGAAUUGGACAAGGAGGGGGGCGGCGCCCCCCUUUCCAUCCCCUCUCUCUCCUCCUCCCCCCUUCUCCUACUCCUACUAGGAAAGGAGGAGUCCUACUCCCGGUGGGAGUAGGACUCCCCCCUUGGCACGCCCUCCUUGGCCGGCCGCCUCUCCCCGCUUGCUCAUUUAUAUACAGGGGCAGGGGGACACCUCUAGACACACAAGUUGAUCUGUUGAUCUCUCCCAGCCGUGUGCGGUGCCCCCUCCACCAUAAUCCACCUCGAUAAUAUCAUAGCAGUGCUUAGGCGAAGCCCUGCAUCGGUAGCAUCAUCAUCACCGUCAUCACGCCGUCGUGCUGACGAAACUCUCCUGCGAAGCUUUGUUGGAUCGGAGCUCGCGGGACGUCAUCGAGUUGAACGUGUGCUGAACUCGGAGGUGCCGUGCGUUCGGUACUUGGAUCGGUCGAAUCGUGAAGAUGUAUGACUACAUCAACCGGGUUGUGCUAACGCUUCCGCUUUCGGUCUACGAGGGUACGUGGACACACUCUCCCCUCUCGUUGCUAUGCAUCACCAUGAUCCUAAGUGUGCGUAGGAAAUUUUUUGAAAUUACUACGUUCCCCAACAGUGGCAUCCGAGCCAGGUUUAUGCGUAGAUGUUAUAUGCAUGAGUAGAACACAAGUGAGUUGUGGGCGAUACAAGUCAUACUGCUUACCAGCAUGUCAUACUUUGGUUCGGCGGUAUUGUUGGAUGAAGCGGCCCGGACCGACAUUACGCGUACGCUUACGCGAGACUGGUUCUACCGAAGUGCUUUGCACAUUGGUGGCUGGCGGGUGUCAGUUUCUCCAACUUUAGUUGAACCGAGUGUGACUACGCCCGUUCCUUGUGAAGGUUAAAACAACACUAACUUGACGAGCUAUCGUUGUGGUUUUGAUGCGUAGGUAAGAACGGUUCUAACUCAGCCCGUCGCAGCCACAUAAAACUUGCAACAACAAAGUAGAGGACGUCUAACUUGUUUUUGCAGGGCAUGUUGUGAUGUGAUAUGGUCAAGGCAUGAUGCUAUAUUUUAUUGUAUGAGAUGAUCAUGUUUUGUAACCAAGUUAUCGGCAACUGGCAGGAGCCAUAUGGUUGUCGCUUUAUUGUAUGCAAUGCAAUCGCCCUGUAAUUGCUUUACUUUAUCACUAAGCGGUAGCGAUAGUCGUAGAAGCAAUAGUUGGCGAGACGACAACGAUGCUACGAUGGAGAUCAAGGUGUUGCGCCGGUGACGAUGGUGAUCAUGACGGUGCUUUGGAGAUGGAGAUCACAAGCACAAGAUGAUGAUGGCCAUAGCAUAUCACUUAUAUUGAUUGCAUGUGAUGUUUAUCCUUUAUGCAUCUUAUUUUGCUUUGAUUGACGGUAGCAUUAUAAGAUGAUCUCUCACUAAAUUUCAAGGUAAAAGUGUUCUCCCUGAGUAUGCACCGUUGCCAAAGUUGGUCAUGCCGAGACACCACAUGAUGAUCGGGUGUGAUAAGCUCAACGUUCAUCUACAACGGGUGCAAGCCAGUUUUGCACACGCAGAAUACUCGGGUCAAACUUGACGACCCUAGCAUAUGCAGAUAUGGCCUCGGAACACUGAGACUGAAAGGUCGAGCAUGAAUCAUAUAGUAGAUAUGAUCAACAUAGUGAUGUUCACCAUUGAAAACUACUCCAUUUCACGUGAUGAUCGGUUAUGGUUUAGUUGAUUUGGAUCACGUGAUCACUUAGACGAUUAGAGGGAUGUCUAUCUAAGUGGGAGUUCUUAAGUAAUAUGAUUAACUGAACUUAAAUUUAUCAUGAACUUAGUACCUGAUAGUAUUUUACUUGUCUAUGUUAUUGUAGAUAGAUGGCCCAUGCUAUUGUUCCGUUGAAUUUUAAUGCGUUCCUUGAGAAAGCAAAGUUGAAAGAUGAUGGUAGCAAUUACACGGAUUGGGUCCGUAACUUGAGGAUUAUCCUCAUUGUUGCACAGAAGAAUUACGUCCUGGAAGCACCGCUGGGUGCCAGGCCUGCUGCAGAUGCACCUGACGACGUUAAGAACGUUUGGCAGAGCAAAGCUGAUGACUACUCGAUAGUUCAGUGUGCCAUGCUUUAUGGCUUAGAACCGGGACUUCAACGAUGUUUUGAACGUCAUGGAGCAUAUGAGAUGUUCCAGGAGUUGAAAUUAAUAUUUCAAGCAAAUGCCCGGAUUGAGAGAUAUGAAGUCUCCAAUAAGUUCUAUAGCUGUAAGAUGGAGGAGAAUAGUUCUGUCAGUGAACAUAUACUCAAAAUGUCUGGGUAUAACAAUCACUUGAUUCAACUAGGAGUUAAUCUUCCGGAUGAUAGUGUCAUUGACAGAAUUCUUCAAUCACUGCCACCAAGCUACAAGAGCUUCGUGAUGAACUAUAAUAUGCAAGGGAUGGAUAAGACAAUUCCCGAGCUCUUCGCGAUGCUAAAAGCUGCGGAGGUAGAAAUCAAGAAGGAGCAUCAAGUGUCGAUGGUCAACAAGACCACCAGUUUCAAGAAAAAGGGUAAAGGGAAGAAGAAGGGGAACUUCAAGAAGAACGGCAAACAAGUUGCUGCUCAAGAGAAGAAACCCAAGUCUGGACCUAAGCCUAAGAUUGAGUGCUUCUACUUCAAACAGACUGGUCACUGGAAGCGGAACUGCCCCAAGUAUUUGGCGGAUAAGAAGGAUGGCAAGGUGAACAAAGGUAUAUGUGAUAUACAUGUUAUUGAUGUGUACCUUACUAGAGCUCGCAGUAGCACCUGGGUAUUUGAUACUGGUUCUGUUACUAAUAUUUGCAACUCAAAACAGCAGAGACUAUGGAUUAAGCGAAGACUGGCUAAGGACGAGGUGACGAUGCGCGUGGGAAAUGGUUCCAAAGUCGAUGUGAUCGCCGUCGACACGCUACCUCUACAUCUACCUUCGGGAUUAGUUUUAGACCUAAAUAAUUGUUAUUUGGUGCCAGCGUUGAGCAUGAACAUUAUAUAUGGAUCUGUUUUGAUGCGAGACGGUUAUUCAUUUAAAUCUGAGAAUGAUAGUUGUUCUAUUUAUAUGAGUAAUAUCUUUUAUGGUCAUGCACCCUUGAAGAGUGUUCUAUUUCUGUUAAAUCUCGAUAGUAGUGACACACAUAUUCAUAAUGUUGAAGCCAAAAGAUGCAGAGUUGAUAAUGAUAGUGCAACUUAUUUGUGGCACUGCCGUUUGGGUCAUAUUGGUGUAAAGCGCAUGAAGAAACUCCAUACUGAUGGACUUUUGGAAUCACUUGAUUAUGAAUCACUUGGUACUUGCGAACCAUGCCUCAUGGGCAAGAUGACUAAAACGUCGUUCUCCGAAACAAUGGAGCGAGCAACAGAAUUGUUGGAAAUCAUACAUACUGAUGUAUGUGGUCCGAUGAAUAUUGAGGCUCGCGGCGGGUAUCGUUAUUUUCUCACCUUCACAAAUGAUUUGAGCAGAUAUGGGUAUAUCUACUUAAUGAAACAUAAGUCUGAAACGUUUGAAAAGUUCAAAGAAUUUCAGAGUGAAGUGGAAAAUUAUCGUAACAAGAAAAUAAAGUUUCUACGAUCUGAUCAUGGGGGAGAAUAUUUGAGUUACGAGUUUGGUCUACAUUUGAAACAAUGCAGAAUAGUUUCGCAACUCACGCCACCCGAAACACCACAGCGUAAUGGUGUGUCCGAACGUCGUAAUCGUACUUUACUAGAUAUGAUGUGAUCUAUGAUGUAUCUUACUGAUUUACCGCUAUCGUCUUGGGGUUAUGCUUUAGAGACGGAUGCAUUCACGUUAAAUAGGGCACCAUCUAAAUCCGUUGAGACGACUCCUUAUGAACUGUGGUUUGGCAAGAAACCAAAGUUGUCGUUUCUUAAAGAUUGGGGCUGUGAUGCUUAUGUGAAAAAGCUUCAACCUGAUAAGCUCGAACCCAAGUCGGAGAAAUGUGUCUUCAUAGGAUACCCAAAAGAAACAGUUGGGUACACCUUCUAUCACAGAUCCGAAGGAAAGACUUUUGUUGCUAAGAAUGGAUCCUUUCUAGAGAAUGAGUUUAUCUCAAAAGAAGUGAGUGGGAGGAAAGUAGAACUUGAUGAGGUAAUUGUACCUGCUCCCUUAUUGGAAAGUAGUUCAUCACAGAAACCGGUUCCUGUGACACCUACACCAAUUAGUGAAGAAGCUAAUGAUGAUGAUCAUGAAACUUCAGAUCAAGUUACUACCGAACCUCGUAGGUCAACCAGAGUAAGAUCUGCACCAGAGUGGUACGGUAAUCCUGUUCUGGAGGCCAUGUUACUAGACCAUGACUAACCUACGAACUAUGAGGAAGCGAUGAUGAGCCCAGAUUCUGCAAAAUGGCUUGAGGCCAUCAAAUCUGAGAUGGGAUCCAUGUAUGAGAACAAAGUAUGGACUUUGGUUGACUUGCCGGAUGAUCGGCAAGCCAUCGAAAAGAAAUGGAUCUUCAAGAAGAAGACAGACGCUGACGGUAAUGUUACUAUCUACAAAGCUCGACUUGUUGCGAAAGGUUUUCGACAAGUUCAAGGAGUUGACUACGAUGAGACCUUCUCACCCAUAGCGAUGCUUAAGUCCGUCUGAAUCAUGUUAGCAAUUUCCGCAUCUUAUGAUUAUGAAAUUUGGUAAAUGGAUGUAAAGACUGCAUUCCUGAAUGGAUUUCUCGAAGAAGAGUUGUAUAUGAUGCAACCUGAAGGUUUUAUCGAUCCAAAAGGUGCUAACAAAGUGUGCAAGCUCCAGCGAUCCAUUUAUGGACUGGUGCAAGCAUCUCGGAGUUGGAAUAAACAUUUUGAUAGUGUGAUCAAAGCAUAUGGUUUUAUACAGACUUUUGGAGAAGCCUGUAUUUACAAGAAAGCGAGUGGGAGCUCUGUAGCAUUUCUAAUCUUAUAUGUGGAUGACAUAUUGUUGAUUGGAAAUGAUAUAGAAUUUCUGGAUAGCAUAAAAGGAUACUUGAAUAAGAGUUUUUCAAUGAAGGACCUCGGUGAAGCUGCUUACAUAUUGGGCAUCAAGAUCUAUAGAGAUAGAUCAAGACGCUUAAUUGAACUUUCACAAAGCACAUACCUUGACAAAGUUUUGAAGAAGUUCAAAAUGGAUCAGGCAAAGAAAGGGUUCUUGCCUAUGUUACAAGGUGUGAAAUUGAGUAAGACUCAAUGCCCGACCACUGCACAAGAUAGAGAGGAAAUGAAAGAUGUUCACUAGCUAGAGACGGUUUAAUCUCAUCAAAAGAACUUUAGAGACGGUUUGAGCCUAGCACGUACGUAGAUCCACAUGAGUCACGAACUCACGAUUCACGUCACGUAGUACAUGUAACCGGGCCGGAAUCGGAACCAGACAGCUAAGAAGCUGCGUCCAUGGCGACGGCGAGGAGGCGCAAGGCGAAGGCCGCCAGGGCAACGGCCGCGGAAGCCAUGAAGAAAGCCACGAACAAUGCUUAUGCCGCCAUGGUUGUAGCCGAUAAGGAGUCCCGGAAAGCCAAAGCGGAGGCCAAGGAGGCCACCACGACGGCCAUGGUGAAGGCCGAGGAGUCCAUGCAAGCUGCCAGGACCGCCAUGGUGAAAGCCGAAGAAGCCGCCAUCAUAGCCAACGUGAAGGCCGAGGAAGCCAAGAAGGCAACAGAAGCCUACCGCGAGGUGUGCCGGUAGGAGGACGCGAAAGCGGAGUGGGCGCAGUGUGAGGAGGAGCUCUUCGCCACCCGGUUCCGACGCUACUGGAAUAAGCUCGUCGCCCGCCCCGGCGUCACCUUCCAUGAAACCAGUAAGAUAUAUAUCAGCAUACAUACAUAUAUUUGACCAGUUAAUUGCUCGUUUGAUUUCAUACUUAAUUGAUGCACACCAUCCGAUGAACGCAGCGUCGAUCCCCGCCAUGCGGUACACGCACCCCGCUCCCCAAGAUAGCCCCAAGGCCAUGGAUACCCUGCAGAUCACCUCGGUGAAGAUUGCGGCGGUCGACCAUUGCCUGUGAUGGCCGCUGCAGGUGUAUGGCAUCAUCGCGGCACGAGAUGUCUUGGAUCACAAGCGCAACAUUCUUUUCCACCGACCGAGAGGUGGCUGUCAAAUCAUCACUCAAGUGGCUCGUACAUACAUACAUUCUAGCCGAGUUAGUGAUUAGUCCCCUCGCUCCCCGCCAUGGCGAUGCUCGCCGCAUCCCCGCCGACCACGCCGCCGCUCCCAUCACUCCGCCGCGCAUGCUAGAGCGUCGGUGCGCCGGGAUCCGCUAGGUUCCACCCACGCUGCUCCAUCUCACCACCGCCGCUAUUCCGCUACUCAGAAGCAGGGAGGAGAUCUGCGCCGUGAAUCUCAUCAGAUCGGAGGUCCGGGUCCACGACUGCCUGCAACGCGAAUGGAGUCUGGUGGCGAAGGGAGGAGGGCAUCAGACCAGGAGAUCGCUGGUUUGAUGUCGGAUUUGGGGAGGAAACAGCGAGCAGCGGCGAGGGCCGCGCGGGAUGCGUAGAUCGCGGCAGGUCAGGUACGAGACGCGAAGAUGCUGCUCGCGCUACGUACCAUGCCGCGGACAAAUCAGAAGAGAGGAAUCGGAUAUUCGCGCUGGGACAGUCCCUCACUCCAGGGGUGAUUUUGAAUUGGGCAUCGGAAGAGGCUUGUUCUUCCUCCCGGGCUUAGAGGGCAAAGUCGAAGAUCUUCAGAGAGCUGCAGAUCUGACUGCAAAUAGUGACAGCACUUGGAGGAAGCGAGUAGGGCUGCGACUGAAUCGGGUUCGUCUUGAGGUACGAUCAAAAUCUCCUCAUCUCUGUUGAGGAUCUCAUACAGAGGAUGCGAGAGAUGGGGUAGUGGUGCCACCAUUGUUGGUCUUCGAGAACCUAGGUGGAUUCCAGUUCAAAAAUCUGCCUGAUCCAAGAGAUAAAAGCCGAGAUGACGAAGUCAACGUGGCCGCUAGGUCAGCACCUCAGACAGGGCCCAGUGUUAGUGAGUUGGGUAGAGAGAUUGGAGGUGACUUCUUCAGCCAACUGUGGGUGGAUGAAGGGUAUAAAUCAGACGCCUCCUCUAGGGUUUCUAACCAGAGAGUGGCGGCGGUGUGGAUCCGCAGAUCACUGAUAGAAGCCAAAAAAAUUGGGGUUCAGGAUUGCCACCCGGUCCCGGAGAGCAAGAGUGUUAGCCAAGUGGCCACCCAAUUCAGCAUCUCAAGUUCGGGGUGGUUCCAAGAUCGAAAGGCUGUGUUUGCUGCGAUUCUUGAGAAGGUGAAGAAGGGAGAAGGAGGCCGGGGAAGAGGCGGAGGAAGGGGGCCGGACGAAACCAAAAAAAUCCGGUACCCCAAGAUGAGUUUCAGCACUUUGGGCCGCCGGUGAUGUAUGGAUUUCGUCCACCCAUGACACCACAGUUUGGAUUCCCAGGCGCCCCUCCUUGGGGUUUCCCAGGUGCCUAUCCCCCAUACCCACCUCCCCCAAAUUUCCCAGUGAAUAAUCAGUGGGUGCCCCCAGGGCAAUCUCAUGCACCCCCGGGAAAAGGCCAUCAGGGUGGAUUCCAACAGCAACAACAAACAAGUGCAGGGGGCAGAAAAACCAGUCUGGAAAGGAUAAACAGAAGAAGAAUCUGAACAAGACUGGCUCUAGCAACAGUGCAGAAAGUAAAGAGAAGAUGGAUGUGGACUUCACUGAGUAUAGUCAAUCCAUGUGCUAUAACUGUGGUGAUCCAGGACAUCCACAGACUGAGUGUGGAAAACCUAAGCUCUAUUUCAUCUGCAAGAGUGCCACCCAUGCUGUAAGUGAGUGUCCUGUCAGGAAAAGGCCACAUCAGAUGGCUAAAUUUGUUGGUAGAGCAGUUGAAGAUUGGGAUUCUAUCACAUAGAAGUGCCAGACAUUGGACAGAAUGCUAUUGGAAGCUUUAAAAACUGUGGGGUUGUGUAUAAUGAAUCAGGAGAAAUCAGCAAGGAGGACUUGGCCAAGGAGUUUGCGAUCAUCUAUAAAACAAAUUGGCCCUGGCAGAUCAGAUCUUUUGGGAGGUGGUCUUACCUAGUGAAAUUCUCACCACAUAUCUCAGUAGAUCAGGUGGCUGGAUAUCCUUGUUUUGGUCUGUCCAGAGAAGAUAUCACUGUAAGGUGGUAGCUUGGAAAGAAAAUCUAGAAAAAAGGGACAACCUCAUUGAAGUCUUGGUCCAAUUGAGAAAGCUUCUUCCCAAAUGGUGUGAGUGGUCUUCUCUUGACCAAAUCACAUCUGUGUUUGGACUGCUUGUGGAGGUAGAUUGGCAAUAGAUGUUCAAAAGUAUGUUUGAAGUGGUCAGAGUCAAAAUCCAAUGUAGGGAUCCCAACAAAAUACCUAAUGAAAGAUUGUUCUCUUUAGAAGGCAAACUGGUACAGGGUUAGAUCACUGUAGAAGUACCUAAACCUAUGUCUGUAGAAAUGAUUCCUACAAGCUCUAGUGACAAGGAUGGAGGAGAAGAUACAGACAAGGACAACAACAGUAGCAUGGACAUGGAUGGUAGGCUAGAGGAAGGAGGGAACAACCAGAGAACUCACAAUGGCAGUGGUGGAAAGGAAGACAUGAUUGGGAUAGGUGGAGGCAGCAAUAGUGGUCAGAGGAAUCAUUCGUUGGCUGACACUGUGACUCCACUUAGUGAGAAAGCCGUUUGGGAGGUCUUUAGGAAGGAACAUGAGGUAUCUAAAGGAGAAGCAAAUGAAUCACACACUGAGGGGUCUGAAGUAGUACCUGCAGAAGAACCUGAAAGGGAAGUUACCAGAUUCCUGUUUGUUGAGAUGAAUGAAGAACUUGAGAAAACUGAGGAGGAAAUUAGCCUGUCAGAAAAAAAUCUUCAGGGGGAUGUGAAGAGAUGGUGCAUGAUGAAGAAAAAGAUGAUGAGGAGGCCUAUCUUCCUGAUGAUAUCAUGCCCACAUAUGAGGAAGAGGAGGCUAUGUUUGAACAUAAGUGCGGGAAGAAUUCAAAGAAACAAAAAAUCUGGGGUCCAGUUCAACCUGAAAGGAAGAGCACUAGAGUGAAAGGGAACAUACCUAUCAUGGAGAAUGCUGAAUUACUCAAGAUGAGGAAAAAUCUGGAGCUGCCAAAAACAACUGUGAAAGGUAUAAUCCAUUCAAACCCUUUUAAUGUUCUACCUGUUGAGGAAAUAUUAGAUAUGACUGAUGUGAUGGGUGUAGAGAUUAGAGAGGAUAUAGAUCAUAAACAAUCAUCUACUCCCCUGGAUGAUAAUAGUCUAAGUUGUAGGAACUUGGUAGGAAAGAAUAAAGGUAAAGAUAGAGGGGGAAGUAUCAUCAGUAAGAAUAGACAGGGCAAGCACCCUAGUAAGAAAGGUUCCAAAUGAGAUACAUCUUCUGGAACAUUAGAGGGGUUGCGGCCCCUGGUAGACAGAGAUGUAUAGAGGAUACUAUUAUUCCUUUAAAUCCUGCUUACAUAGGCUUUCAAGAGACUAAGAAACAAACUUUCUCUAAUUCCUUUCUUAAGAACCUAUUAGGUAAUAGAAAUUUUGAGUGGAACUGGCUAUCUGCCUCUGGUUCUGCUAGUGGCAUCUUAGUAGGUGUAGAUUUAGACAUGUUUAAAGUGGUUAGCUGGGAGAUACUUAAAUUCUCUGUGAGUGUAGUGGUUUGUAAGAAAGACACUGAGGUGAUCUCUAGAAUUACCACAGUGUAUGGCCCUGCUUACGAGGAGAGUAAACAGGAGUUUAUUUCUGAACUACAUAGUAUUUUUCUUAACUGGAAUGGCCCAGCUAUUGUAGGGGGAGAUUUCAAUCUGGUUAGGAGUCAAACUGAUAAGAACAAUGGUAGAGUAGAUUUUAAGUGGGUUGACAGGUUCAACUCUUGAGUAGAUUUUUGGUCCUUGGUAGAAACUAAUAUGUCUGGUAGGAUGUACACUUGGGCAAAUAAUGAAACAGACUUGAUUAUGUCCAGAAUUGAUAGGAUUUUCUGUACAACUGAGUUUGAGGCCAUCUUCCCUUUAGCUAAUGCUAGAGUCCUCCCUAGAAUUGGGAGUGACCAGACCCCUGUUAUUUGGGAAUCUGGUUGUGAUGAAAAUCCUAAAAAGAAUAGUUUUAAGUUUGAAAAGUGGUGGCUAAUUGUUCCUGAAUUUAGAGAAAUAGUCUCUAAAGCUUGGAAUACUAAGUGUUUUAGUUCCAACCCUAUUGAUGUUUGGUAGAGUAAAGUGAGAGCUUUUAGAAGAAUAGCUAGAGGGUGGAGUGCCAAUUUAGAGGUUUUUCUUAGGAAACAUAAGAAGAAGCUCAUAGAAGAAUAUGAUAGAAUAGAUAUAUAUACAGAAUCAAAUGGGAUGAAUGACAUUGAUAGGGAUAGGAUGAAGGAGAUUUUAAAGGAGCUUAGUGAUAUAUGGUGCAAAGAAGAGACUAAAGCUAGACAAAGAUCUAGAGACAGAGAUAUUCUAGAAGGAGAUAGGGACACAGCCUAUUUCUAAGCAGUGGCUAAUCAGAGAAGGAGGGAUAAAAUGAUCUCUGUACUGGAGGGGCCUGAGGGUCCCACCUCUGAUCAGGAUAAGAUGAUGAAAAUAGCUUUGAAUUUCUAUAAAAAUCUGUUUAAAGCUGAAUAGAGACCUAAUAUUGCUUUGAAACAAGACUUCUUCAGUAAUGGGGAGAAGGUUUCUGUAGAUGAUAAUAUUAAACUAGAAGCUAGAUUUACUGAAGAAGAAGUUAGGCAAGCAGUGUUUGAAUCUUAUUCAGAUGGGGCCCCUGGCCCUGAUGGACUUCCAUUUAUGUUCUUCCAGACCUUUUGGGACAUAAUUAAAGAUGAUCUUAUGGCUAUGUUUGAGGCAUGGUAUGACCAUGACCUAGACAUUUUUAGGUUGAAUUUUGCCAUGAUUACCUUGAUCCCUAAAGAAGAGGAAGCUAAAGAGAUGAGGAAAUUUAGACCUAUCAGCCUCCUUAAUUAUUGUUUUAAGAUCUUCACCAAGGUGUUAACUAAUAGAUUAGCUUUGAUUAUUGGUAAAUUGAUUUCUGAAAAUCAAUCUGCAUUCAUUAGGGGGGGUACAUUUUGGAAAGUGUGGUUACUGCACAUGAAGUGCUGCACACUACACAUUCCUCUGGUAAGAAAGGGAUGAUUUUUAAGAUAGAUUAUGAAAAAGCUUAUGAUAGAGUUAACCUAGAUUUUGUUUAUGAGGUCCUUGAACUGAGAGGUUUUGGUAGGAAAUGGAUUAACUGGAUUAAAAGUAUUACCCAACAGGGAUUCAUUUGGAGUCAAGGUGAAUGGAGUUGAGAGUGAUUUCUUUAUUACUAGUAGUGGGUUAAGACAAGGGGAUCCUUUCUCACCCUUACUUUCAAUCUAGUAGUUGAUGUGUUUGCCAAGAUGGUAGUUAAAGGGUCUCAAGCAGGGUUGAUCAAAGGAUUAUGUCCCAAUUUCUAUCCAGGAGGGGUUACCUGCCUACAAUAUGUAGAUGAUACUCUGCUCUUUGUAGAUAAUGAUCAUAGGGCGGCUGUUAACCUCAAAUGGGCCCUGACUUGCUUUGAAGUAGUAUCUGGUAUGUCUAUUAAUUACCAUAAGAGUGAAUUAGUCCCCAUCAAUUUAGAGGAGGAGGAGAUCCAAACUUUCCUGGAGAUUUUCAAUUGUGUUAGAGGAAAGUUCCCAAUCAAAUAUUUGGGUGUCCCACUGCAUUUUGAUAAACUCGGAAGAGAAGAUCUGCAACCUCUUAUUGAUGCCCUUCUGGCUAGAAUGGCUGGUUGGAGGGGUAAACCUCUGUCCUUAUUAGGGAGGGUCACUCUAGUUAAAACCUGUCUAGCUAGCAUACCUAUAUAUAUAUAUAUAUAUAUAUAUAUAUAUGUUAUCUUUCUUUAAAUUUCCAAAAUGGGCAAUUUCCUUGAUCAACUCCCAAUUAUCUAAUUGUCUCUGGAGUGAUGAUGAAGGAAAUCAAAAAAUCCAUUUGGCCAAUUGGCAGUAUCUGUGUAUGAAGAAGGAAUAUGGAGGUAUGGGGAUUCCAAACCUUCAAGACUUGAACAUAUGCCUGAUAGGGUCUUGGAUAAAAAGAUAUAUUUGUAGUGAGGGGUCCCUAUGGAGGAGAGUUAUUGACUCCAAAUAUAAUACUAAGAGACCAAAUAUUCUUUGCUGCAAUGACCCACACCCAUCACAAUUCUGAAGGGUGUGAUGUGGGCCAUGAAGGCAAUUAAGAUUGGAUACAAAUGGUCGGUAGGAAAUGGUAGAUCCAUCCUAUUUUGGGAAGAUAUCUGGUUCGGUAAUGCUCCUCUUGCCACACAAUUCUGGGAUCUGUAUUGCAUAACUAAUAAUAAGAACAAAACCAUAGCAGAAACUUGGGAUGGGAAUACUCUUAGAAUUUCCUUUAGAAGGAAUUUUUGAUGAAGAGCUUAUGUAUCAAUGGUUUGACUUGGAAACGAUUGCUAAAUCAAUAGCCUUUAUUGACCAGGAAGAUAGUAUGAUUUGGCAAUAUGAAUCAAAAGGCAUCUACUCUUCUAAAUCUUUAUAUGCUAUUGUAAACUUUAGGGGGAUCGACCCAUCUAUACACCUGCUGUGUGGGACCUGAAGGUCCCACCUAGAAUACAGGGGUUUCUAUGGCUUUUCUCUCAGAACAAAAUUAUGACCUGUGAUAACCUGAGGAAAAGAGGCAUUCCAAAACCUCUGGAAUGUGUACAUUGCAGCGAAAUAGAACCGGUGCACCACUUAUUUUUUUAUUGUGUGUUAGCUAAGUUGAUGUGGAAAGAAGUGGAGUAAGCUUUGGUAGAAGCUUCCACUCCUUCUUGGAGCUAGCUGCCUGCUGGCUCUGCAAUAAGAAAUUUGCUCAUUUAAAUUUGGUUUCUUCUGCGGUCCUGUGGGGGCUGUGGAACACUAGAAAUUCCAUUGUGUUUAAUAGAGCUAAAUGGACUUCUGUCAAACAGGUCUGGCAGAAGAUAAGUCAAUAUUUAGGGGAUUGGGUGAAACCUCACAAGGAACUGCCGGAGGGGGAGAUGAAAAAAUUCAGAGAUCAUCUGCAGGGGAGAUUGCGAUCGCCGCUGGAGCUGGAACCAAACUGAAAUGUCAAGAAAACCUGCAACAGCUGUCCUGGUCCAAGACCAUCCAAGGAAUGGCACAUGGAGGGCGCGCCACCCUGGAGCAGGUGAAAGAUGAUCCAAGGAAAGCGGAGGAGAUCCAUGUGGUUUUCAUCCCCAUGAGCUGAUAUGCUCGCCGGUUCCUGUGUUUGGCUUUUCCUGACCUAGUUUCUUGUGCUGGAAGCUUAUCGCAUUGAAAACUUUAUAUUGUAAUUCUCUUAGUGCUAUGUUGAACAUGGGUUUAGACCAGAAGAUCUGUUUUGAACUGCUGGUUUCAUUUUAAUAAAAAAUGGAACCGGGGGGGCUCCCCUUUGAUCAAAAAAAUACAUUCUAGAACAAUUGGUCGCUCCCCUGGUUACUGUCCGGAAGUUGGUACGGGACAUGUCAGACCACAAUCCUCUCCUACUGUCAUCGAAUUCGACUGUACAGAGACCCACGCGACAAUGUGAGUUCAGAUUUGAACUCAGUUGGCUUAAAAAUGAAGAGUUUUAUCCUAUUGCUAAGAGGAUAUGGGAGCAACCAGUUGCUUCUGAUGACCCCAUUGACAUCCUUAAUAUCAAGCUCAAAAGGCUGAAAAAGUAUUUCAAAGGUUGGGGCGCCCAUUUGUUUGGCCACGCGAAGAAAAGAAAAAAAAAGAUAUUCAAAAGGAGUUGGAAGAGAUUGAGACCUUAGAAGAAGAGGGCCCCCUUGACCUAGAGACUUAUGAUAACAGAACAACCUUGCGGAUGGAACUCGAUGGCAUCCUAGCUAAUGAGGAGCUCUUCUGGCUCCAACAAUCCAAUGAGAGGUGGUUGCUGAAGGGGGACCAGAAUACAGCCUUCUUUCAUCGCGCGGCCAACGGCAGAAAACGUAAAGACACAAUCCACUCCUUCACGGAUGGAGAGACGGUGAUUGAGGGCACAGAUAACCUAUUGGCUCAUGCCACGACUUAUUAUAAAAACCUUUUCGGCCCGGCCAGGGGAAAUAUUUUUCAUUUAUCUGCGGAUACCUGGUCGGAAGAAGAAAAACUUACGGUGGAGGAUAAUAUACUUCUGACCAGUGAAUUCACGGAGGAAGAGGUCAGAAAGGCUUUGUUCGGCAUGGAUAGCAAUAGGGCCCCCGGCCCAGAUAGCAUCCCAGCUGAAUUCUACAAGCACUGUUGGGACUUUGUUAAAACAGAUAUUAUGCGUUUGUUUCACGCUUUUCACAACAACACCCUGGAUGUGGAGCGCCUGGACUAUGGGGUGAUCACCCUGAUUCCUAAGACCAAUGGUGCUAAGAAAAUCCAGCAAUACCAUCCCAUCUGCUUACUUAGAUGCCCAUACAAGCUAAUCAAUAAAGUGAUGGAUAAUAGAGUAGCCAUCUUUGCUGAUAAACUUAUUAGCAAACACCAAAAUGCUUUCAUUAAGCAUAGAAACAUCAUGGAUGGGAUCCUCACCCUCCAUGAGAUCUUACACCACACACACCAUAAAAAGAAAGUUGGGGUGGUUCUGAAGUUGGACUUCGAAAAAGCAUACGACAAAAUUAACUGGGACUUUCUCCUUGAAUGUCAUAGUAACAGAGGCUUUGGUGAUACCUGGUGUGGUUGGGUGAAGAAGAUUCUAAGUAAUGGCACAGUCAGCAUCAAAUUGAACAAUAUGACUAGGCCUUACUUCCAAAGCCACAAAGGGGUGCGCCAGGGCGACCCUCAUUCCCCUUUUCUGUUUAAUCUUGCGGUGGAAAACUUGUCUAAGAUGAUUCGUAAUGCCCAAAAGGAAAAGAUGUUAACUGGGCUGGCCCCAGACCUCAUUGAAAAUGGCGUUGUUGUUCUGCUGUACGCCGAUGAUACGGUUAUUUGUUUUGAACAUGAUGAAGAAGCUGCUGUCAACCUGAAACUCCUCUUAUACAUCUUUGAACUUAUGUCUGGCUUAAAGAUUAAUUUCCUUAAGAGUGAAAUCAUGUGUGUGGGUGGAGACAACAACAUCCUGGCAACCUAUGCGGAUAUCUUUAACUGUCAAACUGGCCACUUCCCAAUGAAAUACUUGGGGUCCCUGUGAGCUAUUCAACUCUGCGUAACCUGGAUUGGAACUUCGUUGAUGAUAAAUUCCUCAAAUGCUGUGAAACUUGGAUUGGAAAUGCUGCUUCAUCGGGGGGAGGCUCAUUCUCCUGAACUCUUCUCUCUCUAGUAUUGUCUAUUACUACAUGGCCAUGUUUUUGCUUCCUAAGAUGGUGAUCUAUAAACUGGACAAACAUCGGAAAAAGUUUUUCUGGCAAGAAACCAACGGCAGGAAACGUUAUCACCUUGUCAAAUGGACCAGGAUUUGUAGAUCAAAGAAAAAAGGGGGGUUGGGGGUGAAAGACCUCCAUAAACAUAAUAUUAGCUUAUUAGUUAAAUGGUGGUGGAAACUUGAGACACAACAAGGGCUCUGGCAGGAUGUUAUCCGGGCCAAGUAUCUGAAGAGAGACUCUGUUGCCUCGGUUCGAUGUAGAUUUGGUGACUCGCCGAGCUGGAAAGCCAUUAUGAAAGUUGAAGAACACUAUUUUGCUGGGAGGGGGGUGAAUCUGAAAGCUGGCAACCUGGCUAGGCUGUGGAUCGACAAUAUUGAGGGAAAUCCUCCUUUGCGAGACAAGUUUCCAGAGUUAUAUGAUAUUUGUAACAACCAAGAGAUCACUGUGGCCAAAGUCAAGGGCGAGGGGAAUCCUGAUCUUUUUAGAAGACGAUUACACCCUCGGCUUGCAAAGCAAUGGGAGAGGUGAAAAACAUGGUGAAUUCCUGGGCGAUUUCUGAUGAGCCAGACCAGGUUGUGUGGAACCUUGGAAAGAACAAGCGCUUUACAACCAAAUCUAUGUAUAAUCAUCUAGAAAGUCGCCUCGCUGGAUGUGAUUAUAGGUGGAUUUGGAAAGCCAAACUGCCUCUCAAGAUUCAAAUAUUCCUAUGGCAACUAUUCCAAGAUGCGGUGUUGACACGUGAUGUCAUGAAAAGACGUAACACUUCUGCUUCAGUAGACCCCCUAAUCACAUUGAUGACUGAGAUUACCCUAUACCCCUUCAUAAUAAAAGACAGGAUGGUCUUUUUUUCAGAGUACUUAGUCUGUGCUGGUAAUUCCGGUAAGUUUUUAUUUUUCAGAGAAGAGAACUCCGGUAAGUGGUCCACGUACGAUGCUACCUGGGCAAGAAGUCAACGUUUUGCACCUGGGCGGCUCACCUGGGCCGGCCCAUUUGUGGGUGCGCCGCUUUCAAUGGGAGAAAAAUUGCGAGAAAAAAAUGAGGGUGAUGGGAAUCAAGCCUGCACGUUCCAGUUUAUGUGCACGCUGUGCUAACCACUGGGACUGCCAAUCUGCUAUGUUAGACUUCUAGCGCAAAUCAUUAAUUAAGAAACUAAAGGUCGUGGCAAAAAUUUAAACAAAAGUUCACAAAAUUAAGAUAAACCAAAAAUGUGCAAUAGGAAUCGAACCGGGGACAUCACAAUAUUCAACCACGUCAGUAGCCACUAUACUAACUGGGAUUUGGGUGUCCAAAAAGGUAGCCCAGUCUAUAUGAACCAUAAGCCGCGAAAUUAUUUUUAAAAAACUCGGACCUCAUUUUCUUAUUGGAAAACGUAAAUAUUUUUAGAAACGAAGUCAUUAAAAAAUUUGUGAUAAUUUCAAAAGAACUAGAAGAUUUUGUGAGAAUGUGAACGUUUUUUGGGAUCAUAAAAGGAACAAAACUGAAAAUGAUAACAUUUUUUGGAAUAGGGAACAAUUUUUUAGGAAAUGCGAACAUUUUCAAAUUUGUGAUUUAAAAAAACUAAAACAUUUUAUGAAAACACAACACUCUCAAACAUUUGUUUUACAAAGGAAAAAACAUUGAAAAGGAAAAAUUUGUUGAAACAAGUGACUAAACUGAAAACAUGAACAUUUUUCAAAAUUACGAAGAAUCAUUUCAAAGUGCGAACAUUUUCUUAAAUUUCCGCAAACAUUUAUUGAAUUUGCGAACAACUGUUGACAUCAAGAAUAUUUUUUGUACUUGGGAACAAAUUUUGUAACCUCAUCGUCUUGAUUACGCUGCUUGCCAUCUGACUACGACAGCUUGUGAUAUUUAAAAGCAGGAAAUGUACAAGUGUCAACCACCAAAAUUUUCCAGAAUUUGGGCAUGCACAACGUUGUCCCCCAUGCAAAAUAUGAACAAAUUCGAACACCAAACGCAUGUUGCGUCACGUCUGGCCUGUGUUCUAGAGUUUUUCAUCGGAAAAACCCUAGAAAAAGCAUAUAAUGUCUGAGACCAACGAAACUUGGCAUGCACCAUGUCCAAGGUAAUGCUAAUGUGUGAGAAAAAAUUGGGUGCCUUCGGAGGAGGUGGAAAAAAUGGUUCGAGAGUUGCACUUUCAGCCUACCCGAACGCACCAGGCUGUACACGGUAUGUUUGGUUGCAAGCAUGGAAUGACACCAAUGUUGCCAGCAGUUGGGCAUGCCCAAGGUUCUCCCCCACACAAAAUUUGAAUGAUUUCGGACACCGAAUGCACGUUGCGUCACGUCCGGCCUAUAUUUUAGGGUUUUUCCCCGGGAAACCCCUAGAAAAAGCAUAGAAUGUCUGAAACUAACAAAACUUGGCAUGCAUGCUGUCCAUGGUAAUGCCAAUGUGAGGAAAAAUUUGGGUGCGUUCGGAGGAGCUGAAAAAAAGGUUCAAGACUUGCCCUUCCGGCCUACCCAAACGUACAAGGUUGUACACGGUGUGUUUAGGUUGCAAGCAUGGUAUGACACCAAAUUUUGCCAGCGGUUGGGCAUGCCCAAGUUUGUCCGUCAUGCAAAAUUUGAAUGAAUUCGGACACCGAACAAACAUUGCGUCUCGUCCGGCCUGUGUUUUAGAGUUUUUUCACCGGAAAAACCUAGAAAAGGCAUAGAAUGUCAGAAACCAACAAAACUUGGCGUGCAUGCUGGCCAUGGUGAUGCCAAGGUGUGCAAACAAUUUGGGCGUGUUCGAAGGAGGUGAAAAGAAAAGUGGUUCGAGACUUGCCCUUCCGGUCUACCCGAACAUACCAGAUUAUACACAUUGUGUUUGGUUGCAACCAUGAAAUGACACCAAAUUUUGCCAGUAGUUGGGCAUGCCAAAGCUCCCCCCCCCCCCUGCAAAAUUUGAACGAAUUCGGAUACCAAACGCACGUUGCGUCACGUCCGGGCCAGUGUUUAGGAUUUUUCCAACGGGAAAACCUAGAAAAUGCAUGAAAUGUCGAAGACCAAGGAAACUUGGCAUGCAUGUUGGGCAUGGUGAUGCCAAGGUGUGGAAAAAAAUUGGGUGCGUUUGGAGGAGGUAAAAAAAGGGGGUUCAAAACAUGCCUUUCCGGCCUACCCGAACGUACCAGAUUGUAGACGAUGUGUUUGGUUACAAGCAUGAAACCACUGAAAAAGUUCCAUGUGCUCAUGAUUUUUUUCUAAGAAAAUCACAAAUUUGAAAUAAAAUCACAGACUCAAAAAAGUUCAUGAAUUUUAAAUAAAAUUGCAGACUCGAAAAAAAUCAUGAGUUUGGAAAAAGGACAUGAGUUUGGGAAAAGUUCAUUAAAAAAAAUCAUAAAUAUUAAAAAGUUAAAGAAUUUUAAAAGGUUCCGUGAGUUAAAAAAAUGAAAACAAAAAUAGAAAGAAAUAAGGAAAAUGAAAAAUAUAUAAAAAAACAAAGAGCAAGGGCUAAACUGAAGAAAAUCAGGUGGGAAACACAUGCUUUUUUAUUAGCGUUAUAUAUUCGGAUAAGAAGUGGGAAAGAAGCUCAAUUGCAAGACAGUCGAAGUAUCGCAGUGGUUACACUACUAGAUGUUGACAGUCUGGGUUCGAAUCCUGCGAAGCUCAACUUCUAUUUUUUUGUAGUUAAAUACUGAAAAGAAAGAAGAAAAAACCUAAAUGGGCCAGGCCCAUCUAAGGAGCAACUAACACUGUAUUGACGUCUACGCUAAUGUACAGUCGUACAUAUCCGGUGGUGUACGGUAUGUCAAAGGUCUAUAUUGCCCUUUAUACAUUUUGUGAGGGGGGUCUACCGAAGCGCUUCUCAAGACGUAAAUGGGCUGGUAACCCAAAGUGCUCCUUCUGUCAGAAUAGGGAAACCUCUCAACACCUCUUCUUCACCUGCCCAGUUGCGAGGGUGGUUUGGAGGACGGUGGGUUGCGUGUUUGGCACAGAUUUGUGCCCUGAUAACCUAUGGCAGUAUUUCUCCUGGUGCUAUACUUUUUUACCUGAUGGUGCUAAAUUCUAUACUUUCGGCCUGGCUGCGAUUUGCUGGGCCAUGUGGAUUUGUCGCAAUCGGGCCACUUUCGAAUGCAAAAAACUGAGAACUCCUUUUGAUGUGGUUUUCUCUGCAUGUGGUUACAUGAACUAUUGGGCAGGUCUGAUGGAGGGAGCUGAUCGUGAGGCGAUGCAGCGCGGCGCUAAGAUGCUCAAGACCAACACAGCUGCCAUGAUGAGGAUUUGCGCGGCCCCAGCUAGAACGGCGAUGGACUGAGGAUGCGGCCGUUGAUUCUGCCUUCACCUGCGUCUCCUGUUGCUACUACAUUCCUAGUACUGUUUAAGUUGAUGCUUUUGCCCCUGCGUGGGCUUUGCCUGAUGCUCAUAUGUGAGCCAUUCCCCCUUAGUUUGGAGACUACCUUCGGAUUUCUCGUUUCUGCUCUGGUUAGGAUAGGUGGUUUUAGAUGGCACUGGGUUUUCGCCCCAUGGUGAGCUGCUCGAUGACGAGUGCCUGCAGUGGGUUUCCCAGUGGUGUCUUGAACUCGCUUUCCCCUUUCCAGUUUCCUUAAAACUUGGACUUUGUAUUUCCGUUAUGUCAAAGUAAUGGAAAAGGGUAAUGCCCGGUUCAAAAAAAAAUAAUUUGGUCGCCAUGUAGUGUUAGGUUUACUGUUUUUGGUCGCAAGUACCAAAAUUUGUUGGUUGGCAAGUUUCAUUUUUUGCUCUGCUGUUGAAGAUAGUCUUAAUAUUAAUAUUUACAUGAAUAAUUGUCAUUCCCAUGCAGGAUCCGUACCUAGCAUUGACUAGAUCCAUUGCUCUGCUCAUGAACCUAGUCGUGCCAUUGCUGUGUCGAGGGACCUUUCAUACAUCGAGGUCUCGCUCAAGGUGAAGGGUGCCACAAGAACUAGAUCCGAGGAAAGAGAUUUGAGCGAUCUGGUCCUGAGAUACAGGACGGGAUUAUGUCUCGCAGGCGUUUACCCUAGCAGGCUCAGCACACUUGAACUAAAAUCCAGUCACAUUAAUCGCUCCGUGGAGGCCACGGUCCGCAUCAAAAUCACCCGCGGGUCGUGGCCGGAUGGUUUCCGAGGCGUGUUCACUGCCGGCACCGGCAGCAACGAUGGCCUGGAAGUCGAGCUGCUUGACUCCAGACAUGACAGGGUGUUGCCCGCCGACUCUGGCGGCGUGGUCAAGCUCCAGCGCCGCGUCGUCCCGGUCUACAUCGAGGGGAUGCUCAAGGUUUCCGUGGUGGCAUGUCCAGUUGACGAGGAACGGGGUUUCAUCCAGAGAGGUGAGGCGGUUUUCAAACCAAAGAGACAAGGCGUGAACCUCCAGGAGAUUCAGGUUGGGUCUUGUAGUAUGCAGAUCACCGUGGCUUUGGUCCUGUUUCCGCCAUGAGUAGUCUGCUCAAGUUAAACUGUUUUUCCGAGUGGUAUUUUGUACUGGAGAGUGUUCAUAUAUACAGUCUGAUCCUGGAUAUUUUGUGCUAUAGUGUCUAGUCAAGAAAUUUGCUGGUGGUAUUUCACAGGAAACACUCAGCAAGUCGAAUAGAAGAUGUAAGAAUUUCGUAGAGAACAGUUCGGUUCCUGCACACCAAAAGAGUCUCUAAACAACGAUUUGGAAAUUCGUACGUUAUGGCCUCCUUUGGUUUAUAGGGUAGAAAACUAAUAGGAAUAGAAAAGUUAUAGGAACUGAGAUGGCACGUAUCUCAAAUCCUAUGAAUAGUAAUAGAACAGAAGAUGUCCUUUGAUUCACAUUAUUAAAAAAAUCCAUUGACUCUGAGCUAAUGUUUAUUUUCUAUGAAAUGUGAAGGAUAAAAAGAAUUCCUCCGUAUACUAUUUCUACAAACAAAAGGGCUCUAAAGAAUUUUCCUAUAGAAAUCAUAUCCUACGGAAUUUCAAACCAAAGGAGGUCUAAGAUGGGCUUUUCAUUGAACCAGGUUUUCUGGGUGGCUCUAGUGGUUUAUUUCCCAGCCUGGUCAACAUAUUUUAUAGGAAGCAUUAUCUCUCGCUCAGAGCGAGACCUAGCAUGCACUCACAUCAGGCAUCUGUCCAAAUGGGAAGGAAUUGCGCGGGAGGACAUAGGACAGAGCCUAGUUUUUCUUUCAUUUUUUUUUGCCCUUUUAAUUUUGUUUAUACUUCCAAAUAUUCUAAAUAUAUACUCCCUCCGUCCCAAAAUUCUUGUCUUAGAUUUGUCUAGAUACGGAUGUAUCUAAUACUAAACCGUGACUUGAUACAUCCGUAUUUAGACAAAUGUAAGCCAAAAAUUUUGGGACGGAGGGAGUACUUUGCUUAAAACUAUCAAAAAUGUAAAUAAAGUAUUCGAAAAUUGUGAAAUUUGUAUAGGAAAAAUAUUUCUUAUGUCUGCAAAAAACUUAUACAAAAAAUAUACAGUGUCAAUGAAAAAAGUUGAUCAUGUAUUUAAAAAAUAAUCAUCAAGCAGUUCAUAAAUGUUAGAAAAAAAGUCCAUUUUACUCCCCUGAAUAAAAUGGGUUGUUCGCAUAACCCCUUGAAUUUUUUUUGGUUCACUUAACCCCCUGAUCUAUCCAAUACCGUUCAGAAAUAGUCUUGGGCGGAUUUUAUUAGGUGGUUUGCUGACGUGGACAUUGUCAAAGUGGUUUGUUGACCAACGGGGCCCUGUGGUCAGGUGAAGAGCGCAGCCGGCGCUCAGUUCAUGCCGAUGGUGCUGUCGUUCUUCGUCCGCGUGGCUAGCGCCUCGUCCUCAUGUUGAAAUCUUGUCCAAGAGUUUCACCUCGCUCAGCUAUACAUUCUUGGAAAAUAAAUUUCUUUGGGUCGCCGCAAAUCACCGUCACCCAUGUCUUCUUCCUUGCCUCAGGCAUCGACCACUGCCACCUCGAUCUCUUCGUCCGGUGACCCCUGAUUCUCCUCCCCGUCUUCCCGAGCACCAUCGUGCUCCCCUGAAGCUAAUCAUCCCGUCCAUCUGGAGCAGCGCGUCCCCAAGGACCUCUUCCCGCAUGGCCAAGCUCUGGCGCCCGCAAUAGUUAUUUUUCCGCGCGGCCAGCGCCUCCUCCUCGAUGUGAAACCUUGUCCGAGAGCUUCGCCUUGAUCCACUACACAUUCCUGCCAAAGGAAUUAGUAUGAAUCGCUGUAAAUCGCCCUUGCCCAUAUCUUCUUCCCCGCCCCCGACAUCGAGCGCCGCCUCCUUGAUCUCAUCCUCUAGUGACCCCUGAUUCUCCUCUUCUGGUUCCCAGGCACCAUGGCGCUCCCCUAAAGCUGACGGGCUAGUCCAUUUGGAGCCACAUGCCCCCGAGGACCUCUCCCUGCAUGGCCAUGCUCCGCUGCCCGCUGCUGCCGUCGAACACGACAACCAGUGCACCGGCCUGCUCCGAUGCACCCGCCGUCCCUGCCAUCUCCCCAUCCCCCCUUGGCCUCUGCUGAUGCCGCCAUGCCCAUCAUCAGCCGACGCCGCCGACCGCCCUGCCCGACCCCGCCGUGGCCCCUGUUGUUCCUAGACUUCAUGAACCGGAUGGGAGGACGCGCCGCAUCAUAGGGGUCACUCCGAUGGUCGUAGCUCCGCCGGGGGUGGCCAGUGCCACCGAGACGAGCGCCCGAGCUCCUCUCUGUCCCGCGGGCGAGCAACAGGUGAAGGAGACAGACCUGCUAGGUGGGCCCGCCUCCUCUAGGCCCCACCCGUCAAUCUCAGCCGCACCUGACAAGGUAGGCCCACCCACAGGUCAAAACCACCGUUUGACCAAUACCACAUCAGCAGCUAGUGGUGACAAACCACCCAGGGGGUCUUUCAUCCGGUAUGGGUUUGUUUAGGGGGUCAAAGGAACAGAAAAAUAGAUGAGGGGGUAAUGUGAACCACCAACUUUAUUCAGGGUAGUAAAAUGGACUUUUUCCUAAAUGUUAAUGAUAUAUUUAAAUAUGUUAAUCAAGCAUUUAAAAUUGUUAACUGUGUACAGUAAAAUUCUUUGUCAUGUAUACAAAAUAAAAUAAAAUGUAUGAAAAAUGUUUAUAAUGUAUUUUAAAAGAAUUAAACGUGUAUAAAAAUAUGUUCCUGAAAUAUAGAACAUACAUUAAACAAAGUAGAUAUACAAAAAUUAUAUUUUUAAGUACUUAAUUCUGUAUUUCAAAAUGGUUAAACAUAUAUAGAUAAAGGUUUCUGCUGUAUACAAAAGAGGUUAUUACCAUUAAAGAAUGAUCACCAUGUAUUUGAAAAUAUUGACCGUGCAUUCAAACGUGUAUCAAAAAAUAUUUCAAACACACGAUUAAACAAAAUAUAAGUUUAGAAAGAUGUUAAUCAUGUAUAUAAAAAUGUUAAACAUGUGCAUAAAAUUUGUUUCAGAUGUAUAGAAAAAAUGUUGAAUGUGUAAUGAAAAAGUUGACAUGUGUUGAACAAGAAAGAAAUUGAUUAAAACCAAUUAAACCCAAUAAAAUAGAGAAAUAAAACAAGAAAAUAAAAUAAAAACCAACAAAAACAAAUUCAAAAAAAUGAAAACAGUGAAAACUAAGAAAGUAAUAAGGAAAACUGAUGAACACCAAGAAAGAAACAAAAAGCAAAAGAAAGGAUGAAAACUGAGCAAGAAAAAAUAAACAAAAGAAUAAACUACUUAAAAUCAUGAAAGAAACAAAGAAAACUGAUAAAAAUGGAAAGUAGAUAAAAGCAAUGUAGAAAUUUAGAAAACCGAUAAACAACAUGAAAAAAAAAAUGGAAGAAGCGGGCGUCUAGGGGACCUCCUAUAUAGAGCCCUACGCGCUGGUUAACCAGCCAGCGCAUACUCUCUUUACAUAUUCAAAAAUUAAUGAUUUUGAAACUAAAUGUUCAAAAUAAAAAAAUGCUCAUAGUUUUAAAUAACUUUUGUGUAUUCAAAAAAUAUUUAUUAAUUUGAACAAAAUGUUUACAAAUUCAAAAGCAUGGUCAUGAACUUAUUUAAAAAAUCACCAACUUAAAAAAAUGUUUAUGAAUUACAAAAAGAGUUCAAGAAAUGAAAAUUAAUAAUGCAUUCAAAAAUGUCAUGCAUUUACAAAAAAAUUCUAAAAAAAUGUACAUGAAUUUCUAAAAAAAUCCCAAACUCCAAAAGAUGAUCGUGGCCUCAAAAAAUGGUCACCGAUUUCAAAAAAAGUUGAAGAGUUUCAAAAACAUUCAAAAUUUCAUUGAUAUCUUCAUGAAUUCCAUAAAGUUCAGGAUCCCAGAAAAUGUCCACAAUUUCAAAAAAUAUAUUCAAGAAUUCGAAAAGAUCUUGGCAAAAUGAUAAAGAAAAAGAAAAAUUGGAAAAGUAAGUAAAUAUAUAAAAUAAAAUAUAAAAAAACAUGAAAAACAGAAAAAUAAAAUAGAAAAAAGAAAGGCAGGAAAGAAAAUAAAGAAAUUACCAAAGGUAAAAUACCUGAAAAACUUGGUUUGUGAAGGUUAUAGAACCUUCCCAAAACCGGAAGCGAGCAAGUUGGGCCUUCUCAAUUUAUACAUAGUGGGAAACUGCCCGGGGGUUGUGGGGGUAUGCACUAGGUCCCUAACUAGUGACCUACUCGCCAAACAGAACUGGCCAGCGAGCACGAGCGAGCGUCUCGAUCGAUCAAACAGCUGGAAAGAAAGACGGCACCGGCCCGGCCUAGUAGCUGCAAGUGGAGGAAAACCAGGCGAGAAGCGAGAUUUAGUUGUGACGAAAUUUCCGUAGGCAGCUCAUAUUUUGCGCCAUUAGCGCCGUGGAAUACUACUGGUGCUCACUGCAACGCCUAGUGGGCGGGCUCAUGAAGGCGCAACGCAAGGAAUGUAUUGCAUCAUUAAAAAACACCAAAAUAAGAAGCUGCUGGAAGAAUCAAAAUCACGCCCUACAUUCCUGCAGGUGUUUGGAUAACCACUGGAGCAUUCCAUUGCAAGUCACCGAGGGAAGCGCUCAUUGUUUAAGAAUAACUAUAGCCGCUCAUACGUGAUUUUCUUUAAGAAAAAGUGAAAAAAUGUUUAAAAUUCAUAAAUUUCGGAAAAAGUUCAUGAACAUGCAAAAAAAGGUGCCAUAUUCAAAAAAGUUCACGAAUUAUAAAAAAGUUCAUGUAUUCAAAAAAGAUCAUGAUAUUUAAAAAAGUUAACUCAUUUGAAAAAAGCUUAAUAAUUUUUAAAAAAAUGUUUAUCAGUUUUGAAAACAAAAGUUCAUCACUUUUUAUAAAAAAUUCAUCAAUUUGAAAAAGUUCAUUCCUUUGAAAAAAGUUUCAUCAAUUUUGAAAAAAGUUCACAAAUUAAAAAAGUUCAUUUUUUUCAAAAUAUAGGUUCACAAAUUUUAGAAGAACUUCAUCACUUUUGAAAAAAUUCAUCGAUUUUGAAGAAAAUUUUCAUUAGUAUUGACACAAAUUUGAAAAGUUCACGCAUUUAAGAGAAUAAAUAUAAAAAUAAUAAGGGAAAAGAAACAAAUAGGAAAACUGCUGCGUUUUUUUGGGUUGCAUUUUAAUAAUAAUAAAGGAAUCUAGCAUAUCGGGUGUGGUGGGCGACUCGGCCAGUGCUCGCUCGGUGUUAAAACUGGAGCAUCGUGGUUUGAAUCACGUUGUGCACACCUUUUCUGAGGAUUUAAACGAAGAAAAAAAGUAAAAAUGGGUCGGCACCGAGUGGAAGGGGGUGUGCACCAGGUUGCAAAGUGAACUGUAAGGGGCGCUUAAGGCUGUGACAAAAUAUUGCUUGUUGGUUGGCAAGUAGAAACUGGUUGCCCGCCCAUCCGUUGAUUUUACCAGAGCCCCAAAACUUCCCUAUGAAAAAUCUGUUGAUUUUCUCCUUUCGAAUUCGAAUAGGCCAACCCUGAGGAUUUAAACGGAGAAACCAAAGAAGUAAAAAUACGCCGGUCUAGAGUGGAAGGGGAUGUGCGUCAAGUUGCAAAAUGAACUGUCAGGAGUGCUUAAGGCCCUGACAAAAUAUUGCUUGUUGGUUUGUAGGCAGAAACUGGCGGCCCGGCCUAUCCAUUGAUUUUACGUGAGCCCCAAAACAUCCCUAUAAAAAAACAUGAGCGCCAAAACAAGCAAACAUUUCCACUCACUUUUUUCCCCUUUCGAAUUCGAAUGAAGUGUGGGCCCAGGCGACCUAGAGAAUAGCACAUAAUUGCUUGUACGUCACCACUAUUACCAAACCGGCCUAGGAUCAUCUCAAAAUGGAAGAAAACUGGUCAGGGAGUACUGUUCAACACACUUUCAUGUAAUUUUGUUCAUGAGUCUAGAAACUCGAAUAUUGAGUCUCGUAGUCUAGCUAGGCAUGCAGUUGGUUCAGAUCAGGGACACCAUCUCUGGAUGGGUCACUCUCAUGAUCCCAGUGUAAUACUAGAUUAUGAGAGCUUGGCUAAUAGGAACGAUAUACUACUCAUAUUAACAAGGAAUUUCUUCUUUUUCGGGAGCUCAUUCGCAAAGAACUUCAAUGUACAGUGUGCUCGGCUUGGAGAGAUUUGAGGAUAGAUGACCAACCGGGAAAUGUUGCUUUCGGGUGCGCACGAGUGAGGACAAAGUGCGCAGAAAAGACGGUUGGUCUGUGGGGAUAGUCUAGAUCCCGCCAGGCGUGGAACCAUGGCUAUGACCAGGGCGUUACAAUUGGUAUCAGGCCAACCCACGUUGUUACACGAGCAUGAAUGGGUCAGGUGCGUGAGCAUGUGGCGCAUGGCGCGUGUGGCUCAUUGUGGCACACUGCAUCGGACAUGCGCCGGCGUGGACGCAGAUACAUGUGCCAAGAGGAAAUCAUCCUGAUGGGCCGACGAGGAUGUCAGUUCAUUUGAGUGGGGUCAUAUGUGAGAUCCUGACUUAAUAGGAAUGAUAGACUACUCAUAUUAGUAAGAAUUUUUUUUUCAGGAGCUCCUUCACAAAGAACUCCAAAAUUAAGCAUGUUUGGCUUGGAGGGAUUUAAGGAUGGAUGACCGACCGGGAAGUAGCUCUCAGAUGUGCACGAUGAGAACAAAGCACAAACAAAAGACUAGUGUUGGUAUGUCGGAAUAGUCUAGAUACCGCCAGGCGUAACGGCAUGGAACCGGUAGCUAUGACCGGAACAAAGCACGCAAAGAAGAUUAGUGUUGGUCUGUGGGAAAGUCUAGAUCCCGCCAAAUGUUCUCAGUACCAAUUAAUUAACAAAGCUCAUCGAAAUUUCUCAAAAAAAUGAACACGCACUCUUCGCAAAAUAGAAAAACACGGCAUCUUUCGGCAUGGGACUGCUACAAUAUUUUUCUAGUUGUAAAGUUUGUUAUUGUCAAAAGUAUAAGGACUAUGCAGUGCAUAACUACAUUGACCCUUGACUUUUUGAUGGGGACACUAGUGCACAUUGCAUAUGCAUCUUUGCUUACUACGUUGACCUUUGCUCAUGAUUUAUCCUAAUAUGGCAUAACAUCCUCUUUAUUUCACAAAGCACUACGGCAACUCCAACGCGCCGACGCACUUGGUCCGCGCGUGUUUGCUUAGUUUGAAACAAACAGAAACGCCGGCCCAACACGCAGAUGCAAAGCCAAAUCACGUUCGCUCGCUAUCUAUCUGGACGCAUUUCCGACCCAUCUUUGGGCCUAAUUUGAAUCCACGCUGACAUGAGACGGACACGCUGCGCGUCCUCUCGGUGUCCCCCUCGGGCCUGUCUGUCAGCCACCCGACCACCACCGCGGUCGUAAUCAAUGCCACCCACUCACCUCAGGCCUGCACGGCAGCGUGCGGUGUGGGGGUGGGGAAGCCUCAUCCACUUUUCCUCCCCACUCCAGUCCACAUCUGGCCAUGUGUGCUCCUUGGUCGGCCUAAACAAGCCCUAGUCCGCCAUCGUAGCCAUGGGCUUCUUCAACAAAGGUGGUAAGCGUGGCAAGCACAACCACGAGGCCGGCUCAUCGCGAGGUCCUGCCAACUUCAUGUUGGCGCCGCAAGGGGGGAGGGGGAGGUCGGCACGGCCACGCGGCCGGUUGUACAUCCUGGUGCACCAUGUGCAAUACCAUUGGGAGAGGAAAGCAGCGAAGGAUGAGGAUUGAGGGGGAGGGGGAGGAAGAUGCAACAUUGCGUAGGGACCUGAAAGCAGCUUCACGAAGGGGCAUAGACAGAUGAACACAUGGCAAAACGGUGAACUGGUGAAACCGGGCCAAAACAAAAAACCGGCUGAAAACCAGGGCUGCACCAACAACAAAAGCCAAUCCACGUGUCAAUAAACAAAGGAGUUAUCUACAUCAGCAGCAGUGAAGGACCUUAUCCUCUCCCUCCCUUGUCGCGCCCGUGGGCGACGGGGAGGAUCCCUAGCCGUCGCAGCCCGUCUCUCCCCUCCCGGCCCUCCUCCUCCUCGCCGCUGCCAGGGGACGCGGCUGGGCGAAGCCCAGCAAGCUUCGGUGGCAGCGGGACUUCUCGCCUCCUCGCGCAGGGGCAUCGGUGCGCGCCGGCGUCGCUGGGUCGGGACUCCAUGCAGUUGCGGGGGGUGGAGGCGUAGCAGAAGCUCUCCGACGGUGGCGCUCUGUGCUUUGGGUGGCAUUGCUAGCUGCGAAGUGGGGGGCGUGCCUGCGGUUGUGGCGGACGCAUAUCUGGCGGUUGGCGGCGGCGGGCGGCGCGGUUGCGGGCGGUGUAGGCCGGCGGCGGCGGUCGCAGGUGGACAAUGUGGGUUGUGCGCGGUGCCCGCUGCAGCUGGAUCCUUCCAGCUGGGGUGGGCAAGCGGCGCGAAGUGGAGGCAGCGGCCCGGCGUGGUCGUGGGCUACGACGUGGUGGCCUCACAGUGCUUGGUCGGGCCGGCGUUGCGGCGACGGCUAGAGUAAGGUUCGGCGUCCGUUCGUUCGUAGGUGGCCUGUGUGGAUGCCCCAGUUGGUUGUCUUCGGCUUCAGCUAUGGCCGAUCCGGCGAUCCCCGCGUUGCUGUGCGGGCGGCCGGUCAUUGCCAGAUGCAGAUUCAGGCCGGAGCAGAGGUUGGGCGUCAAGGUGGCGUUUGGAAGAGGUGGUGGGUGUGAUAGGUAGCUCUGAUGCGGUUGGGCCACCCAUCACCGGCAGGGGUGUUGAGCGUUGACGUGGUCCGCUCCCACUUCACCUCUUCUUCGACCUGGUGGCUCCCCGAUCAGUCUGGUUGUUCCGCUCGGCGGCGGCUCUGUCCACGGUCGGAGCAAGCCGUACGGUUCACCGCUCGCAGCUUGAAGGACCUAUGGGUUGUCUUCUUUCCUGGGCGGUGGCCUGGGUGGCGGGAGUUGCGGUGCUCGUGGGCUGAGCUCACGACUCAGGUGCGGGCGGCUAGCGGUCAUGGCCGCGUGGGCGGUGUGGUGGCUGGCAGGUUGAUGUUCUAUGGUGGUGUGUCGUUUGGGUCUUGUGCCUGGCGCACCUUGAGCGUGGGUGGAGUAUGAUUGCUGGGGUGAAAAUCCUGCCUGGCUUUGGCCAGGCCGACGGAGGCGGCACCCAUGGGCGUCGUCAUCUUCCUGAAGUCUCUGUUGUGGUUGCUCAUUUCUCUUCGCCGUGCUCCGGAUGAAAAUCUAGAUCAUUGGAUCGAGCGGUGGCGGCACUUUGGUGUUGUGUCCUUCCUAAAGGCACCGUUUUGGAGCUCACGGUUCGUCGACUCUUAACUUCACCUCUUCGCAGUGUCCUCACCGGGAAGGGCUCCAGCGGCUCCAUAGUGUUGCUUAUAGUCAUUCUUUAGUCUACUUCGAGUCGUUCGGUGUGUUGUUGUUGCAGGUCCUUGGCACUUAUGUAUCUGGCUUUGAGUGUGUGUUGGUGUGGUGUGUUGUGGUUUGUAUCGGCCCGGAUGUUGGUUGUUGCUUUACAUAUAAAGCGGGACGAAAUCUUUUUUAGUAAACAAAGAAGUUACUGCCGGAAUUGGGAAUUCUUAUAUAUAUGCAAUAUAUGCGGGUCCAGGCCGGCUGGCCUUUAAAACUCGGAUUGUGAGAGUAGUUUCUUUCACAUCAGACACCUUUUUUUUGAGAAUCUUCACAUCCAACACCUGGCUACAUGCAAAACAGUGUGGGGAAAGAUGCGGGAGCAACUAGUAUAAAAGCUGAGCUUACAGUGAAAGAAUAGAAAAAAGAAACCUGGGCUGUUGGAUUAAACAUGGACGGCACAGAUUGGAGUGGAGGCAUCCCAGACAACUUAUGGUACAUUUCACGAAAACCCCCCUACUACCAGUUAGAUGUAAAACAUGACUUUUGCAGUAAGAUCCCCAACUUUCUCAUAUCCAAUCGUUUGAUCCUAAGUUCAAGUCUUCACAUAGUUGAUGCCCAAAUUGUACAAUAUUUGCUUGUACUAGAUCACGGAUUAUGCAAGAAAACUUAAUAUGGCUAAGCCAAUCUGAAUCUGUUCCUACUUCAUCCCAAGCUGGACCACCCCAAACACAGAUAUGAGAAUACAUGUCAAGCACAAAUUUCUGAAUACAUGUCUAAGUGGAUCAUCCUGGGCAGAAAUAUUUAAGUGCAUGUCAUCUAUCUUAAUUCGGGUACACAAAAGGCAUACAUAUAUAUAUCACGUGGUAGUAUAAAACAUGACAUGGUCAUUUUGUAGUACAUGAACAGCGAGCCCCGAGUAUGGACUGAAGUGAUGCCCGCUGAAUAAACAUUGCUACCAAAACUUGCAUCAGGUUUGUUAUCUUGAUAGCACAUGAAAGAAAAAUAUAUUCCCUUUGUCUCCAGUUAUAGUGCUCCUUGCUCUUCAAUCUUCAUGUUCAGGAAAUGAUGACACCAAACAAAUCAUUCAGUUUGCAAGGGUACCUAAAGUAUUUGCUCAUGAGCUAAUCAAAUGAAUAUGCAUCAACAAUACAUUGUACUAGCAGGAACAUAUCUGCUCACUGCUAGCAGAAAAAAAAUACUUAUUCCCCAAAUUAUUUUUACCACCUUGAUUGUCUAACUAGAGAGAUGAUAUGUUAAGCUUAACAUCCAGUCCUUCAUUUUGUUAUGCAGAAGCUAACAGAUAAUCGACCAAUCCAUCACAAGCACGGGGAGGCGCUGAAACAAAAAAUGAUUUAUCCUUCAUUGCACUGAAGUUCUUAUUCUGAUUGAUUCCAUUGGGCACCAAGCAUUACUUUAAAAAAAUGCAUGGUUAAAACUUAAAAGGAACACUUUUCUAGAGGACUGAUAUGACAUUGCAAUGCCAGCACUUUCUUAUUGCUGCCCACGAAUUUUGGUACUAAUAAAAGAAAACUGAAACUCUAACAGCAACAAACAAAUAAAUAUAUUAAGAUGUCACAAAGGCACAUCCGCACACAGAUCCAAAGCAACAAAACAUGAGUCAAAUACAUGGAAGAGAACCAUUUUCUGCUCUUGUAUGUAGAGACUAGAGAUUCGUAAAAAAAAUCUUGCUUCAAUACCGGCGACGCGUCUGCUCGUACUGUCGAUCGAUAGAGAGAGAUGAAUGCCGGGUAGAAACGACGGACGGAGCAGUGUUUUCAAAAUCGGCGGAAUAUAGGUGUAUUUAGCAAAACCGGUGUAAAACAAAUACGACCUGAAACAACUAACCAAUCACGUAAUUAAAGGCUGCCCAUUUUAUUUUCGGCAGAAAAACUACGUUCCAAUCAGGCCUUGAAGCACACAAGAGAGAGUUGUAUAGGUCCGCUGUUUGAAACAGAGAUAGAAAAUGUGAAUGGGAGAUGAAUUCUAAUCAAGCUUGAUGUGAUUUUGAGUCUUCUGAAAGGGGUUGUGGUUGCCUAGUCAUGUGAAAGCGAUGGAUACGCUACUUCCUGAACAUAUCACAGUACAAAUAUGAGCUAUGAUGACACUUGUUGACAAUGUGCAAUCUUCAGACCAAUGUGCUUUUGGAUAUCAUACAACAACAAACAGCAUGCUUUGUUUAAACUAUAAUGAAACCAGUCAAAGCCAUCCAAGUUGUUCACUGGUAGGAGGGAGAGGGGGAGGGGAGUGGGAGAAACGGUGCUGACCUUGAUGCUGAGCCUGCGGGGCGAAGGAGGCGAGCAGAUCGAGCACCACCAGCUUUGCCUACGGUGAGAUACUGCUGGAUCUAGGAGUACCGGGGAGGAGGCAACUGUGGAGGCACCACCGCCCACUCGAGCACUAUCAGCAUGACUCCGUUAAGGUACUGAUGGGCAGCUGAGCGGGUGGGGCGCCCAUGGUCAUUGGGGUGGGGGAGACCGUGGCGGCGGCGGCCCGGUCCCUGACGAGGAUUUGCAGCGCGUCGUCGGGAUGCUCGGUGGAUGGAGCCAAGAGACCUGGAAGCCGGAGUGGGAGGGGGAGGAGGCACAGAGCAACUGCCGUGGGAAUAGUCGUCGUCCACCAGGUAAGCACCAGAUCUGUGCAGCCGCCACCGUCGACGAGCGAUAGGGGAACAGGAGGGCUAGGGAGAUCAGUCGUUUGAAGAAGAAGGACCUGAAGCAGAUUAGUUGGGAGCGAAGGGACAUUUUUGCACAAAAUUAUAUACUUAUGAGUACAGACCCCUCCGCUCCGAUCUGUGCCAUACGCCCCAAAUCCAACGGUCCAGAAUCAUUUUUCUAUUUUUGCACCUGAUGUGCAGAUUCUAUACUAGUCGCUCGGGUUUUAUUUGUACUGGCCCGUACGUACAAAUUCAGCGCUGUAGAUCUGCCAUGAUGUCAUGUGGAGUAUCUCCAGUAGAAGAUGACUGAGAAAUUGUUGACCUAGCAGCUAGCUUCCUUUUCUAUUUCCCGGUGAGAGAUGCAGCUUGCAAAGUGGCACAUGCAUCCGUUUUCAAAAAAGUGGCACAUGCAAUGCACGAGCAAUACUGUAGAGUACAACACAUCUGCUGGUUCCACCUACGUUUAUGGCAUUACUCGCGUGGGGCAUCGCGUCACUGACAUACAGAGUACCCUUGUACAUUUGGGCUACUUUUUUUAAGAUGCAUAUUCGGUGACAAGUAUGGCAGUGAUCACCACCAUUGACAGAGGUCCAGGAGUCACAUGUCACCGUUUUCGUAUGUACAUGUGUACACUAGAGAGCAUCUGCUCCAUCGUAUAUGCUCUCUCAGUCAAUUGGGUAUUAAUCAACCUUCACAAACCAAGUUAGCACUAUUGAGUUCACACAUGUACUGUACUAACUAGCUAUGCAUCGGCCAGCCUCGGAAAUUUGUCCGGAUUAGGAAAGGAUCAGCUGGCGAAUAACAUCCUCGAACCAUGCAUGUCAAUUGAUUAAUUAACUACGGUGGAGCAGAUACUUCGAGAGAGUUACAAAGAAGAAGAAAACUAAGGUAGGUGAUACUAUCGACUGGAGGUACAAGUCAUCAGCAACUGAUUGACCAUUGAUUAAUCAGAAAUAGUACUACUGCCUGUAACCACGGUGUCAUGUAUCUCUAUUGUUAAAGGGAGUUGGUGUUUGUACGUCAUCAAAUGUGAUCUCGUCACCCACACCACCCCUCUCCCCCUAGUUUUGAAUAAUGUAAACCAAAUCGGUGAUUUCAUUUUCUUAUCCUACCAGAAACCAUGUUAUGUAUUACCGUCAUGAAAUCUUAUAAAAUCAUUUGCUGCAUUAACUCAAUCAAAUUAAAUAAAAUCUUACCAACUAAGUCAAAAUUUGCUUGCCUUCCCCUACCCAUAUCUAAAUCAAAUCAAAUCUUAACAAAAUCUAGAAUAUGGUGGGUGUAACAUAUAUGUCAGACACGAUUAAUGUUGAACCACUAGAAUCUGGAUGUACGCCCCUAUUGCAAUGUACGGUCAAUUAGCUCGUUUUUUAGUGCUCGGGCUACCUUGCCCACCAACUUUUGGUGCUAAUGAACUUCAGGCCUUUUUCAUGGUGUUAUGCAUAUAUUCAAGUCAAUGCAAGCAAAAUCACUUUUUAACAAUGUCCAUUCCCUCUUGGUGAAUCUGCCUGUAACUUUUUAUGACAAUAAAUCAUUUCCUGUUUCUCUUUUGGACUCGGCAUCCAUCGAUGCACAGUAGGUACCAACGCGUGGAACCUAGUUAGUUGUAGUUUCCAUGUGUCGGCAAGAAAGUGAAGGUCGGCCCGGUCAUAGCCGGGUGAUAAGCUAGCAUGUGGGGGGGGGGAGGGGAGGAGCAGAGAAAAUCAUAAUAAAGUGGUGCAUGUGUGAUACAUAUGUGUUGGUCACCAGUUGAAAGAGGCUCACAGCACUGUACGCCAAAUCUGGGCAACGCGUCGAUUCGAGCGUUCCUUUUUUUUUGAAGUCGGAGGAGAACUGUCAAAUUCAUUGAUCAAAGAAAGAAGAAAGAAAGAAAAUAUCCUUCCGGCACCACCACAACCCCAAGCUCCACCAGCAACCGUGCACACCAUCGAAAUCUAUCGCCAAGGUCUCCAAGAUGAUGCCUCAAAGGAGGAAGUGAUAUCGAGGACAUCACCGUCACCUGAUCUAACAAAGCCAGAUUUUAGGUUUUUACCCGGAGACCCAAGCCAUGUGGUAGGAAGAACAACAAGCUCUACAACGAUACUUCCAAGGAAGAAGACGACAUCCAUAGAUGCCAUUACCGUCGGCAUCGACAAAGUCAAUGCAGGAUUUUCAUCUAGAGCCGAGUCUUCUACCAACCAUCCAGGAUCUGGGACCAACCAAGCGCCAUCCGGCAAAACAAGAUCAACCCAAACACGAAGAUCAUCACCGCGGCACGCAGAAACCAGCGAGCUCACGCCACCCUGACCGGUCCACACCACCGCACGCAGGACCUGGGCGAACCAAGUUGAAUCUGGCCAUCCUCUGCCUCCAUGCACAAAUCUGGGCGAGAGAUUGCACCGCAGCGUAACAGGAAAAGAAAGGUGGAACCAAACAGACCGACCCGCGCCUCCGCGCGUUGGAACUGGGUGAAAACCAGGCCAAAAAACUAACAGGCCCGCACCGCCUGCUGGUUCCACUUACGUUUACGUCAUUGCUCGUGUGGGCAUCACACCAGUGACAUAUAGCAUAUCCUUAUACAUUUUGACCACCUUUUUUAAGAAGCAUAUUCGGUGACAGGUAUGGCAGUGAUCGCCACCAUUUUGACAAAGUUCAAGAUUCACAUGUCACUGUUUUCGUAUGUACAUUACAUCAGAACAUGUCUACACUAGAGAGCAUGUUCUCCAUCGUAUAUGCUCUCUCAAUGAUUUGGUAGUUAUUUGGAUUCAAUAUGUUUUAAGACUCAAAAGGGUAGAAGAACUUAGCACUAUUGAGUUCACACCCAUCCUAUAUGUACUAGUACUAACUUGUUAUGCAUCGGCCGGCCUCUAAAAUUUGUCCGGAUUAGCAAGGGAUCAGCUGGCGAAUGACUCCUCGAAUCAUGUCGAAGUGGUUAAUUAACUAUUACUACCUUAGGCGACAGCACCGUGGAAAUAAAAACAAAGUAGGUGACACAGGGUGCAGGUAUAAGUCAUCGGCAACUGAGCAUUGAUCAACCGAAAGUACUCUCUCCAUCCGAAAUUACUUGUGGGAGAAAUAGGUGUAUCUAAACGUAUUUUGGUUCUUAGUACAUCUAUUUUUAUUCAUUUCUGCGGCAAAUAAUUUCAAACGGAGGGAAUAGUAUAUGAUCAAGUCAAUAUAGUACUACAAGAAAAGACACCUUUUGGUGCUCCAUUCUCUCUUGAGGAAGUUGUCCAUAACUUUCGUGAUAAUGAAAUUCUAUCUCAUUUCUCUAUAUUGCGAUGACAGAUGAUGAACAAAUUGGAAGUUCUUUCCACAAAAUAAAGAAAGAAAUCCUUUCUCGUUUCUCUUUGGGCCUCCGCUUCUAUCGAUGCACAGUACAUAGAACCGCGUGGAUCCUAGCUAGCUACAAGUUCCAAUGUGUCGGCAAGAACCUAAGGACAGUCAUGGGCGACUGGGUAAAAUAAAGUGGUGCAUGCGUGAUAUACAUAUCUGUUGGAGGCCAACGCGUGCAUGUGUCCGCGUCGAUCUAUUAUCAACCUUGCUAGAGAGAGACCCGGCUGCUCGAUCGUGUCUAGCCUGACCAUGACACGUCCAUGAUGCAUCACCUCACUCAUGGCCCCCAUGCACGUCAACCUAACUACACAUAUAUAGCUAGCUUCUACCUCAAUUAGGCCCCAUUUUCAUCUGUCUAUAUCAUCUUUCUAUCUAACGCGUGUCCGGUUGGUUUUCGGCAAUGCCUUUAUACGCAUAUUCUCCUUAAAAAUAUAGAUGGAUACCUAUACCCCUAUAGUUCUUCAACAGUAUGUUUCCUCUUGCUCUUGAGCUAGUAGCACUAGUAGAAAAAGGGUCAUCUGUCCCGGUUGGUAAGGGUCUUUUGUCCCGGUUUUUGAACCGGGACUAAAGGGUCGUUACUAAUGCCCUAGCCCUUUAGUCCCAGUUCUUACACGAACCGGGACAGAUGGGCCUCCACGUGGCCGGUGCGGCGAGCCCAGGCAGGAGGGCCUUUGGUCCCGGUUGGUGGCACUAACCGGGACCAAUAGUCAUCCACGCGUCAGCAUUUCAGGGGCUGGGGUUUUUUUUUAANNNNNNNNNNNNNNNNNNNNNNNNNNNNNNNNNNNNNNNNNNNNNNNNNNNNNNNNNNNNNNNNNNNNNNNNNNNNNNNNNNNNNNNNNNNNNNNNNNNNNNNNNNNNNNNNNNNNNNNNNNNNNNNNNNNNNNNNNNNNNNNNNNNNNNNNNNNNNNNNNNNNNNNNNNNNNNNNNNNNNNNNNNNNNNNNNNNNNNNNNNNNNNNNNNNNNNNNNNNNNNNNNNNNNNNNNNNNNNNNNNNNNNNNNNNNNNNNNNNNNNNNNNNNNNNNNNNNNNNNNNNNNNNNNNNNNNNNNNNNNNNNNNNNNNNNNNNNNNNNNNNNNNNNNNNNNNNNNNNNNNNNNNNNNNNNNGCUACGUACUAUAUACGUAUAGAGAGGACUAGACACGCUAGCUAGUAAGCAAAUGAAGGAAACAGAAGAUCGUCAUGAACAUAUGCAUACAGAGAGAAGUGAUAUCGACCACCUCUCCUUCUCCGAGAGAUUGGUCGAACAACAAGUUCUCGUAUAUCUAUCCGACACUACCGGCUACAUAUAUACAAUAAUUAUCUCUUACAAUAUAAUCUCCUAAUUAUAUAUGAACACAGGGUCCACAUAGUAUUCUCCGUUCUCAGCGAUCACGUGGUCAAGGAAGAAUGCCGUCAAUUCCUCUUGAAUUGCUCGCAUACGAUCUGGUGCUAGGAGUUCGUCCCACAUCCGAAAGAUCUAAUUUGAAGAAGGGGGUAAAUACAUACAUACAUAUAUAUAUAUAUAUAUAUAUAUAUAUAUAUAUAUAUAUAUAUAUGAAUAAAUGAAACUCAACACAAAUGAUGGUAAUAAAAUAAAAUUGUGAAUAUUAUUGCUUACGCACUUCAUAUUGUUCGUCAGAGUAGCCCCGCUCACAGGUCAUGUGGCGGAUGGACUCGCAAACGUAGUAUCCACAGAAAUCAUUCCCUUGUUCCUGCCACAACCACUUUACAAGAAAUAGAGGUCAAUCAAACUGAUAAGCGAGCAUGCUAAAUGGUAUUGAUGAAACUAGCGCUUGAAUCACUAGGAGAUGCGCGGAACAUGCUACUAUAGUACUUACUUUCGGGUGUCUAAAUUGCAGGUUCUUCGGCAGUCCCGGAGCUUUUUUGGUGAAUUUUCUCCAAACCCUGCCAGACAAACAAAACAAUUACUUGAUAUCAGGAAAUGAACAAAGUUGCUGAUAUGGUGGAUAAUGAUCGAUUGAACUUACUUCUCGAGCAUUUGAGUCAUGUCCGCAUAGUCCUGGGGAUCUUUUCGUCUCGAGUCUAAGACGGUUACUAGUCCCUGCUCAAACUUAAUCUCUAGGAGAAUAUAGUGGAAGCUGCGCACGCAUGCAUAAGUCAUCAAUUACAUUACUAUAACCUGGACUAAUAAGGGAAACCGAAUAUGCACAAGACAGUAACACUCACUUGAAAUUGUAAGGAAAGAGUAUUAUAUCUCUGUUUUCAUUUAUUACCAACGAUCGUAGCAAGUUGGCCUCGGUAUUUUCGGCAUGAUAUUUAACCUCAGUUGCAUCUAUGAGAUUUGUGUUAAUGAAUCCAAUAUCACGAUUUGUCUUUUCUUCAAUUCAGCGAUAUUCAAUCUGCAUAAUAUAGUGAGGAUAAUUAUAAAUACAUGCAAUGAAAGAGCUGACCUAUAUAGAGAGACUUAAUGACAGAAGUAGUACUACUUACAGACAGUAGCAAGUGACCGUUGAUUUAUCGAGGGCCUUUUGAUUGAAAACCCGAAAGAACUCCUCAAAUGGAACAUUCAACAGUUCAAUUCCAACGAGGUCAUGCUCCUCUUUAACUCUCAGCGUCAAAGUAUUCCUUCCCCCAGACUCUCUGCAGGUUUUCAUGUACCAAUCAUGUAAUCUUCGCAUCAUCGUUGUUAGAGAUCUUUCAUCUUUUACGAGAGGCUUCCCGUAAUGGUAUUUGUGUUCGUCCACCUCCAAGAAAUCAUAAUGUACAUCAUCGGGCAGGUAAUCUCCAAGAUUGCUAUAACCGGGCACCAUCCUCGGAUCAUUAGCGACGAUGUCGCUAGACACCUUGAGCGGGGGGCACGAUUGGUUCGCUUGUUCGCCGAGCUGGGCAAUUUUUUUCCCAGCUCGUCGUUCUUUUAACCUUUGAUCACUGACAGUACUUCCCGACCACUCUGCUUCGACAAAUGUCUUUGCAAUAAUGCGCUCAUAGUUGCCUUUCGGCGGAGACUUUGGUGGUUUUGUCAGGGCAGCCAGAGUGCGCUUCGCUUUCACCGGAUCUACCUUCUCCUCCGGAGGUGGAUGUUUCUUUGCUUUCACCCCUUCAAAGAAGUUCGUCACUUCGGCUCGCACGAUCUUCGUGGUUUCCUCCUCGGUCCUCUCGUAUGGUAACUUUUGUGGAGUCUUCAUAGAAGGACCGAAUCUGUAUUGCCUCCCGCCUCUGGCUGUACUGCUAGACGCCGGCAGAGCAGACGGAGCGGCUGCGGCUGUCUUCUUUCCUUGCUUACGAGGCGGAGGAGAAGGACUACGACGCGCCGGAGCAGCCGGAGCGACGGCGGGUCUCUUCCGCCCUUGCUGACGAGGCGGAGAAGGAGGAGGCUGGCUACUCGGGCGCGCCGGCGUAGGCAGAGAAGGAGGCGGAGUGCCGCCAUGCGCCGGAGAAGGAGGCUGAGUGCCUUGAUCACUCGCCGGAGGAGGAGGCGGAGGAGGAGGCGGAGUGUCGCCACGCGCCGGAGAAGGAGGCUGAGUGCCCUGAUCACUCGCCGGAGGAGGAGGCUGAGUGCCCUUACUCGCCGGAGGCGUCCAGUUCGGAAGGUUGAUGAGCUCCUUCCGCCAUAGGCAUGGAGUCUUCACAGCAGAACCUAGCCGAGUCUCCCCUUCAUCGGUAGGGUGGUCAAGCCGGAGGUCCUCAAAUCCCUCCGUUAUUUCGUCCACCGUCACCCUAGCAUAUCCUUCUGGAAUCGGACGACAGUGAAAAGUUGCGCCGGGUUCAGGAGGUCGAACAGAGCCGACAGCGGCCUUGACUUUGAAGUUCUGCCAUUGCGUCAUAAGGUGGCAAUGUUGAGACUCCGUGAUAGCAUCCACGGGGUAGCUAGCAGGAGCCGUCAAGACAUGCUCCGGCUGAAGCAGCUCGGUCAAAGCCACACUUCUUCUCCGCUGAGAUGGCGGGGUAGCUUCGGGGGUAGUUUCGGCAGGUCGAUUGCUGCGAGCUACGUCUCGUUCCUCUAGCGCUUGAACCCUUUCGUACAGCUUCUGGAUUUGGGUCUGCUCCACUUUUUUCCUCCUCUCCUGGAUUUUGUAACCGCCUGCGUCCAGAAAACCAGCCUUCCACGGAACGGAGCCUGGCGUGCCUUGUGUCCGUCCAGGGUGCUCAGGAUUCCCGAGGGCCAUUGUGAGCUCGUCAUUCUCUCUGUCUGGAACGAACGUCCCUUGCUGCGCUGCAUCGAUAUAGUGCUGAAGCCUCUUGACUGGUAUUCUCAAAAGCUCGUCCGUCCAAACGCACUUCCCUGAUACAGGGUCCAAGGUUCCGCCAGCCCCGAAGAACCAAGUCCGGCAACGGUCUGGCCAGUUCAUUGUCUCUGGUUCGAUCCCUUUAUCAAGUAGAUCAUUCUCAGCCUUGGCCCACUUAGGUCAGGCUUUGAGGUAGCCACCUGACCCCGUGCGAUGGUGAAGCUUCUUCUUCGCAACACUUUUCUUGUUUGUCGCUGACAACUUCUUACUCUUUUCCGAUGUCUUGUGGGCCACAAAUGCGGGCCAGUGAUCUCUGAUCUUCUCAUAUUUGCCAAUGAAUUCUGGUGUCUCUUCUUUGUCGACAAACGUUUUCUGCUCAUUCUUCCACCUCCUGAAUAGGUCCGCCAUAUUCUUAAGAGCAUGAUACUUGAUUAAUUGCUCUUUAACUGGCUUCUCUGGAUCCUCCUCUGGCGGUAGGGUGAAAUUUGCCUUCAGCUCAGUCCAAAGAUCAUCUUUCUGCAUAUCAUUGACAUAAGACACCUCAGGGUCUUCCUUCUUAGGCUUAUACCAUUGGUGGAUGCUGAUCGGGAUCUUGUCCCUAACAAGAACCCCGCACUGAGCAGCAAAUGCUUCCUUUGUCCGGAUGGGUUCAAUCGGUUGGCCGUCGCGCAUGAUUGUUGUGAUCUCAAACCUUUCAUCCGAGCACAACUUUCUCUUCGGGCCUCGUCUCUUUACCGAAGUUGUGCUCGAUCCGGAGGGCUAGAAAAAAGAAGAAAGACGAGAGUUAAUUAAUAUGUGUACAUACCAAAACAAUGAAUGCAUCAAUUAGCUAGUCAUCACAGGCUUAACUAAUAUAUUUACCUGGCCGGACUCUGUUCGGUCAUCGGAGCCGUCACCACGGGCUCCUUCUUGCACCAGCAUUGGGUCACCGGAGCCAUCAUAAUCAUGUCUUUCCUCCUCCACUCUUCGAUCACCGUAGCCUGCUUCUUCACCCUGUUCUUCCAGACCAUCAUUGUCGUUAAGAUACGACAAGACAUCACCUCUGGCUAAGAUUAUGUCCCCCAACACCUCUUCUGCUUCCUCGUCUCGUCCGUGCUCCAUUGUUUCUGCAAAUAUUACAACAUGGCAAUUAUUACACAAACAUGACAGCAGGUGGAUAUAUUAGUGCAAACGUAGACCUAGCUUAUUCCGGGUUUGGGGUGGCCUCGGCAACGCUUCAAGGGUAGGGGCGCGGCGGGAGGGGGUAGGAGACCGACAUCGUUUAUUUCUAGGGUUUGGGUGUCCUCGAGAGUUUUGGUCGAGCGAGAGGGCCGGGGGGUGCUCCCGUGGUAUAAGUUAUCACGGUCGAAGUUAUCCGGGAGGGGGUUAUAUCGAUAACGACGACAUACAUACAUGGGAAAAUAAUGUUAUCGGGGAGGGGGUAGGUCGAACCCCCCCUCGUGUUGAAGUUAUCGGGACACGGGGUAUAUCGACAACGACAUAUCCGAUAAAAAAAUAAGAAGACGAAGAAGAAAUAAAAAGAGGAGAAGAAGAUAUUAAUACAGGAGAAGAUUGAAGAAAUAAAAAGAGGAGAAGAAGAUAUUCUUCUUUUUUCUUCUUCUUAUUUUCCUUUUUCCUCUCCUUCUUUUUCUUUUUCUUCAUUAUCUUCUUAGCUAGAUAUAUAAUACUUUUCUAAAAAUGUAACUUUUGCAUAUAUAAAACUUUUUCUUCUUCUUCCUUCUUCCUUCUCUUCCUUCUUUUCCUAAAUAUAUAAAACUUUUCUAAAAAUGAAACUAACCUAAAAUGUACCCAAAUGUACUAAAAAUCUAACUUUUAUAUGCACAGAGAACAUACAUACAUAUAUACAUUUUUAUAAAAAUGCAAAAAACAAAUCAUCAUAUAUAUGAAUAAAAAACAGAGAGGAAGGCCGGCGGCCGGACCGAACGUGGCGGCNNNNNNNNNNNNNNNNNNNNNNNNNNNNNNNNNNNNNNNNNNNNNNNNNNNNNNNNNNNNNNNNNNNNNNNNNNNNNNNNNNNNNNNNNNNNNNNNNNNNNAAAAAUUUACAAGUCCUGCUUAUAUAUGGAGAGCAUUGGUACCGGUUCAUGGCAGCAACCGAGACCAAUGCCCCUUUUAGUCCCGGUUGGUGCCACCAACCGGGACCAAAGGUCUCUUUUCAGCAGCCCAAAGGGCGGGAAGCGGCGGCCUUUGGUCCCGGUUGGUGGCACCAACCGGGACUAAAGGGGUGCAUUGGUACCGGUUGGUGGCGUCCCGGUUGGUGCCACCAACUGGGACCAAAGGCCUUGUGCUGCUGCGCCCGCGUCAAAAGUUUAGUCCCACCUUGCUAGUUGAGAGGGGCGCGCAGUGGUUUAUAAGCCCCACUGCCGCUCCCCUCCCGAGCUCCUCUCCAUUGCAGGCUUACGGGCCUAAUUGUCAUUGCUAUGCAUGAUGGGCCUACUGGGCCUUCUGCGGGCCUGCAUCCUGGCCCAUCGAUGGGUUUCUAGUCGUAUUCAGGCCGUGGUGGCCCAGUAGGUGGCAUAUUUUUUAUUUUUUGCCUUUUUUUGUUUUAUUUUUUUCUUUAUUUAUUUUGUUUUGUUUGUACUGACAACAAAAAACUUAUUUAUUUUAUUUUUUUGUUUCUAAUUACUUAUUUAUUUUACUUUAUGAUAAUUCUUUUUGCUAUUAAAGUUUCUAACAAAAAAAGUUCUUUAUGAAAAUUCUUUUUGCUUUCAAUGAUUUUGAAUAGAAAAUACUUCGAUAAUUUUAGUUGCAUCAAUUUUAUAUAAUUUUAGUUUCAAUAAUACUAGAGGUUGCUUAUAAUUAAUGUUUUGAACAGAAAAUACUUUGAUAAUUUUAGUUUCAUAAAUUUUAUUUAUGUUAUUAAAGUUUAUUUUAUUUUGUUUGUACUUAUAUAUUUUAUUAAAGUUUAUAUUAUUUUGUUUCUAAUUACUUAUUUAUUUUAUUUGUUAUUUUUCAUGCACCAUUUUUCAUGCAUUUACUGAUUAUUUUGAGCUAUAAAACCCUAAAAUUGAAAAGCAUUUCAAAUGAACUCUGAAAAGGUUGAAAGUUGGCAUGGUAUCAUCAUUUCAUCCACAUAGCAUGUGCAAGAAAGUUGAGAGGGUUACGGCAAAAAUUGGAUGCACUUCGUGUACAAAACGGACAAUCUCUUUCAAAGUAUCAGGAUUUCAUACGGAAACUCGUCUGUUACAAAGGGAUUUUAUUUUUUAAAACUUAUUUGAACUCCUUACUUUUUGUGUGUUCAAAAUGCACCAUUCAAAGCCACAUCAUCAAUUUUCAACCCUUUCUGACUUCAUUUUUAAUUUUUCAUGCAUUUAUUGAUUAUUUUGAGCUAUAAGACCCUGAAAUUGAAAAGCAUUUCAAAUGAACUCUGAAAAGGUUGAAAGUUGGCAUGGUAUCAUCAUUUCAUCCACAUAGCAUGUGCAAGAAAGUUGAGAGGGUUACGGCAAAAACUGGAUGCACUUCGUGUACAAAAUGGACAAUGGUAUCAUACUCGUCUGUUACAAAGUUGGCAUGGUAUCAUCAUAAUAGUUGCGGGAGAAAGUCUUCACUUUUUCUUCGCUUGUGUCAUUUUCUUAUUGCGCCAUAACCAUGGAUAAUCUUCAUCGUUUAUCAGGAUGGUUGGGUCAGCCUUGACUUUGAAGGGAGGAAUUUCAUGAAACUUUUCAUAAUCUUCAGACAUGUCUGUCUUGCCCUCCACUCCCACGAUGUCCCUUUUUCCUGAAAGAACUAUGUGGCGCUUUGGCUCAUCGUAUGAUGUAUUCGCUUCCUUAUCUUUUCUUUUUCUCGGUUUGGUAGACAUGUCCUUCACAUAGAUAACAUGUGCCACAUCAUUGGCUAGGACGAAUGGUUCGUCAGUGUACCCAAGAUUUUUCAGAUCCACCGUUGUCAUUCCGUACUGUGGGUCUACCUGUACCCCGCCUCCUGACAGAUUGACCCAUUUGCACUUAAACAAAGGGACCUUAAAAUCAUGUAUGUAGUCAAGUUCCCAUAUGUCCACUAUGUAACCACAAUAUGUGUUCUUUCCCCUCUCGGUUGCUGCAUCAAAGCGGACACCGCUGUUUUGGUUGGUGCUCUUUUGAUCUUGGGCGAUCGUGUAAAAUGUAUUUCCAUUUAUCUCGUAUCCUUUGUAAGUCAAUACAGUCAAAGAUGGUCCCCUGGACAACGAGUACAGCUCAUCACAAACAGUGUUGUCACCUCUGAGCCGUGUUUCCAACCAACUGCUGAAAGUCCUGAUGUGUUCACAUGUAAUCCAGUCGUCGCACUGCUCUGGGCGUUUGGAGCGCAGACUGAUCUUGUGUUCAUCGACAUACGGGGUCACCAAGGUAGAGUUCUGUAGAACUGUGUAGUGUGCUUGAGACCAAGAAUGUCCGUCCCUGCAUAUUAUUGAGUCCGCUCCUAGCGUGCCUUUUCCAGUCAGUCUCUCCUCAUACCGCGAUUUAAGGAGACCUAUCUUCUUAAGGCCAGGAAUGAAAUCAACACAAAACCCAAUGGCAUCCUCUGUUUGAUGGCCCAUGGAGAUGCUUCCUUCUGGCCUAGCGCAGUUACGGACAUAUUUCUUUAGGACUCCCAUGAACCUCUCAAAGGGGAACAUAUUAUGUAGAAUACGGGCCCCAGAAUGACAAUCUCGUCGACUAGAUGAACUAGGACGUGCGUCAUGAUAUUGAAGAAGGAUAGUGGGAACACCAGCUCGAAACUGAUAAGACAUUGCGCCACAUCACUCCUUAGCCUUGGUAUGAUUUCUGGAUCGAUCACCUUCUGAGAGAUUGCAUUGAGGAAUGCACAUAGCUUCACAAUGGCUAAUCGGACGUUUUCCGGUAGAAGCCCCCUCAAUGCAACCGGAAGCAGUUGCGUCAUAAUCGUGGCAGUCAUGAGACUUUAGGUUCUGAAACUUUUUCUCUGGCAUAUUUAUUAUUCCCUUUAUAUUCGACGAGAAGCCAGUCGGGACCUUCAUACUGAGCAUGCAUUCAAAGAAGAUUUCUUUCUCUUCUUUCGUAAGAGCGUAACUGGCAGGACCUUCAUACUGCUUCGGAGGCAUGCCGUCUUUUUCGUGCAAACGUUGCAGGUCCUCCCGUGCCUCAGGUGUAUCUUUUGUCUUCCCAUACACGCCCAAGAAGCCUAGAAACUUCACGCAAAGGUUCUUCGUCACGUGCAUCACGUCGUUUGAAGAGCGGACCUCUAGGUCUUUCCAGUAGGGUAGGUCCCAAAAUAUAGAUUUCUUCUUCCACAUGGGUGCGUGUCCCUCAGCGUCAUUCGGAACAGCUAGUCCGCUGGGACCCUUUUCAAAGAUUACGUGUAAAUCAUUGACCAUAGCAAGUACGUGAUCACCGGUACGCAUGGCGGGCUUCUUCCGGUGAUCUGCCUUGCCUUUGAAAUGCUUGCCUUUCUUUCGACAUUGAUGGUUGGUCGGAAGAAAUCGACGAUGGCCCAGGUACACAUUCUUCCUGCAUUUGUCCAGGUAUAUACUUUCAGUGUCGUCUAAACAGUGCGUGCAUGCGUGGUAUCCCUUGUUUGUCUAUCCUGAAAGGUUACUGAGAGCGGGCCAAUCGUUGAUGGUUACAAACAGCAACGCGUGCGGGUUAAAUUCCUUCUAUUUGUGCUCAUCCCACGUACGUACACUGUUUCCAUUCCACAGCUGUAAAAUUUCUUCAACUAAUGGCCUUAGGUACACAUCAAUGUCGUUGCCGGGUUGCUUAGGGCCUUGGAUGAGAACUGGCAUCAUAAUGAACUUCCGCUUCAUGCACAUCCAAGGAGGAAGGUUAUACAUACAUAGAGUCACGGGCCAGGUGAUGUGAUUGCUGCUCUGCUCCCCGAAAGGAUUAAUGCCAUCCACGCUUAAACCAAACCAUACGUUCCUUGGGUCAGCUGCAAACUCAGCCCAGUACUUUCUCUCGAUUUUUCUCCACUGCGACCCGUCAGCGGGUGCUCUCAACUUCCCGUCUUUCUUACGGUCCUCACUGUGUCAUCGCAUCAACUUGGCAUGAUCUUCGUUUCUGAACAGACGUUUCAACCGUGGUAUUAUAGGAGCAUACCACAUCACCUUCGCAGGAACCCUCUUCCUGGGGGGCUCGCCGUCAACAUCACCAGGGUCAUCUCGUCUGAUCUUAUACCGCAAUGCACCGCAUACCGGGCAUGCGUUCAGAUCCUUGUACGCACCGCGGUAGAGGAUGCAGUCAUUAGGGCAUGCAUGUAUCUUCUGCACCUCCAAUCCUAGAGGGCAUACGACCUUCUUUGCUGCGUAUGUACUGUCGGGCAAUUCUUUAUCCUUUGGAAGCUUCUUCUUCAAUAUUUUCAAUAGCUUCUCAAAUCCUUUGUCAGGCACAACAUUCUCUGCCUUCCACUGCAGCAAUUCCAGUACGGUACCGAGCUUUGUGUUGCCAUCUUCGCAAUUGGGGUACAACCCUUUUUUGUGAUCCUCUAACACGCGAUCGAACUUCAGCUUCUCCUUUUGACUUUCGCAUUGCGUCCUUGCAUCGACAAUGACCCGGCGGAGAUCAUCAUCAUCGGGCACUGGUUCCUCUUGAUCUUCAGCAGCUUCCCCCGUUGCAGCAUCAUUGGGCACAUCGUCUGGUUCCUCUUGAUCUUCAGCAGCUUCCCCCGUUGCAGCAUCACCGUAUUGAGGGGGCACAUAGUUGUCAUCGUCCUCUUCUUCUUCGCCGUCUUCCAUCAUAACCCCUAUUUCUCCGUGCCUCGUCCAAACAUUAUAGUGUGGCAUGAAACCCUUGUAAAGCAGGUGGGUGUGAAGGAUUUUCCGGUCAGAGUAAGACUUCGUAUUCCCACAUUUAGGGCAUGGACAACACAUAAAACCAUUCUACUUGUUUGCCUCAGCCACUUCGAGAAAAUCAUGCACGCCCUUAAUGUACUCGGAGGUGUGUCUGUCACCGUACAUCCAUUGUCGGUUCAUCUGCGUGCAUUAUAUAUAAUUAAGUGUGUCAAAAACCAUUACAGAACAUCAUGAAUAGAUAAUUAAGUGACCAAAUUAAUAGAAGUUCAUCAUCACAUUAAAACCAAAGUACAUACAUAGUUCUCAUCUAACAACAUAUAGCUCUCCAGAGCAUCUAAUUAAUUAAGCCAUACAUUGAAACUAUGUAAAACAUUUCAAUGCGAAAACAAAUGCGAUCAUAAUCGCAACCAAGGUAACAAUUGAUCCAACGGCAUAAUGAUACCAAGGCUCGGUAUGAAUGGCAUAUUUUCUAAUCUUUCUAAUCUUCAAGCGCAUUGCAUCCAUCUUGAUCUUGUGAUCAUCGACGACAUCCGCAACAUGCAACUCCAAUAUCAUCUUCUCCUCCUCAAUUUUUUUUCCUUCAAGAAAUUGUUUUCUUUUUCAACUAAAUUUAACCUCUCGACAAUAGGGUCGGUCGGAAUUUCAGGUUCACAUACCUCCUAGAUAAAUAAAAUCUAUGUCACGUUGAUCGGUAUAAUUUUCAUAAACAAUAAAUGAACCAAUAGUUAUAAAGAUAAUAUAUACCACAUCCGAAUCAUAGACAGGACGAGGGCCGACGGGGCGGAUACCAAAACCAUCGCACUAUAUAAUAACAAGCAAUAAAAUAGUAAGAAAAUUAGACAAGUAUCUAUCUAAAGUAAGAAUUUUUUUCUUUCAGAAAGAAGAUAAGAACAAGAGGCUCACCACGGUGGUGCCGGCACGAGAUCGGCGCGGGCGAUCGACGGCGGUGAAGACAGGAAUGGGACGUGACGGGCCGCUAAACCUAGACAAAUCUCGAGGAAAAUGGAGCUUUGAGGUCGAGCUUCGAGAGGAGAAAGCUUAACUAGUGUGGCUCGGGCAUUUCAUCGAACACCUCAUGUGCAUAGGAGGUGAGCUAGAGCAGCACAAAGCCCUGCCCUCGCCGGCCAGAGAAAAACAGAGCACUGGAGUGCUCUGCUCGCGGGCGAGGGGUAUAUAUAGGCACCUCAUUUGUCCUGGUUCGUGGCAUGAACCGGGACUAAAGGGCAGCCUGUGGUCCCGGUUCAAGCCACCAACCGGGACCAAUGGUGGUGGGCCAGGAGCGAGGCCCAUUGGUCCCGGUUCGUCCCACCAACCGGGACCAAAGGGGCCAGACGAACCGGGACCGAUGCCCCAACGAGGCCCGGCAGGCCCCUGGCCUCACGAACCGGGACCAGUGCCCCCAUUGGUCCCGGUUCUGGACUGAACCGGGACUAAUGGGCUGACCCGGCCUGAACCAAAACCCUCUUUUCUACUAGUGUAGCUGAAUUCUCCCGUAUCAAAAUAUAAGACGUUUUUGUACGGCGAUGCCUUUAUACGCAUAUUCUCCUUAAAAAUAUGGAUGGAUACCUAUACCCCUAUAGUUCUUCAGCAGUAUGUUUCCUCUUGCUCUUAAGCUAGUAGCUGAAUACAAAAACGUCUUAUAUUUUGAUACAGAGAUGGUAGUUGUCAAGCUUGGGGACCGAUGUAUGGACCUUUUCUACCCAUCUCCAAUGUUUGGACCUACAGGAUAUACGUAUAUAUGAUAUAUUUCCUUUUCGCUGCGUAGUGCAUACAUAGAGAUCACAAGGCUAUGACAUGAACACAUCACCUAGUUAGGCUGCGGAUGCUAUAGCCUUACUUUUGUUGCUUUAUUGCAUCCCUGUAGCUAGAUAGAGUAGGGUUGCAAUGGUGCAUGCACGCAUGGGCGAUGGCGCAAGAGUACACACGCGUCCUGUUUGCGGUCCAUGCAUGCUUUGGAUGGUACAUAUAGCAGCAACAAGAGCUCUGACCAUGACCUCCAACUAAAUUAACGGGCACUGCUAUCCAGUAUAGGCUGCGUAAUAGGUCAUGGUCAGCAAUCUUCAAAUCAUUCAAAACAAAAGUCAGAUAUCGUGUAGUGCUAACAAGUGUAGUAUCUUGCUGCUAUUUUUAAUAAUAUAAUCACAACCAAACAGUAAAAUAGUGUACUGUCUAGGUUUCACAGUAGUGUAGUGCAUAUAGAUUUUUUUUCAAAGGUGUCAAACUUAGCAAACUUUGAUCAAUUUUAUAGAGAAAAUUUAUCUAUAUCUACAAUACCAAGCAUAUGCAAUGUGGACAUAUAUCUCAUGAUAUGUCUAAUGAUAUGUAAUUGGUAUUAUAAAUAUUGACAUUUUUCACUAUACACAUGAUCAAACAUUACAAUGUUUGACUUUUGAAGAAAAAAGUGUAGGCAGUACAUUAUGGAACAAAGGGAGUAACAACUUUUAAAUAGGUUAAAAUACGUCAUAGUGCCACAAUCAGAAAUUCGCAGGGGCACGUAAGUGCGGGGCACUCACCUGCAAGCCAUGCCGCUCGCUCGAUUUGCCUCACGAUUCACGAAGUAGUUGAAUCUCACAUGAUGGCACGGUAAAAGAGAAAAUCCCUCAAAAAGCUUUAAAUUUUAACAAUGAAACUAACAAUUUUUGCAUUAAAAUGCCCAUUUUCAGCAAGUUUCAGAGAUAUAAUUUUAAGCAAUUUUUUUUGUCAGUCGUCGACACAAAAUAAUUGAUUUUUAUCGGUCGGUCGUACUAAGUUUCAACAUUGAAACUUAACAUAUAUAUUUAAAAGUCAUCAAAAUAUAUUCAAAAUGGACCUUAUUUCAAAGCGAUGGUCAAACGAAACACGAAUAUGAAAACAUAACUUAAUUUGGAAUUUACGUUUAAAAGAUAUAGAAAUUUAAAAAUCAGAAGCCAAAAUAAAGGGCCGGCACCACGGACCUGAGUGCCCCCACACUUGCGUGCCAUAAAUCCUCGUCCGUGCCACAAUAGGGGUUAAGAGGUAAAUUUUCUCUUCUUUUUCAGAUGGGGUUUUUCAUAUAAAAAUGUUGAUGGUGCGAAAGCCGACACUUUGGGACAGAAAAUCUGCGACAUCUAUAAUAGAAUUGCUAUUUCGAAGUCUUUCUUGUGACAAUGACAUAUUUGUUGUCGUAAGGAGAAUAUUGAGAGAAAUAUUAGAAAUACAUGGCUGAAUGUCAGCCUAUAUAUAUAGACACACACACACAUUGUGCACUCAUAGUGCAAUAAAAAAAUAACAAAAAUAGUAUAAAGAAAACUGUGGCAGCAAACCAAAUGUAAUUUCCAUGGAUUUGUUUAUCGAUAAGCUAAUGAGCCUAAACUUUCCAAUCUCCCUAUCUUAAUUUCCUAUUUUGGUCAUGUUAGCCAAGUCAAAAGGAGCAUCUGUCUUUACUAGGAGAGGAAUUAAUUCUUUAUAAGUAGGAAACAUCAUAUUUCUGCUAUUGAUAGCUCGACAUAUAUAGGCCCAUGAAACCUAAUAGUGAUACAAUUAAUCCAUCCCUUGAUUGCACUACUAUAGGGACCCUUAUCAGUGACAGGCCCAAAGGCCUAUCAGUGACAAGUGAGCCGCCCAUCACUAGCGGCCACUCAUCAUCGCAAAUGGGGCUACUAGUGAUGGGCAGACAUAAGAGCACCUCACUGGUAGUUUGUUUAGGCCAGACCCAGCUACAUUUCCAAAGACGCGCAACCAUAUCGUCAAUCAUCAUUGGUGCCUUUUUGGGAUUUUGAAAAAUAGUCCAAUUAUCAUUACACAACUUAACUAAGAACAGUAUGAACAACAUUUUAAUUAUACAUCACCUAAACUCCAAAUUAAUCAACAUUGUAUGCCCUCCGUUCACUAUUAUAAGAUGUGUUUGAUAUAUCAUUAUGGAGUACAUAUGGUCUAAAAUGAGUGAACAAACACACUAAAAUGCAUCUAUAUACAUUUGAUUCAAAAAAAAAAAUAGAACAUACACAGUGAACAGAGUGAAUACUCAAUAGAAACAUUUCUCUUGUACAUUGCACACACACAUUUCAUGCGAGAAACUGGACACCAAAAUUUUCAAGUCUCUCUUGUUCGAUUUGCAAAAUUCGAAACAUGAACCGUCUACGAUGUGGUUAUGCUAAACAGUGUCUUUCCAAGACCCUGAUUUAUUUGUGACAUUCUGAACAGUAAUCUUGGCUCGUCUUCAUCCUCAUGAGCUUCGCUCGGACAUCGUAGACACCACUCUUGACCAUUCAUCCACUUUUUUGAGAGAGGAGAUUUUUACCAGCUCUGUCAUCAGCCCUAGAACAUCCGACACCUUAGACCCUCGCCAACUACGCCAUCCGGAAUUUCCGAAUCAUACUCAAUGUGAUGUGUUCUUCGAAUGAAGUUGUUUAUACUUACUUGAGGGUUGGAGCUUUUGUAUAGCUUCAUCAAACGAUAAUAUCGUCACGCUGUAAAAUUCCAGUUACACUUUACAAAACACUCGUCGAAAAAAGUGUCUAGUGUAGUGCACCAAAACGUCACAAUAGCGACGAGAUGAAAUUGCAAUUUCUCUGAUAUCCUUGUUGAGAUAUAAAAUUAACAACAUAUUACGUUUUGUUAUAAUUAUGUAAUAUUCAUGUACGAUCAUCAUUAGUGUUACAACUAUAAUCACCUAAGUUCACCCCUAGGAGAACAAAUCUAAGACAGACUCAUGUACGGUUGAUUUUGUGCAAUAUAACUUAAAUAGGACCCAUGUUAGCAAAAUACAACCUAAUUUAUUUGUCUAAGAAAAAGUAUGCAGAAAGUUGAGAAAUACAAGUCUCGAUGCUACCAAUUUGUUUGUGUACGGUGUUGUGCUCUUGAUGAAAUAAUAAUCUAACAAAUGUUAUAAGUACAUCACAUAUUACCCAAAUAACCACAAAGCUUAUAUUUUAGACUGAGUUAGAUUUAAUGGAAAUUAAAUCAAAUCCUAGGGCCUAAACUCUAAAUCAUGAUGUAUUUUAAUGCAGAUUUUUUUUUUGCAUUCCACAUUGCUCGACAUGAGGUGAGAGGGAACAGGAAAGAUAAGAAUGAAACAUACAAGGAUGAAUCCUAAAAUGCUACCAUAUAUAAGAUGCCACAAUCAUAACACAUCUAUAUAGUAAUUCAAGCAUUCGUCACACUAUUUAGGACAAAUGAACAUAUAUACAGCCAUUCUAUACUAUUUUAUACAACAAAUUCAGUUCAUAUAUGAGUAUAUAUACAAAGCAACAUCUUGGGCAAAUUAACAUAUAUAUUGUUUAUAUAGCAAUUCAAACAAAUCAACGUGCUCGAUAAAGAGGAAAAGGAGCUCACCUAUCUGGCCGCAAUCGCAACUGAAUCAUUUCAGUACCAUUGUCGGGCCUAUGACCCUGCACGACGCGGGAGACCUGAUAAUAUGGUAGGUGACACCCACGGGAGGCUACGGGACAGAGCUGCGUCGAUGACGGUUAUAACCACGCGGUAGAGGUUUUACAAAGAGGGUUAAUUUGAUUGGUCAAUAGGUGGGGAGGCGGCCCACCCCCUUUUAAAAUCAGGGGGGCAAGUUUGUGAUUGGUUAGUAGAUGAAAAGAAUCCUAGUCAGUGUGUAAUUACGUGUAACUCUUUGUAUGAUUAGCAUUAUUGGAGGUUGACUCUAGCAGUAGGGAACGCCCACCUGAGUUCAUAACUCUGCCAGUCCGUGACGGUCAAGGCCCGCUUCUGGUUUUGGCCAAACAUGCUUGGAGCUGAUCCGUGACCGUCAAGGAAUGUCGCGGAUGUUGUAAUACAUACGAAAUUUCAUUUCCAAUAGUGAAUGCCAUUAAUUAAUUAAUAAAUAAAGCUUGUACUGCAAAACACCAUAUCUAUGAUCCAUAUGUAAUGAAGGAAAUCUUUGCACAUAAUUAGCACCAUGAUCCGUCUUAACAGCGUGCGAUAUAUUCUUACUUUGAUUUACUCACCAGGCUUACACAAAAAUAAGACAUGAUGAUCACAGACAGUGCAUCGUGGAUGGAUGUGUGUCGCAAGGGAUCUCCUAUUUUUCCGGCUCGGGACAGCAAUGGAAUUUCAAUUGUUGACCCUGACCACCAUUCACUCACUCCACUCUAAAAGGCACAUGCUGCAACACCUCCUGGCUUGCUUAAACUUGUAUGCAUAUUUUCCAUGUGAACAAAAGCUACACCUGACAACACAUUACACAUGGUACACCAACAAUCUUUUCACACCUCAACUUUUCACGCAUGCACCCUGGUUGACGUGUGUCAAAUCAAAUCUGAUCUGGUCUAGACACUCACUGCUGGUACCUCUAGCUGAUAUCUGUAAAUAAAAUUAAAUUCAUGCACCGGUGUGUGCAACUUUUAACAUUAUGAUAAAAGAAAAUUGGUGUAUACAUAACCUAUGUAAAGUCUUGAUGAAAACAAGCUAGCUAGCAUAGAGGCAGCUAGCAUGUUUGCCUUGCCGUCCUGUAAUAACAUCAGAGCGAUCAAUGUCUUCCUUCCAUUAUGCUGCUACUACAAAAGACAAAUUCAGCGGCUCCAUAUUAACUAGCUUUCCAGUGCUCCAAGAACGAAAGAACAAAAAGCAGUAGGCGCCAUGCAGCAUGAUCACACUGCACGCAUCGUCGACCAAGAACGUACGCUCCGCUCCAAGGACGGUUAUAGAUGUCCAGUCCAAUUGACGUUACUGCUGUCCUCUCUCCUACACACGCAAGUAGUAUAAGUUAAUUUAAAAGUAAUCGAUUGGAAUUAAAAAGAUAUUUAGAAAAGAAGUUAACAAAGAAAACAAGAACAAAANNNNNNNNNNNNNNNNNNNNNNNNNNNNNNNNNNNNNNNNNNNNNNNNNNNNNNNNNNNNNNNNNNNNNNNNNNNNNNNNNNNNNNNNNNNNNNNNNNNNNNNNNNNNNNNNNNNNNNNNNNNNNNNNNNNNNNNNNNNNNNNNNNNNNNNNNNNNNNNNNNNNNNNNNNNNNNNNNNNNNNNNNNNNNNNNNNNNNNNNNNNNNNNNNNNNNNNNNNNNNNNNNNNNNNNNNNNNNNNNNNNNNNNNNNNNNNNNNNNNNNNNNNNNNNNNNNNNNNNNNNNNNNNNNNNNNNNCGUCAGGGGCUCAGGGCACGUCUCCGGACAAGGCCCGUGCGGCACCGACAGUGACGGGGAGGUCCUGAUCUGCCGGCAGCUUGCUUGUGGAGGCGGCAAAGGGUUGCGGUGGGAUGAUGAAGGAGAUGUGUGCUUAGGUGGUUGUCAUCGUCAGACGGUGCUCGAUGGCGGCAUUGGUGAUCUAGUGUGACAGUCUUCAACGGCGGCCUGGCCUGGUUAGGUCAUCGAAGAAGAGGGAGUUGUGAUCCAGGACGGCGGCGAGCUUGACAUCAAACCCAAACCUGUCGUGAAGCGGCACGGAUGAUUCUCUUCAGGUUUUAUUUAAGGAGUCUUCGAGUUUGGUUCGGAGCGGCGAGGCGGCAAUGUUGUUCCAAUGUAGAAAUAAUAUUCUCCCCGCUCCUUCCCUGUUCCGUUGGUGUGUUAUCACUGGCGGAGGGUGUACCAAGCGGGUCUUCCAAGUCCGGUCGGUUGAGGUUUCCGGUGGAUCCGUUUGGAUUCAACUGGCUAUUGUGGUCUUUGGAGUUUCUACAUCCCUUGUCGGCAUUUUCUUCUCUGGGGCGGCGAGUUACUUCGCAAAUCGCAGUUGUCGACUUUUCCUGGUCUGCAUUGAUGACUUUUCGGACACUACUUCUACAAGCUUCUCGGUUUAAAAAGUUUGCUCUGCCAAGGAAGAGGCCCAAAAGCGGCAUUGAGUUAUGCUCACGGUGCACCGCCGGUGGAUCGAUGCAAGAGUAAGAAGACUUCGGCACCCCAAGGAUUUGAAUGUAAUUUUAUUUUCUGUAUUGAUGGAAAUGUUUGCAAGGACACGUGAUGCUUUAUAAAUAGCCUUAGGCCUUUUGGGAAAAAAUGAAACAAAGAUUUAGCAGGGCGAAGAAAAUCAGGGAUAUUUAGUGGCAGGAGGAAAUACAUUAUAUCUGUACAUAUCCAUGCAUAAUAAUAACGGUGAAAAAAAAGUAAUUACUCUGGAAUGGAUAAGAGGGUACUGAUUACCACUGCAUGCUAAAAAAGAUUAGCGCUGACAGCAAAGAGAAGCGCAUGAAAAAGGGAAAGUGUUGGAUUAUUUUAACCACGUGCCCACUCGAUCGGCGCUGGUAUAUAUCGGCCGGCCGCCUAUAUAUACCAAGCGUCAGUCCUCGCAGCGUCAGUACAAAGACCACACGAGGCGCUAGGCCGCUAGCAAAGCUCUCGGCCAAACAGGCAUCACGCGUGCUGUAGCACCACCGGUUGGUUCGUUCGCCGGCGACGGCACCGCGGUGAUCAGCGAUGGGGGAGUUGGCGUGGGCGGCGCUGGCGGGGCUUCUGGUGCCGCUGGCCGCGGUGGCGCUGGACGCCGCGGUGCGGGCGGCGCACGCGUGGUACUGGACGGCGUCGCUGGGCGCCGGGCGGCGCGGCAGGCUGCCGCCGGGAGACAUGGGGUGGCCGCUCGUCGGCGGCAUGUGGGCCUUCCUCUGCGCCUUCAAGUCCGGCAGGCCGGACUCCUUCAUCGACUCCUUCGCCCGACGGUGAGCCGGUCACUCCCUUUUCCUUUCCUUUCCCAUCCGCACCAGCAAUGUCCACGCUCCCUCACUCUCCCCCAUGUCCAAUGCAUGCGCUUUGGUGCGGGCCGGGCCCGGUCUUUGGGCCUGGGCUUCGGCCGGCCCUCGGCCGAGGAUUCCAAGCUGGACCCGGACCACCGUAGACCGCGCUGAGGACAUCAAACACUAGUUUUUUUUUCAUUUUGUUUCUGGUUUUAACUUUUUGACUGGUGUCUUCUUGCAAUGCAUCAGACAAGUCUUAGCAUGCAAGAUACCCUCUCCUAGAUUCUCUUUAAUAAUAAUAAUAAUAAUAAUAAUAAUAAUAAUAGUGACCAAUUUUUUUUGUUAUUUAUGGGAAUUCAAAAGGUUUGAUUGGUCCUGGAAAGAUAAGCCGAACCUUUCUUGCUUUGGAGAUGUGUUUGUUUGUCUUCGGCAAAAAUGCGCUUUGGAGGAUUUGUUGUUGGUGAAAGGAUGGAUCACAUGAACUACUUUGGGGGCAUGCAUGACCGCCGCACACAUCACUAAGAUGCUCCUCCUUUUGUGCGUGUUCAUGCAUACAAACUUGCACACUCCCUCUGUCUCAUAAUAUAAGAUGUUAUUACGACCAAUAUGUGUGUGUUUUUUUUUCUUUAUUUGAGUGAGUACACAUCAGUUCAGGCCGUGUUGGAAGGCAGUGGCAAAGAUCCGUCGUCAUCAUCAACAUCUAUCACCUAGUAGCUAGCAUCCUAUCUUCUUCAGUCAGUGGGAUGCUCUUUUCUUUUGCACCCAUACCAUCUGCUUGUUCGCAUCUUCCCUCUUGGAAAAAGAUAUAGGAUUCUGAGUUGUCUUGUUCUGAAUUCUGAUGUAUCUGUUUUUGUAAUCUAGUUCACAACUUGGCAUCCAUCUAGAUUAGAUUUAACCUGACCCAUCCAUCAGACGAUGCUCUUCAGAGAUGACAAUCACCUUGGGUGGCUUCAGGCAUGCAUCCAAAACCCCCUUUCAGUUUGCUUAGAUGUUGCAAUGUACUAUGGUCCAGAAAUGCAAAUGAAGGAUUUUGGCUGCAAUUGCUGUCGAUUUUCGAACCUCAUUUUCAUAGGGUUGAUGUACACAUUGCAUUGGUCAUCAGUCUGAUAUGAAAUGCAUGCUGGCUUGGCACCCACCCACACAAACUGUCCAGCAAAAUAUCCACCACUGUCUACUCUUUGCAGCAGCACAAAUCUCUGUUUCUACUUUCUUAACUGUGCCAGGUGCUUGCUGAUUUCCUUUUUUCUUUGUCAUCUAGCAGUGAUCGAACAAAUCCGGUCGGCAUUCGUGGCCAGGGCUUCUAAAUUUAGUCCGGUCUAUAUGAAAAAAUGUGGAUGCAUAUUCUCUGAUAGAAACAGUAAUUCGGUUCUUGAGUGCAGGCCUGAAAAGGGAAAUCGGUGACUGCUUCUUUCUGCCUGCAUAUCUAUCUUGCUGCUAUUUAGAAAUAUUAAUAUUCUUCGGCAUUGAUGCUCUCUGCUUAUACUUUCUUUUUUUGUGAUAAAGAGUAUGUAUAAAAGGAUGAUUUGACACUGGAAAAGUAGUUUUUGCACCCAUGGCUCCCAGCAAAAUAUCGGCAGCAGAUUCCUUCCAUGGCACAGAUGUCUGUGGCUACUUUUAUUAAACUGUACCUGAUGUAGAUAUGGCCUGCUUGCUGAUAUGUUGUUUUGUCAUCUACUGUUAGUCGAACAAAUUUGGUCGGCAUCAGACAUUGUAGUGAACAAACAAUUGUAGUAAGUAUAUUCUACUGCAGGCAGUAAUGCUAUUCCAUAGAGCAGGCCAGGAUAAAAUAAGUGAUCUAGUGAUUAGGUAGGUACUUUGAUGAUUUAUUCUUUCAGCCUCUACAUUUUCUUCUUCAGACAGGCACUUUGAUGAUUGCAUUCUUCAGAGAUUGAUUCUCUCUGUUUAUUUUAUCUUUUGCAACAAAGCGAAUCAAAAUAUGAUUUAUUACCAAAGCAGAAAAAAAGUUGUGUUCAUGAAAUUAAUGGAGAUGGUGACAAGAAUCCAUGGCAGGACUGGACUGGUUUUUUUUCUGUACUUGUCUGACGAACAAUAGCACUGAACAAAGCAGAAAAAAAGUUGUGUUCAGAUAUUGAUUAUUUCUGUUUAUUUUAUCGUUUGUAUCAAAGAGAAUCAAAAUGUGUUGAUUAAAGUGAUGAAGAUGGACAACUGAACAGAGUGAUGAUGCUGAAUCUGCAUUUCCAUGUCAGGUUCGGGCGGGCGGGGCUGUACAGGGCGUUCAUGUUCAGCAGCCCGACGAUCAUGGUGACGACGCCGGACGCGUGCAAGCAGGUGCUCAUGGACGACGACACGUUCGUCACCGGCUGGCCCAAGGCCACGGUGGCGCUCAUCGGGCCCAAGUCCUUCAUCAACAUGGGCUACGACGAGCACCGCCGGCUGCGCAAGCUCACGGCGGCGCCCAUCAACGGCUUCGACGCGCUCACCUCCUACCUGGGCUUCAUCGACCACACCGUGGUGACCACGCUCCGGGGCUGGUCGGACCGGGGCUCCGACUUCGAGUUCCUCACGGAGCUGCGCCGGAUGACGUUCCGGAUCAUCGUGCAGAUCUUCAUGGGCGGCGCCGACGAGCGCACGGCGGCCGAGCUGGAGAGCACCUACACGGAGCUCAACUACGGCAUGCGCGCCAUGGCCAUCGACCUACCAGGGUUCGCCUACCACAAGGCCAUCCGCGCGCGCCGCAGGCUCGUGGCGGCGCUGCAGCGCGUGCUCGACGAGCGCCGGGCCAGGGGAGCCAAGACGGCCGGGGUGGACAUGAUGGACCGGCUGAUCGCCGCGGAGGACGAGGGCGGGCGGCGGCUGCAGGACGACGAGAUCAUCGACGUGCUUGUCAUGUACCUGAACGCCGGCCACGAGUCCUCCGGCCACAUCACCAUGUGGGCCACCGUCUUCCUGCAGGAGAACCCCGACAUCCUCGCCAAGGCCAAGGUGUGCCUACUGCAACUCUGCAAGAGCGCCAUGGAUGGACACUUCACAAGAUCACCAUGAAUAAUUGUUGAAUCUUCUUCUUCUUGCUGUUGUCCAGGCGGAGCAGGAGGCGAUCAUGAGGAGCAUCCCGCCGGGGCAGAAGGGGCUCACCCUCCGGGACUUCAGGAAGAUGGAGUACCUCUCACAGGCAACAUUCCUCUGCAUACACUCUGCCACUCUGAAUUUUCGUUCACUCACUCACUUAUGUCUGAACAAUGCUCUGCAACCUGAAAUCAAAAGCAAAAAAUGUGAUCAUCUUCUGAAAGAAACAUGAUGCUUUUGCAGGUGGUCGACGAGACGCUGCGGUUCGUCAACAUCUCCUUCGUGUCGUUCCGCCAGGCGACCCGCGACGUCUUCGUCAACGGUAUGCGCUCUACUCUAUAGAUCAAUCCACCAUCAUACACACAUCCUGUGUUCAUCCUCAAUGCAUCACAUUUGAGUUUCAUGGUUGACUGAACCUCUCUGUAACCUGACAUGAACAAAAUCUUCAGGUUAUCUGAUACCCAAGGGGUGGAAGGUGCAGCUGUGGUACAGGAGCGUGCACAUGGACCCUCAGGUGUACCCUGACCCCAAGAAGUUCGACCCUUCAAGAUGGGAGGUUGGUCACAUUCUUCAGCACUCAACUUCUGAACGAAAUCUGCAUUUCCUCACAGUUUGAAGUGAUUGUUUUCUUUCCUCCUUAUUCUCAGGGCCCGCCGCCGAGGGCCGGAACGUUCCUUCCUUUCGGGCUCGGCACGAGGCUGUGCCCGGGCAACGAUCUCGCCAAGCUUGAGAUCUCUGUCUUCCUCCACCAUUUCCUCCUUGGAUACAAGUAAGCUUCCAGACCACCACAGUUAACUGCUCCUGCAACAUUGCAAUGCAACAACUGCAACCAACGGUGACUGUGCGUUAACAUUGACUUUGUAUCUGAAUGCAGGCUGACAAGGAAAAAUCCAAAUUGCCGGGUGAGGUACCUGCCGCACCCCCGGCCGGUGGACAAUUGCCUGGCCAAGAUCACCAGAGUCUCCUCCUCCCAUUGACGAUGAUGAAAACAGAGAAUCCAAAACCCUAGACGGCGUCGCCCAGAAGCGCCAAAUUUAGGAAAACUCAUGUGUCCAGACAAAUAAAAUAAAUAAAUAGCGAGGCGUUAUUGCUGCAGAUGAGUCAAAGUUGCGUCAUUCCUUGUUUUUAGCUCUGUCCUAGGACUCAAAAAUGUUAUGCUGAAAAAGACAUUUGUGUCGAAACAGAAAUGUCAAUAGUGUUGCCGCCGAAGUAACUUGCAUCGAAACCUUGGGUGAUUCUGCAUGCCGAGUGGUCACGCAACUAUUAUUCGAUUAACUAUAUCAAUAGUGUUGGCGCCAAAUUAAUUUGCACUUAAACCCUGGGUGAUUCUGCAUGCCAGGUGGUCGUUGCCGAACGCAACAAUUAUUCGAUUAACUAAAACAUAAUACUAUACAAAUACUUGAGAGGCGAGAAUCCUUGGAUGGAAGGAUGGAAGAAAUGGAUAUCCUUGCGAGCACUGAUGUCACACCAUCACCUGGAUGGCGCUCCUGAUAAGUUGACUUUUCAAUCACGAUUUGCAAGAGAACAAAAUCUAAAAAAGACAGAGAGCUUGCAAGAGAAAAAAGUAUUAAAAGUGGUUUGUCAUGAGCAUUGAUGCCUCAACAAUCAGCAGCAACAUUAUUAAGGCAAAGUCAUAUGUACUGCAUCUAUUCUGUGAAAACGAAAACAAAAUAGUUAUCUGCAAAUGGGGAAAAGACAUUGAGAUGUGCAAAGUAGACGCGAGUGACAUGGCUUUAGUCUUUAGGACAUGUACAUUCAUUGACAACCUAAACGUGUCGCCAAUUUUAGGAGAAUUCAUCUUGCGUGAGAACCGAAUAAAAAUGAUAAUAAGUUGUGAGUUGUCAUUGUCAUAUAUUAAUCACCGUCAUUUCUUGUCUUUUGUUCCGUCCUAGGGCUUAGAACAUGCUGAAUUUUGGGUUAUGUGAAAAGGAUGUCUGCUUCGAGACAAAAACAUCGAUAGCAACUUGAUUUGUCGACUCGCCAAACUAACUUUAUGCCAAAACUUUGGUCUGUUCACCACAUGGAUUGGCGGUUAAAGGAUGCAAUUAUACAGCUAAUUUAAAACAUAAUAUCAUGUAAUAUAAUACCUAAAGGCGAGAAUCCAAGCAUCACUGUUGCCUCACGAUGAGCAAGAUGGUGCUCCUAAUAAUCUAUUUUUUAUUACAACUUACAUUAGAAAUAAUUUUUUCUCUAAUAAAAGGAAAGCUUGCUACAGAAAAGAAAUAGAAAAUUGUUUACAUGAGCAUCUAUGUCUCGCUUUAAGCUGCAAUAUUACUAUGGCAAAGUCAUAUGGGCUGCGUGCAUUUUUUGGAAUGAAAAAAGUAAGAAAAAUGAUGAAAUUGAAAACCCUAAAUGCUAUAUCUCAUCGUCGAAUCCACGAGAGAAUUCUCCUUGUUUGCUAACAAAAUAAAUAAAAUUGUGAGGCGUCGUUGCCGUUUAUAACACAAAGCUGCCCUCGUCUCUUGUUUAUUGUUCUGUCCUAUGACCCUGAAUUGCCUGAAUUCUAGGUUAUGCAGAAAGAGACAUAUGCAUUGAACCAAAAAUAUCGAUAGUUAUUUGAUACGUCGACACAUGGUUGGUUCGGCACAUAGGUCGGCGGUUCUCUAGUUAGGUUAUUCUAUUGUUAAUUAAAUUAUAUUACUAUACAAAUAUACCAAAAAAAAUGCGACAAUCCAAACAACUGAAAGAAACAGAUAUCCCUGCCCACGCUGAUUGGUGCCUUGCUGUCAGCUUGUUUUCUAAAUACAACUUGCAAGAGAAAUGAAAAACUGAAAGAAAUAGGAGAAUUUGCAACAGAAAAGGUUCUUUUUUUUCUGCGAUGAGCAUCGAUGCCUCACUCACUAUCAGGUAUACCAUUAUUAAAGCAAAGUCAUAUGCAUGUAUUGCGAGUACUUUCUAGAACAAAACAAAAAAUGCAUUUUUCAAAACAGAAAAAUGUGUAAGAAACAGGCAAGUGAGAUGUGCAAUCUUUCACAUGUGAGUGACGUGGCUUAGGACAUGUACAGUCACCGAUCACCUGAUCAGGCAGGGCAACUGACACGUCAGCAUCGUGACAAUGGUGGUGUGCAAAAGUUGGACGCUUAUCUGAGCUGCCACAUGUACUCUUUGUGAAAUGCCCUUGUUUAUGUAUUGUGGUUUCGUUUGCACAAGCCUAAUGUUGAACAUGGGGGUUGUAUUGUACUUUCUCACUAAAGAUAAACAUAUUAGGAAUAUAAUUAAUCCUUAAUAUACAUAAGCCUAAAGUUGGACACUUAGGAGUUUGGAUUGUACUUUCUCCCGAAAGAUAAACCCGUCUAAUUUGUCAUAUAUAGCAAGUGACUCACGCAAUUGACACUAUUUUCGCAUGAAAAUGAAAUAUAUUAACAAUCCUUGGAAUAGUUAUGUUGAUUAGCGGACAACCAAGUCAAAACCCCAACGACGAAUACAGAUAACCUCUAACCACCGGGGUUCAAGUCCUAGGUUUGACAUUGGUGCUCGCAUUUUCCAGAAUUUAUUUCAGGCUUUCCGAAGAUACCGGCUCAGUCUCCCAAAUAAUAGUUAUGUCAUUAUUUCCAUUUAAAAUAAUAGAAAUUUAAUAACAAUACAGACGUGGGAACCAACAACGCGCCACAACUAAACAUAAUAGUGCUGGCGUUCCAUGCUAUUCCACGCCAGCACUAUAUUAUGCCUGGUACAAAUUGUUGAUCCCAUAUACUUCUGACGCUCACUUAUUUUCCAACGCCAUCACUAUGCCCCUACUAAUGCCGUACCAAAUAAGCCAACGCCGCCACUAUAGGAAUGAAAAAAGAAAGAAAAAUGAUGAAAUUGAAAACCCUAAACUCUAUAUCUCAUCGUCAAAUCCACGAGAGAAUUUUCCUUGUUUGCUAACAAAAUAAAUAAAAUCACGAGGUGUCGUUGCCGUUUAUGACCCAAAGUUGUCCUUGUCUCUUGUUUAAUGUUCUGUCCUAUGACUCCGAAUUGCCAGAAUUCUAGGUUAUGUAGAAAGAGACAUCUGCACUGAACCAAAAAUAUCGAUAGUGAUUUGAUACGUCGACACAUGGUUGGUUCAUGAACAACCUAAACGGGCGUCGCCAAUUUUAGGGGAAUUCGUCUUGUGCGAGAACUGAAUAAAAAUGAUAAUAAAUUGCGAGAUGUCAUUGUCGACUACACGACACUACAUAAAUCAUGUACAAAAAUCGAGGUCACAAAAUGUUGCCUUAACGUAAAAAAAAACAUGGCUAUAUGUAUUUUUGUUCCUCACCAAAGCAAAACAAGGGAAGAUCAUACACAGCCUCAACUUGUCGACACACCUAAAUUAAUUUUGCGCUUACAAUUUGGUUACCUUUUUUUACAGAAGCUUAUCAGAGGGCCGGGUGUUCCUGUGAUUUCAUUAAGAAAAAGGGAGUUGAUCCAGUUUAUAUGGAAAACUAGGCCUAAAACCACACAAACUGCAUGAUUGAUUAGAGGACAACCAAGUGAAAACCCCAACGACGAAUACAAAUAACCUCUAACCAAAACUAGGCACCACCACCAUCGCAAAUCAAUGACCGAGAGUCAAAAAAAGACCCGGGGUAUAUAUAUCAACUUGGCGACACUACAUAAAUCAUGCACACACAUCGAGCUCAUAAAAAGUCGUGAAAAUGGCCCUUCUUUUCACAUCCCGUCUUGCUAUAUGUAUUUUUGUUCCUUAACACAAAACAAGGGGAAGAUCCUACACAGCCACAACUUGUCGACACGCCUAAAUUAAUUUUGCGCAUACAAUUUGGUUAUUUAGUCGGCGAAUAUAUAAUACUACUAGAGAAAGCGAGAAUCAACUACAACUUGCAAGAGAAAGUUGUCCCAAAAGGGAUAACUCACUGUCACCUGAAAAUCAUCAUGCAAUCAUGUUUUGUGUUAAGGAACGUGUCGACUGACGUGGCCAGGAUACGUACACGCAGGCUUCGAUUCAAGCAUCUGAUCGAGCAGGGCAUGUGACACGUCACGUCAGCAUCGUGACAACGCCAGGCGCUGCAAAAAGUUAUACGCCCAUCUGGCCUGCCACGUGCCCUGUUUGUCCUGUAGCUUUAUCGUCCUGUGUACAAAACUUACAUGUCACUCAAAGCAUUUGUAGACAAAACGGUUCGAUUUGUUGUAUCAGGCGAGUGACUCACCAAUUUACUUUUGUUGCCAAAUUAGAGAGCUCACCAUGCAUGCCAUGUGGCGAGUGACUCACUCAGUUGAUUUUAUUUAUCUUAGGAGAAAAAUGGUAGUAGUAUUCGGAACGUCUAAAGAAAGACAAUACCUUGAAGAAAUAGAUUUCGCUAAUUAUGUUUUGUUACAUAAGUUUUUCUCUCGGAAACAAAGCCUAAAAAUGUCAAAAGUUAUCCUCUUUUCCAACUUGGUUGUCAACUUGGCCCCUUUGACCAAGGCGAUUGUCGUGGUCACCUAAUCAAUUUCAUCGGCAUAACUGCUAGUACCUUCCAACGAUCCUCCAGCCUCUUCUGGGCCAAAUAGCCGGAGACCUCCUUAUAGUGUCAUAUGUCUUAUUCUCCUACCUCUUCGCAUGUCUAUCCAUCUUUGAUUGUGUGUUCCGUGAAAGGGGCCCUAGGAUCUAUGCAACAAUGACGAAGACGAAGGAGAAACGACAACGAGGGGUCACGCGAACACGUUGAGAUGGUCACGAGAGAGGUAGCGCGACAAUGCCAACCAUGCGACCAUCUAAGAGUCCACGGUCGUGUAACGCCAUGCCGAUAGUUUUGGUGUUCUAUCCAGGGUGUCAACGCGCAAGAACAUUGGGCCACACGGAGGCACUUAGGCGGUCAAGACAGAGGUAGAGCGCGAAGAUGACACCUAGACGUGCAUCUAAAGAGCCACGUCAGGACAUGAAACAGCAAAACAAUAGACCCGAUGAGUCAUUCGGUCCGCCAACAUCUGGAUUGGCUUUGUGAGAACAUGAGAAUUGUCAUGUUUAUGAAAUUACUACAAUACCGGUCGCACAACGUUACAGAAUACCAGGGACAAUGAUCGAGCUAAUAAAAGGCCGUCUCAAUAUUCAUUUUGAUGAAAAAAAGAAAGUGAAAAGCAUGCACGCAAGCAUGACAAUUUCUUUUUUGCCGGGUCACGAGGAUAGCAACUUGCCAAACGAAAAGCCUUGGAGCAUGGGCUCAACCCUCUCGAUCUUGACCGUUAAUUAUGAUCAACGGAUGAGAUGAAGCCACGUCCGUUCUUCUUCCCCAUAUCUCCGUCCCUGUCUCAUAGAGGGCAGGGCAGGGCAGGGCAGAGCAGAGCAACAAACAGCUCAUCAGAGCUCCCGCCGCCGCCGGCUUCGCAUCUCCCGCGCCACCACCUCCGCGGCCGUCCUCCUCCGCGGUAGGAUCCUCCGAGUACCUGCGCGACAGCCGUCCCCGCUGCGCCUGCCUGGUCCUCGCCGAAUCUUCAGCAAGGUACCGCCACAUGCCGAGCACGGAGAUUUCUUGGCUGUCCUCCCCCUCUGUAGCUCGCCGGCUUGGAUUUGAGAUCCGCCCCGGUUCUAGAUUGAUUUUAUCUAGCUGCGCUGGUGGCGAACCCUAACCUGCUGGCCUGGAUUGGGUUAUCCCGGGAGAUCAGUCUCGCUCUGCUGAUUUCUUUGCUCGCUCUCGGCGAUCUAGUCCGGAUUAGAUCUCGAUGGGAUGGGUAGUCCAGUCCAGUCCGUCCCAAUCAAAUCCAUCCAAUUCGUCGCGGUUUGGUCUGUGGAAGCACCAAUUGCCAGCUGAUUACAGUCUCCAGAGGAUACUUUACUUGGGUUCAGUUCAACUGAAUGCGUUCUGUCCUAGGUCUAGGACAAAAGUGAUUCUUCUUGAUCUGAUGAAGGCGGCACCGCGGGGCAAAGGGGGCGAUGAUUCCCGACAUAGAACAGGGGAAUGAACAUUUAUUCUUGAAACAAUUAGGCUCUGUCUUGGAAGGGAACAUAUUGUAGUUAGUGUAGUAUGAUAGUAUCGAGCUUCGGGGUUGCACGCGGUCUUCCGUCUUGCCGUCUAGCGGUAGCGUGCAUGGUAACAUUAGAAUGGUAUUUUGUAAGUAGCGGCGCCGUUCGAUAGCGUGCCGACCUGACGGCGUUGUUUGGUUUUAGCUCGUCCGUGCAAUCGUGGAUUCUUGCGUGACGUGAUCUGUGUUUGUCGACAGGUGCCGCAUGGAGGAGGUUGUCCCCGCUUCGGCUAAUAGCCAAGCUUCGACUGGUGAUGCCGCGGCAGAUCAGCCUAUCAACGUGUACGUGUGGGACUUGGAUGAAACGCUUAUUCUGCUCAAGUCCCUGCUAGAUGGGUCGUUUGCCGGGCAUUUUGAAGGCCUCAAGGACCAUGAAAAAGGUACCGAAAUAGGGAAGCGCUGGGAGAACAUCAUUCUUGAACUCUGCGAUGAGCACUUCUUCUAUGAGGAGGUCAGUCGACACCUCAAAUCUUGUCUGCUGACAGCUUACUAGAGCAAUGUGUUUCUGUAUGCACGUGCCUAAAAUACUAAAACUGUACUGCGUUUCUUCUUUUGAUGCUAUGGAUAGGCCAUCUGGCUGCACAUUUUACAUUGUGUGUCCAUGUUAUAUGUCAUUGCUAUCUACUGAUAGUCUUGUUCUCUCAUGUAUGCAGAUUGAGAACUACAAUCAACCCUAUCUCAGUUCAUUACAUGAGUAUGAUGAUGGGAAAGACUUGACAAAAUAUGACUUUGAGGCCGACUGCUUUAGUUCUCCUUUUGAUGAUGUGAAUAAAAGGAAGCUUGCCUACAGGCAUCGUGCUAUUGGAGACAAGUAUGCCAAGGUGUCACAAUAAUUACAUUAUCCUACUCUAUUUCCUUUAACUUUUGAUAAAUGAUUAAGUAGUGUUGUUGCAUUUAGAAGUGACCUUCUACAUAUGCUGACAUCCAGUGUCCGUAUUACUCUUGUAAAAACUAUAAUAUUUCAUUCCGUUUCAUGAAAAUGACUGAACAACUCAUAUAAUAUGAUGAGUGAAUUCGUUCAUAUAGUAGCAGUCUCCUUUUGCUGUAGCAACGACUUCUUUUGUGGUACUUGGUUGAUGGUGCUCAGGCCUAAUCCUUGUGAUGUUUGUGCUUGGCCUUAAUUUUCGACGGUGUCUAGAAAGUGGUAGUGCUAUGCUAGCCACUUCAGUGUGCAAGCUUUUUGUUCGUACAACUCCUUCGACAUGCAUAUCCUGAUCUUGUAACACAAGACAUCCAGUUUUGUUUAGAGAUGUCAAGAUCUUUUCCCUAUGAGCUUCCAGACUGCGUAGUAGUCUAAUAAACAUCUGGUUAUUUCUGCAAGAGCUUUACAUUAAGCACUGACCGUAUUUAAAUAGUUACCAUAUGUUUUUUUCUUUCCUUUUUUGGCUUUUUGUGAGGGUGGGGGUGGUCUUGUAUCAAGGUGAUGGGGAAAUUUCAAGAAAGUGUCUGUGUUCUGUAAAUUAGGAUCAGGCAGCUGAACUUCAGUAGGUUUGUAUGAGUUUAAGUGGUCACCAGAACAAUGGUAAGACGCCCCUUCUGCAGUGAUUCACCAGCAGUUUGUGUUUCAUUGCAAGCACUUUUGUACAGAGGUUUAGAUCUUAGCAGUUAGCAAAAAACUUGGUUUAGAAAUGGCAAGUAAAUAUGAGGUCUUGUAAGUUCUGUACUGGGCAUUUUCAGAGCAUUGUAACUGAAUAAAUACUUCCCUGCCAUCGUUUGGUAUUGGAAAGCUCUUCAGCUUCUGUUUAGUUGCUAGUGUUGGACUUAUGAUUGCUGCAGUCAUUAAUUUCUGCAAUCUAAUAUUUCUGUUAGUGUCAUGUUUGGACCACUAAGCUCAGCUGCUUUGGUGUUUCUUCAGGGUUUGCAAAAAAUUCUGGACCACCGCAUGUUCAAAGUCUGGAGUGAUUUGUAUAGUUCGACAGACAAAUAUACUGAUGGUUGGCUUUCUUCAGGUAUUCUGAUUCAUACUAGUUUGGGGGAACUUCUUUUAAUAAUGAGAACAAUCAAGAGAUAUUUCUGAUAUUUUGUUUGUGAUUGGUCAAAAAAGGUUGUGGCCAUCCAUUGGGGCUAUAAGUAUUUAUUUCGAAAAGUCGGCUAGUGCCUAAUAACGCUGCUUAAUGCAAAUUAUGCAAUCGACGAUAAUAAUACUAAUAUCAAGUCAAGAGGCUGCUGAAUAUUCUACUUCCAUUAAGUGGAAAAGAAGAGGGUGCUUUCAGUUUCUUGGUGUACUAGAUUGUUCUAUUAUCAUGCUGUACAUGUCUACCACCAAGAGUAUACAUUAUGUACCUUGCUUUAAGAUGUGGGAGAAAUAUGUUUUGACUGAUGUUAGCCUUAAUUACCCUUUUCUGCACUGAAAUUGUUGGUCUACUCUAAAAAAACUGAAUUACAUGUACAAUCUAAGCUUAGUGUUGAUCCGGUUUUGUAUGCUUGAAUACUCAAUGCCAUUCCCCUGCUGUGCAGCUCAUAAGUUGCUGGAAGAAGCGCUGGGUAAAUCAACAGCUGAGCCCGCUGUCAAAUCUUCAAGUAUCAAUUGCAUAGUUACUUCAGGGUCCCUGGUUCCGAGCAUUGCCAAAUGUUUGCUGUAUCGCCUGGAUGAUGUGGUCUCAUCAGAUAAUGGUUCGUCUCUAAUGUUGUCACAACUGUUGUUCGACAGCUUCAUCUGUGUUACAUAUUGCAAGCUGUGAAUCUGUUACCUGAAAUAUUGUCUCCUUGCUUGAGCAGUUUACAGCUCGUGGGAAACGGGGAAGCUGCAGUGCUUCAAGUGGAUCAAGGAACGCCAUGGUGGCCCAAACGUCCACUUCUGUGCGGUUGGAGAUGGCCCCGAGGAGCGCAGCGCAGCUUCCAUAAUGAAAUGGCCAUUCGUCAAGAUCGAGAUCCGCCCUGAUGCUCCUCACAGGUUUCCCGGCCUGAGCCUGUCGACGAUCCACAGCAUCAUGGACGCCGUGUACCAGUCAUCGAGCAAAGAUGGUUGACCUCCGGUGCGCGAGGCGGCGUAUAUGUCUUGAGGCAUCGAUCGCUGUGGACGCGGAGGCCAGUCAGGUCAUAGUUCAAGGGAACCGCAUAGUGGAGAUACCAUCUAUAUAGGAAGCAUAUUGCCCUCCCUGCCUGGAGGAUCCGGAGACGCCUGUGAGAUAAAUAAAGAGCGCCUCACCAUAUAGUUUGAUCCGUUCCGGCAUGUUUGAAUUGAAUUCUGCCAGUGUUGGCCCAUCUUACUGUCAUCUGGGGAAUCAUCUGCUGUUGUAAGUCGUAACCGGUUGGUUGG